UGGAGGGAUCACUGGUACCCGGUCUCCCUCGUCGAGGACCUCGACCCCAGCCGCCCCACCCCGUUCCAGCUCCUCAACCGCGACCUCGUCAUCUGGAAGGAACCCAAGUCCGGCGAGUGGGUCGCGCUCGACGACCGCUGCCCCCACCGCCUUGCCCCGCUCUCGGUACGGCGACCCGCAUCCCUUCCUCGCCUCAUCCGUGUCCUACCGGAUCUCUUCCUCGUUUCGGCUAAUUUUGGUCUGGGCAUGUGCAGGAGGGCAGGAUCGAUGAGACGGGGUGCUUGCAGUGCUCGUAUCACGGAUGGUCAUUCGAUGGCUCCGGCGCCUGCACCAAGAUCCCCCAGGCCAUGCCCGAGGGUCCUGAGGCCCGUGCGGUGCGGUCACCGAAGGCGUGCGCGAUCAAGUUCCCCACCCUCGUCUCCCAGGGGCUGCUCUUCGUGUGGCCCGAUGAGAAUGGGUGGGAGAAAGCGGCCGCCACCAAGCCUCCAAUGUGCGUAGAGUCAGACUUUGGACUGCGGCUAAUUGGUUGGAUUCAGUUUUGCAUUUCGGUGUCUGAAUUCGAUCUUGUUUGGUUUCAGGUUGCCGAAAGAAUUUGAGGACCCGGCCUUCUCCACGGUGACAAUCCAGAGGGACUUGUUCUAUGGUUAUGAUACGUUGAUGGAGAACGUCUCUGAUCCGUCCCAUAUAGAAUUUGCUCACCACAAGGUACUUGGUACAGUGAGAAAGCUUAGUUGCUUGCCACACUUAAGCACCAUGAUAGUAUUUUUCAGUUGAAAGUUGGUGAUUCGAGGAAAGAUGUUUUGUUGCAACCAAUUUGUGUAGUUUGCUAAAAAAUCACCACCUCAAUACUGUUUAAUUGUGUAGGCCUCUUAUCGUUUCUGAUUGCCAGUGUGCAAGUUUAACUAACUGUUAGAUCUUAACUGUGGAUGUACCCAUAUAUUUUUUUUGCAUCAUAGUUUUAUUCUUUUUUACUUAUGCUGCAUUGAAAUUCCUCAGAAAUGACUUAUAAUGGGCAAAAGGGCUGAAUGGUCUGAGUCUGGCCUCUUAUCGUUUCUGAUUGCCAGCGUGCAAGUUUAACUAAGGUCCCGUUUGGUUUGAGGGAUUAAAUAUCAGUGCCUCCAUUUUAGUCCCAUUUAGUCCAUAAAUUGACAAACGGUGGGACUAAAACAAGGACUAAACUGUUCUAGUCUCUAGUCCCUCAAGGGAUGACUCUAAGGGGCUAAACCAUAAAAAUCCACUUUUUGGCCCUCCUUCAUUUCAGUUGCACUAAUGGCGGGAGGAUGUUAAGGAGUAUUUUGGUCUUCUUAUGAUUCAUUUAAUGUGUUUUGAAUACUUAUAGUUUUUAGAACCAAACAGGGUAGGGACUAAAUUUUAGUCUUCUAACUAAACUUUCGUCCCUGGACUAAAGGAACCAAACCCUAACUGUUAGAUCUUAACUGUGGAUGCACCCAUAUAUAUUUUUGCAUCAUAGUUUUAUUCUUUUUUACUUACGCUACUUGCUUAGUCUGAACAGGCAUUAAUAGGGUGUUUGGUUUGAGGGAUUAGUUAGUUCACCCACUCAUUCCUCUUUUCUUUGUUUGGUUUGUUGAAUGGAGUAGGUUGGUCAGUGCAUUAUCACAUCAUUCCUCAGACUAGUAGUUAGUACUAGUAUGAAGAAUGGGGUCAUUCAACCAAAUUUAAGGAAUUGACUCAUGAUGCAUCACCACAUUUAGAAUGGAGUGGCUCCUCAAACCAAACCCUAUAAAUGACUGGCUGAGUUAAUUGUGCUAUCUGUGUGUCAUGAACUUGUGCCGGCAGCAUAGACAAACAAAAUGCUUUAUUUUCUCGGGAUACAUGGUUUCAGCAAAUCCACUCAUGUUUCAGAUUUUAACUCUUCACAGGUUACUGGACGAAGAGAUAGAGCCAGGCCUUUGACAUUCAGGAUGGAAUCAAGUGGUGCCUGGGGUUACUCAGGAGCAAAUUCUGGUAAUCCUCGCAUUACUGCAACUUUUGAGGCCCCUUGUUAUGCAUUAAACAAGUAAGUUUCAGAAAAGUACCUGGUCAUCUUUGAGUGUGGAGUGAUUCUUAUUUACCACUUAAGCAAUUCAGUCGUUAUACGGUUCUGAACUUCUGUUAACUGGCUUGUACAGAAUAGAGAUAGACACAAAGUUACCCAUUUUUGGCGACCAGAAAUGGGUCAUAUGGAUUUGCUCUUUCAACAUUCCAAUGGCCCCAGGGAAGACUCGUUCUAUUGUCUGUAGCGCUCGAAACUUUUUCCAGUUCACAAUGCCAGGAAAAGCAUGGUGGCAGGUACAUGUGUGUUUAGUGUUUCCUUUACUUAAGCUUUGUUUUCCUAUUUGUUUUGUCAACAUAAUCUUUUAACUGCUAAAACGAACUUGUUCUCGCGUUUUUGUGGGAAACAAGGCAAAGGUCCCUAGUCCCUACUGUAGGCAUAUAUUAUUGGCAGAGUUUAUUACUUGGUCAUGUUUGAAUUUAUAUGUGUACAGUCAAAUGUUGAUAGCUUCUUUCUCUUGGUGUAGCUUGUUCCUCGAUGGUAUGAACAUUGGACUUCAAAUUUGGUCUAUGAUGGCGAUAUGAUCGUUCUUCAAGGCCAGGAGAAGAUUUUCCUAGCUGCAACCAAGGAGUCUUCUACGGAUAUUAAUCAGCAGUACACAAAGAUCACAUUCACGCCCACACAAGCUGAUCGAUUUGUUUUAGCAUUCCGCACGUGGCUAAGGAAAUUUGGCAAUAGCCAGCCGGAGUGGUUUGGAAAUCCUACACAAGAAGCAUUGCCUUCCACCGUCCUUUCAAAGCGCGAGGUAAAAGCCAUCUGGGUCACCAAAAAAGUUUCAGUAUAAUAUUUGCUUCAGACAUAAAAUAUCUGAAUAUGACAACCUUUUUGGUGGUCAAAGAUCUGUUUUGCUUACAUUCUUAAUACUCGAUGCAUUGGUAAGUUAUUACAGUUAUCCUUUUUACUCGAUUUUUCCCUUUCUGAGCAGAACGUAUUAUCACGUCUUCAUUGUUUGUACACUUGGUUUCUAUGACACACAAAUUUUUGUUUUACAUUAUCAGUUGUCAUAUGAACUAAUGUAUUUACAGCAACCUGCUUAAGUGCUUAGUAUCACAAAGGGACAAAUUCAAUGAAAUAUUUGGAAAGAUAGUAGCGUCGAACCACUCUCACUGCUAGGCAUUUGAGAAUAGUUACUUAACUGACAGCGAAGUUCACCUUCUACCGACUGGAUCUGGAAACAGUAUCUUGAAGUAGUCACACGUAAACCUUCAUCAGCUGUGUUUCUGCGUUCCAGUAACUCAUGUAUUCUUAUGAUUGACUUUGUGUUAUGCAGAUGCUAGACAGAUACGAGCAGCACACGUUGAAAUGCUCGUCUUGCAAAGGAGCAUAUAAUGCUUUCCAGAAUCUGCAGAAGGUAUUCAUGGGAGCGACAGUAGUUUGCUGUGCUGCCGCUGGUAUUCCUCCAGAUGUUCAGCUCAGGCUAUUGAUCGGUGCGGCUGCUUUGGUCAGUGCCGCUAUAGCAUACGCAUUCCAUGAGCUCCAGAAGAAUUUUGUAUUCGUGGAUUACGUGCAUGCUGACAUUGAUUGAAAGAUUCGUGAGGAUCUGUUGUGUCGACAUCACUCGCUCGCGAGUCGUGUCUGUAGUCUAGGGCUCUAGGCGUCUAGGUAGGGAAAGUAACUUUUUGCCGGGUAUAGGUCAUAUUGCUCACAUAUGUAUUUUGUAUAGUGUAUGCACUCAACUGUAGCCGAUGCAGUGCGAAAAUAUAGUUUUUAUGUUAUUAUCUAUUGGAUUAAAAUUGUCUCCAGAUCCUUUUAGCAUGUAAAAUGCCAUUUUUCAAAUGGAAGUUCUCAAUUGCGCCUAUAGUUGCAGGGAACAUUCUGAUGUGAUCAUGCCAUUCUCUGGCUCUGAGCAGUUAGAGCUGGGCACGAAGAUGGCAUGUGAAACUAUUUCAAUACAGUGUCUGGUCAGAAUCUUCUGUAAUGGUGAGCCUUUGGUUUGUGACCCAAGUAAUGAGCCAAGCCAAAUUGUAUCCAUUUCUAGGAAACAUGAACUUUGUUUGAUUUGAGGCUAAAAUUUGGCCAAGCAGAAAAGAAACCCAUCAUAUUCAACCAGUUGUCUUUUCUAAUAAAAUGCUAGGCAAAACAUGAGUGAGCAAAAUCGUUUGUUUCAGUUUUGCCUCCCUAAAUUUUUUACUAAGUGCCAUUUUGUCUAACCUGAUGUUUGUAUAAUCUAACUUGUCAUAGGUAUUUCGGCCAACUUUUUUUUUUGCCUUUUGACCCUUUUUACGAAAGAUUUUCAUAACUACACGUUUUCUGCUUUGAAUUCAAGAAAUAGACUCUUACCUCGACGCCGUUAUUAUUGACGCCGAUGUUACAUGUCUUGACGCCAAAAUAAAAGUCCUCUCUGGCAUCUACGUGGCAGGGGAUCGGCGCCGUGAUUGUUAGCGCCGACCCCUCUUAUACGGGGUCGAACGGUGAUCUUCCCGUGGCACCGUCUGCUGUCUGGGACGCAUGUCGGUCAAAUGCGAUGGGUGCGGAUUCUACCCUCCAAGACACGCGAUGGCGAUCUAACGUGCAACAUGCGUGCGUGUCAGCGAUAUGGUUUUUGGAGCGGUUUCUUGAGAAGCUUGGCACACAGACACCCCCCCUGAAAUGAUGGCUUGUGCCGGUUGUAAAAGCUUAAAAAAAUUUAGGCCACUGAGUAGCGGUGUGUUGUUUUAUUAUAUGUGGCUUAUGUGGCUGACGGCUGAGUACUGUCUCCUUUUUCUGUUUAAUUUACCCAUAUGCAUUCACUGCUGAUGGCACUAGCUUCCUGCUCGAACUACUUUAGUUAAAAAAUUCAAAACCUAAGUGAAUCUAUAUAAAAAACAUACUAACAUUCAGCAUAUUAAACAAAUACCACCCUCUUUAUUUUAAAUUAUAAUCAAUAUAAAAAAUAUUAAACAUAGAAAAGCUAAAAGUUCUUAUAUUUAGUAAUUGAAGAAACACUAGAUUCAUUGUGAAAUAGUUUUACUAUAUGCAUUUAGAGGCGCACAAGCCACAUACAGUAAAGCAAAAGUGGUAGCAUGUGGCCCAACUUUUUAAACUUUUCUAACCGGCACAAGCCAUCAUUUCAAGGGGCCCAUGUCCGUGCGCCAAGCUUGUCACCGUGCCACUCCAGAAACCACACCACUGACACGCACGUAGUAGGCCGCAUGUCACAGUGCCACCACAAAUAAGAUUGGUCAUCCAAAGGAAAAAGGGCUCGACGCCAAUGUUCAUGGCGCCGACCCCUGCCACGCAAGCGCGAAAUCAGCAUACCGGAGUAGAGAUGGCAACGAGUACAAAUUCGCUGGGUUUUGCCAUCCCAAACCUGUAUCCGUGAAAAAUAUCUAUACCUAUUAAAAAACCUGAUAUAGCUGAGGUGCCCGAUCUUUCAGCGAGUGGAGAUAAUUCCGAUUUGGCGGAAGAUUACUCUUGCGAUCCGACUACGACGAGCAAGCCCGAGGCGCCAAUGCAAUCGCUGAACCAACUCCAUGUGGUUACCGACCUUGCUGAUGCGAGAUCGACCUGAUCACGAAGAUCGUUUCCUGUGCACAAUCGAAGAACGAACAAGAAAAAGAUGCGAGCAAUCUAAUCUAUUACUCGAGGGUGGAGUUCUGAAUACACUAAGACAGCGCUGAUUUGCGUGUGUUCGAGAGUAGCUAAAGCUAACGUAAAACAAAACCCGCAGAACAAAGGAGGCGCAGCUCCUGGAUAAAUAGAGAGGGGGGCGCAGCCCCUAGGGGCGGCCAACCCUAGGUCGUCCACUAUGGGCCGCAGUUGGGCUGGUCGUCUAUUCUUCUGGGCCCUCAUUCUUCAGUAGCAUGACGUAGUUAAGAUCUCUGGCACGGGCCCGAGUGAUUGGCCCUUGAUAUGGAGGUGCUGCUGGUGUAGUCGUACUCAUAGUGAUGUCCUCAUCAUCCUUCCAUUCUUGAAGUGAAGUCGUCCUCGACGGCAACUCCUCAUCCUCAGCCAUAUAUGGUUUCAAAUCUGCAACAUUAAAACUAGUGGAAACACCAAAUUCCGCAGGCAGGUCAAAGAUAUAAGCAUUAUCAUUAAUCUUUGUUAGCACCUUAAAAGGACCAGCAGCACGAGGCAUUAAUUUAGAAUGGCGCAAAGUAGGAAACCGAUCCUUUCUCAAGUGCAACCAAACCAUAUCACCUGGCUCAAAAGUAACAAGUUUUCUUCCUUUACUACCAGCAACCUGAUUUUUUGCAUUAGUAGCAGCAAUGUUCUGUUUCAUUUGUUCAUGUAUGGUAAUCAUUUGUUCAACAUGUGCAGCAGCAUCUACAUGUGGGGUGUUCGCAGCAUUAAGUGAAAUCAAAUCAAUAGAUGCCCUAGGGAUGUAACCAUAAACAAUCUGGAAAGGGCAUAUCUUUGUAGAAGAAUGUGUGGCAUGAUUGUAAGCAAAUUCAACAUGAGGCAAACAAUCCUCCCAACGUCUCAAAUUCUUGUCUAAAACAACCCUAAGCAUGGUAGAUAAAGUUCUAUUUACUACCUCAGUUUGUCCGUCAGUCUGAGGGUGAUAAGUAGUGCUAAACAGCAAUUUAGUUCCCAAUUUAUUCCAAAGAGAUCUCCAAAAAUGGCUUAGAAACUUAGCAUCGCGAUCCGAGACUAUUGUUUUUGGAAUACCAUGUAAACGAAUAAUUUCUCUAAAGAACAAUUCAGCAACAAUGCUAGCAUCAUCAGUUUUAUGACAAGGUAUAAAGUGAGCCAUUUUAGAGAAUCUAUCAACAACCACAAAAAUACUAUCCCUCCCCUUCUUAGUUCUAGGCAAGCCCAAAAAAAGUCCAUAGAAAUAUCAAGCCAAGGAGAAGAAGGGACAGACAAAGGCAUAUACAAACCAUGGUUGCCCAAACGUGACUUAGCUUUCUGGCAAGUAGUGCAACGUGCAACAAGACGCUCAACAUCACGGCGCAUCCAAGGCCAAAAGAAGUGUGCGGCCAACACCUCAUGUGUCUUGUAAACACCAAAGUGCCCCAUGAGACCGCCUCCAUGAGCUUCCUGCAGCAACAAAAGACGAACCGAGCUUGCUGGAAUACACAACUUGUUAGCGCGGAACAAAAAUCCAUCUUGUAUGUGAAAUUUUCUCCAGGGUUUGCCAUCCUUACAAUGUAUAUAGAAAUCUUUAAAAUCAGCAUCAUCCACAUAUUGAUCUUUCACAGUUUGCAAGCCAAAGAUUCUAAAUUCUAACAGUGAAAAGCAUGGUAUAUCUACGGGACAAUGCAUCAGCAAUGACGUUUUCCUUCCCAUUCUUGUGUUUAAUGAUGUAAGGAAAGGACUCGAUGAAUUCUACCCAACUAGCAUGACGACGGUUCAGAUUUGUUUGGGUACGAAUAUGUUUUAAAGCCUCAUGAUCAGAAUGAAUUAUAAACUCACGAGGCCAAAGGUAGUGCUGCCAUGUUUGCAAAGUGCGAACUAAAGCAUAAAGUUCCUUAUCAUAAGUAGAAUAUCUCAAGCUAGCACCGCUUAAUUUUUCACUGAAAUAAGCAACCGGUUUUCCUUCUUGUAACAAACAGCACCUACCCCAAUACCACUAGCAUCACAUUCAAGUUCAAACACUUUCUGAAAGUCGGGCAAUUGUAAGAGUGGAGCAUGGGUUAACUUAUCUUUCAAAGUGUUGAACGCCUCUUCUUGUGGGGGUCCCAAGCAAAAGACACACCUUUCUUUGUGAGUUCAUGCAAAGGGGCAGCGAUGGAGCUAAAAUCACGCACAAAACGGCGGUAAAAUCCUGCAAGUCCAAGAAAACUCCGAAUUUGGGUGACCGUCGUUGGUGUAGGCCAGUCCUGAAUGGCUUCAACCUUGCUGCUAUCCACCUCAAUGCCCUGCGGAGUAACCACAUAACCAAGAAACGAGACACGUUGUGUGCAAAAUGUGCACUUUUCCAUGUUACCAAACAAGCGAGCAGCACACAAAGCAUCAAAAACAGCACGCAAAUGUUCUAAAUGCUCCUCUAUAGACUUGUUGUAAAUAAGGAUAUCAUCGAAAUAAACAACAAUAAACAAACCUAUGAAGGCUCGUAGAACUUCGUUCAUUAAACACAUAAAGGUGUUGGGAGCAUUAGUCAAUCCAAAUGGCAUCACCAACCAUUCAUAUAAACCAAAUUUUGUUUUAAAAGCCGUUUUCCAUUCAUCACUAAGUUUCAUUCUAAUCUGAUGGUAACCGCUACACAAAUCAACCUUAGAGAAAAUAACAACACCAAUAAGCUCAUCUAACAUAUCAUCAAGGCGUGGAAUAAGAUAUCGAUAACGAACUGUGAUGUUAUUAAUAGCACGACAAUCUACGCACAUACGCCAUGACCCAUCUUUCUUUGGAACGAGUAAAACAGGAACCGAGCAAGGGCUAAGAGACUCACGAAUGUAACCUUUAUCAAGCAGCGUUUGCACCUGGCGCUGGAUCUCCUUCGUCUCAUCUGGAUUUGUACGGUACGGGGCGCGGUUCGGAAGAGAAGCGCCAGGGAUGAGAUCGAUCUGAUACUCAAUGCCACGGAGCGGAGGAAGACCCGGUGGUAAGUCCGUAGGAAAAACAUCAGCAUACUCCUGCAAAAGGUUAACAACAGUAGGGGGUAUAUCCAAAGACGGUGCUUCAUCAAGCGGAACAAGCAUGCGCGAGCAUACAAGUGCGUAAAAGGGCAUAUGAGCUUCAUGAAGAUCAUCAAAAUCAGCACGUGUAGCAAGUAAAACAGGAGAGUGCAACUUGAUUUCAGAUUUAAUAGGUGCGGCUGAUGUCGAUUUGACUUGUUGUGUAGUUUUAGCAGCCCUAGUAAGAUCAUCUUUCAAAAUUUGGUCAGGGGUCAUUGGAUGUAUAAUUAUUUUCUAGCCUUUAAACAUGAAAUAAUAAUGAUUUGAACGACCAUGAUGUAAACUAUCAGUAUCAUAUUGCCAAGGUCGACUCAAUAACAAAGAGCAUGCUUCCAUAGGAAUAACAUCGCAAUCAGCAUAAUCAGAAUAAGAACCCAGCGAAAAGGGGACACGUACCGAACGUGUUACCUUUAUUUUACCACCAUCAUUAAGCCAUUGAAUGUGAUACUGUUGUGGGUGUGCACGAGUGGGCAAGGAUAAUUUCUCUACCAAAGCUGUACUUGCCAAAUUGUUGCAGCUGCCACUAUCGAUGAUGAUGCGAAUCGACCGUUCGUGCACAACGCCCUUGGUAUGGAAUAGAGUGUGUCGCUGAUUUUUUCGGCCUGGGCAAUCUGUGUGCUAAGAACACGCUGCACAACAAGAUUCUCAUACCUAUCGGCGUCGAUGGGAUCAACGUGGACUUACUCAUUUUCUGCAUGGUUAGUGGCAAUCAUAGCAUGACUAGUUUCCUCGGAAUCACUGGCUGAAGAGUACUCACCAUUGUCACGUAUAAGCAAGGUACGCUUGUUUGGGCAGUCCCGAAUCAUGUGCCCAAACCCUCUGCAACGAUGGCACUGAAUAUCCCGUGUACGUCCUGUGGAAGGAACGACGCCUUUGGCAGGGGGCGCCACUGGCUUGGCCGUCCCUGUGCGCGGUGUAGUGCUAGGCGUAGAAGGUGCAGGGCUGGAAGGAGUUGAGUUGUGUGUCGAACCCCGACCUACAAAAGAGUUAGUAUAUGUCUUUGAUCGUCGUCCCUGCACUUCACGUUCAGCUUUGCAAGCAUAUUCAAACAAUGUGGUUAUAUCAAAAUAAUCCUUAUAAUCAAGUAUAUCCUGAAUUUCCCUGUUCAAACCACCACAAAAACGCGCCAUAGCAGCGUCAUCCGACUCAACCAAACCACAACGAAGCAUACCCUUUUGUAACUCCUGGUAAUAUUCCUUAACAGAUUGUGAACCUUGUUGAAAACGCUGCAUUUUGUUAAGCAAAUCACGGGCAUAAUAGGAAGGAACAAAUCUGUGGAGCAUGGCAGUUUUUAAUUGGGUCCAAAUAGUGACACUGUUAAUGGGAAGUUUUUGUUUAUACUCAUGCCACCAAAUUAAAGCAAAAUCAGUAAAUUCACUAAUGGCAGCCUUCACUUGGCUAUUAGCAGGAAUAUCAUGGCAUGAAAAUUUAUAUUCUACCUCCAAUUCCCAAUCAAAAUAUGCAGCAGGAUCAUAUUUACCAUUAAAAGAUGGAAUUUUAAAUUUAAUCUUAGCAAAUAAGUCAUUAGGGGGAUGACGAACCACACGGCGUGCACGACCACGGCGAUCUCCAUCUUCCUGCUCAGUGUCACCGCCGUAGUACUGCUCCAUCCUUGUGGUCAACGCAUCAAGGCGUGCCAGGAUGGUGUCGAGUGUGGUGCGAGUCGCCGUUUGAGCAAGGUCAAGCUGGUUGAAACGCGCGGUCGUCGAAGUGACCGUUGAAUCAAGCCGUUCAUGCAUCAUCCUAAUGUCAGCAGCAAGUCCAUCAACUUGUCCCCUUACUUCCUGCAACUGGGCAUCCACCGUGUCAUGUGCUCCUGCCAUAGUUAGUGCAAACACCAAAACACCAAAAUGAGAAAAACCGACGACAACAGGGGAAUGGUGGUGACAACUCGCUCAAUGGAAUGUUGUUAUCAAGUUCUUAUCUGUUCUUACCAAGCCACAGUGGUGAACUGCAACCAACAGGUGGAACCGGUGAAAGAUUGGAUGAGCGAUUGCCUGGAGAAACAGAAACCUGCUCGUCGUAGAAAUAUGUGGAGUUCUGGGUAGGCUGCACUCAAGUCAAGGAUUAGCACGAUCAAGCAAUAAUGCAAAGUUGAAUUAUACUACAAAACACGAAACUAUAUUGCUAGCCACAAGUGCAAAGGACGGAUGGAACUAGCAGAAUGGCAGUACCGUAAAUAUUGUACUAGCGAGGCCAAAAAGGCACUAGUAGGAAUCACAGGUGAUUUUGUUUUUCUUUUUUAUAUGAUUUUUUGAUAUUUUUCUCAGCACAAGAAGCAACAAAAUAGGAGCUACACCAAGUUUCACCUAAACAGAGAUCAGAUGUGGUCUACAGAAAAAGAACAAGUUCUCUGAAAAGCGUGCAAGAACUUUGACGAUUUUUUUUUCUUUAUUUUCCCGAAUUUUUUGACAAUUUUAUCGAAACCAAACAGACCGAAGGCGAGUUUGGCUGGCCUCAGAAUGGUGUCAACAAGCUCCUGUAAAAAAUUUAGAUUUUUUGAACAACCGAGCAAAAAGUUAUGCCCGGUUUAAGGAAGGUACCUCAAGUUAUGGUUAAAAACGACCGAGAUGAGACAACCGCUUUGUUUCCUUUCCCUAUUUUUUUGUUUGUUCUCUGGUUCUAUCCUUUCUCUUUCGUUUUCCUUUUUUCUUUUCUUUUUUUGUUUCUAUUUUUUUGACGUAACCGAAGGAGAAAAACAAGGAAACAACGUUGACUCGGUUUGUGGCGUGAUCAAACGGGAGAUGGUGGCGGCGCGCUAGGGUUUGAAUGGUGGAAAACACAAUGUGACCAGCAACAAAUGACGCGAAAGCACACAAAUUCAACAAUGCAGAUUAUUGAAAGAAAGUGUGAGGCUCAAAAGGGUGCUGGGACAAGGUCUAACCUGAAUUUUUAUGUGGUUUUGUGGACUAUAGGAGAAAAAAACCUCGAUAAACUCACCGAUCAACCUAGAAAUCUGAUACCACUUGAUAUAGCCGAGGUGCUCGAUCUUUCGGCGAGUGGAGAUAAUUCCGAUUUGGCGGAAGAUGACCCUUGCGAUCCGACUACGACGAGCAAGCCCGAGGCGCCAAUGCAAUCGCUGAACCAACUCCCUGUGGUUACCAAUAUAAGUGCAAAGGUUGCUUGGAAUUGAGCCAAUAUAAAUACUUACAAGAUAUGCAUGGAUUGCUUCUUUGUUUUUAACAUUUUGGACCACGCUUGCACCACAGGUUUUGUUUUUGCAAACUCUUUUGUAAAUUCUUUUCAAAGUUCUUUUGCAAAUAGUCAAAGGUAAAUGAAUAAGAUUUUGCAAAGCAUUUUCAAGAUUUGAAUUUUUCUCCCCCUGUUUCAAAUGCUUUUCCUUUGACUAAACAAAACUCCCCCUAAAUGAGAUCCUCCUCUUAGUGUUCAAGAGGGUUUUGAUAUAUCAUUUUUGAAAUACUACUUUCUCCCUCUUUUGAACAUAACAGGGUACCAAUUGAAAAUACUCUUUGAAAAACUAAGUUUUCGAAAUUGGUGGUGGUGCGGUCCUUUUGCUUUGGGCUCAUACUUUCUCCCCCUUUGGCAUGAAUCGCCAAAAACGGAAUCAUUAGAGCCCUUGAAUUACUUUCUCCCUCUUUAGUAAAAAACAAAUGAGAUAAGAUUAUACCAAAGAUGGAGUCCUUUUGCUUGGUGCUCAUGGUUUCUCCCCCAAGAAUGGAGAGUUGCUUGGAGUGAUGGCGAAGAAUGAGUUACGUAGUGGAAGCCUUUGUCUUCGCCGAAGACUCCAAUUUCCUUUCAAUACACCUAUGACUUGGUUUGAAAUAGACUUGGAAACAUAUUAGUCAUAGCAUAUGAAAGCGAUAUGAUCAAAGGUAUACAAAUGAGCUAUGUGUGCAAGUUAGCAAAAGAAAUUGCGCGAAUCAAGAAUAUUGAGCUCAUGCCUAAGUUUGUUAAAAGUUUGUUCAUCAAGAGGCUUGGUAAAGAUAUCGGCUAAUUGAUCUUUAGUAUUAAUGUAAGAAAUCUCGAUAUCUCCCUUUUGUUGGUGAUCCCUAAGAAAAUGAUACCGAAUGGCUAUGUGUUUAGUGCGGCUAUGCUCGACGGGAUUAUCUGCCAUCUUGAUUGCACCCUCAUUAUCACAUAGCAAAGGGACUUUGGUCAAUUUGUAACCGUAGUCCCGCAGGGUUUGCCUCAUCCAAAGCAACUGCGCGCAACAAUGGCCUGCGGCAAUAUACUCGGCUUCGGCGGUGGAAAGAGCGACCGAAUUUUGCUUCUUUGAAGCCCAAGACACCAAGGAUCUUCCCAAGAACUGGCAAGUCCCCGAUGUGCUCUUCCUAUUGAUUUUACACCCCGCCCAAUUGGCAUCCGAAUAACCAAUCAAAUCAAAUGUGGAUCCCCUAGGAUACCAAAGCCCAAACUUAGGAGUAUAAGCCAAAUAUCUCAAGAUUCGUUUUACGGCCGUAAGGUGAGCUUCCUUAGGGUCGGCUUAGAAUCUUGCACACAUGCAUACGGAAAGCAUAAUAUCCGGUCGAGAUGCACAUAAAUAGAGUAAUGAACCUAUCAUUGACCGGUAUACCUUUUGAUCCACGGACUUACCUCCCGUGUCGAGGUCGAGAUGCCCAUUAGUUCCCAUGGGUGUCUUGAUGGGCUUGGCAUCCUUCAUCCCAAACUUGUUUAGAAUGUCUUGAGUAUACUUCGUUUGGCUAAUGAAGGUGCCCUCUUGGAGUUGCUUCACUUGAAAUCCCAAGAAGUACUUCAACUCCCCCAUCAUAGACAUCUCGAACUUUUGUGUCAUGAUCCUACUAAAUUCUUCACAUGUAGACUCGUUAGUAGACCCAAAUAUAAUAUCAUCAACAUAAAUUUGGCAUACAAACAAGUCAUUUUCAAUAGUUUUAGUGAAUAGAGUAGGAUCGACCUUUCCGACUUUGAAUUCAUUAGUGAUGAGAAAAUCCCUAAGGCAUUCAUAUCAUGCUCUUGGGGCUUGCUUGAGCCCAUAAAGCGCCUUAGAGAGUUUGUAAACAUGGUUAGGGUACUCACUAUCUUCAAAGCCGGGAGGUUGCUCAACAUAGACCUCUUCCUUGAUUGGUCCAUUGAGGAAGGCACUUUUCACGUGCAUUUGAUAAAGCUUAAAGCCAUGGUUAGUAGCAUAGGCUAAUAAUAUACGAAUUGACUCAAGCCUAGCUACGGGUGCAUAGGUUUCACCGAAAUCCAAACCUUCGACUUGGGAGUAUCCCUUGGCCACAAGUCGAGCUUUGUUCCUUGUCACCACACCAUGCUCAUCUUGCUUAUUGCGGAAGACCCAUUUGGUUCCUACAACAUUUUGAUUAGGACGUGGAACUAAAUGCCAUACCUCAUUCCUAGUGAAGUUGUUGAGCUCCUCUUGCAUUGCCACCACCCAAUCCGAAUCUUGUAGUGCUUCCUCUACCCUGUGUGGCUCAAUAGAGGAAACAAAGGAAUAAUGCUCACAAAAAUGUGCAACACGAGAUCUAGUAGUUACCCCCUUAUGAAUGUCGCCGAGGAUGGUGUCGACGGGAUGAUCUCGUUGGAUUGCUUGGUGGACUCUUGGGUGUGGCGGUCUUUGUUCCUCAUCCUCCUUGUCUUCCUCAUUUGCAUCUCCCCCUUGAUCAUUGCCAUCAUCUUGAGGUGGUUCAUUUGCUUGAUUUUCUACUUCAUCAACUUGAGCUUCAUCCUCAUUUUGAGUCGGUGGAGAUGCUUGCGUGGAGGAGGAUGGUUGAUCCUGUGUAUUUGGAGGCUCUUCGGAUUCCUUAGGACACACAUCCCCAAUGGACAUGUUCCUUAGCGCGAUGCACGGAGCCUCUUCAUCACCUAUCUCAUCAAGAUCAACUUGCUCUACUUGAGAGCCGUUAGUCUCAUCAAACACAACGUCACAAGAAACUUCAACUUGUCCAGUGGACUUGUUAAAGACUCUAUAUGCCCUUGUGUUUGAAUCAAAUCCUAGUAAAAAGCCUUCUACAGUCUUAGGAGCAAAUUUAGAUUUUCUACCUCUUUUAACAAGAAUAAAGCAUUUGCUACCAAAGACUCUAAAAUAUGAAAUGUUGGGCUUUUUACCGGUUAGGAGCUCAUAAGAUGUCUUCUUGAGGAUUCGGUGUAGAUAUAACCGGUUGAUGGCGUAGCAAGCGAUGUUGACCGCCUCGGCCCAAAACCGAUCCGAAGUCUUGUACUCAUCAAGCAUGGUCCUUGCCAUGUCCAAUAGAGUUCGAUUCUUCCUCUCCACUACACCAUUUUGUUGUGGCGUGUAGGGAGAAGAGAACUCAUGCUUGAUGCCCUCCUCCUCAAGGAAGCCUUCGAUUUGAGAGUUCUUGAACUCCGUCCCGUUGUCGCUUCUAAUUUUCUUGAUCCUUAAGCCGAACUCGUUUUGAGCUCGUCUCAAGAAUCCCUUUAAGGUUUCUUGGGUUUGAGAUUUUUCCUGCAAAAAGAACACCCAAGUGAAGCGAGAAUAAUCAUCCACUAUUACAAGACAAUACUUACUCCCGCCGAUGCUUAUGUAAGCAAUCGGGCCAAAUAGAUCCAUGUGGAGUAGCUCAAGCGGCCUGUCGGUCGUCAUGAUGUUCUUGUGUGGAUGAUGGGCUCCAACUUGCUUUCCUGCCUGGCAUGCGCUACAAAUCUUGUCUUUCUCAAAAUGAACAUUUGUUAAUCCUAAAAUGUGUUCUCCCUUUAGAAGCUUGUGAAGAUUCUUCAUCCCAACAUGGGCUAGUCGGCGGUGCCAGAGCCAGCCCAUGUUAGUCUUAGCAAUUAAGCAUGUGUCGAGUUCAGUUCUAUCAAAAUCUACUAAGUAUAGCUGACCCUCUAACACACCCUUAAAUGCUAUUGAAUCAUCACUUCUUCUAAAGACAGUGACACCUAUAUCAGUGAAUAGACAGUUGUAGCCCAUUUUGCAUAAUUGAGAUACAGAAAGCAAAUUGUAGUCUAAUGAAUCUACAAGAAAAACAUUGGAAAUAGAAUGGUCAGGAGAUAUAGCAAUUUUACCCAAUCCUUUGACCAAACCUUGGUUUCCAUCCCCGAAUGUGAUUGCUCGUUGGGGAUCUUGGUUUUUCUCAUAGGAGGAGAACAUUUUCUUCUCCCCUGUCAUGUGGUUUGUGCACCCGCUGUCGAUGAUCCAACUUGAGCCCCCGGAUGCAUAAACCUACAAAACAAGUUUAGUUCUUGACUUUAGGUACCCAAAUGGUUUUGGGUCCUUUGGCAUUAGACACAAGAACUUUGGGUACCCAAACACAAGUCUUUGAUCCCUUGUGCUUGCCCCCAACAUAUUUGGCAACUACUUUGCCAGAUUUGUUAGUCAACACAUAAGAUGCAUCAAAAGUUUUAAAUGAAAGACUAUGUUCAUUUGAUGCAUUAGGAAUUUUCUUCUUAGGCAACUUAGCACGGGUUGGUUGCCUAGAGCUAGAUGUCUCACUCUUAUACAUAAAAGCAUGGUUAGAACCAGAGUGAAACUUCCUAGAAUGAAUUUUCCUAAUUUUGUCCUCGGGAUAACCGGCAGGGUAUAAAAUGUAACCCUCGUUAUCCUGAGGCAUGGGAGCCUUGCCCUUAACAAAGUUGGACAAUCUUUUAGGAGGGGCAUUAAGUUUGACAUUGUCCCCCCUUUGGAAGCCAAUGCCAUCCUUGAUGCCAGGGCAUCUCCCACUAUAGAGCAUACUUCUAGCAAAUUUAAAUUUUUCGUUUUCUAAGUUAUGCUCGGCAAUUUUAGCAUCUAAUUUUGCUAUAUGAUCAUUUUGUUGUUUAAUUAAAGACAUGUGAUCAUGAAUAGCAUUAAUAUCAACAUCUCUACAUCUAGUACAAAUAGAUACAUGCUCAACGAUAGAUGUAGAGGGUUUGCAAGAUUUUAAUUCUACAACCUUAGCAUGUAACAUGUCAUUCUUAGUUCUAAGGUCGGAAAUAGUAGCAAUGCAAACAUCAAAAUCUUUAGCCUUAGCAAGCAAUUUUUCAUUUUCAAUCCUAAGGCUAGAAAGAGAAAUGUUCGAUUCUUCAAUCCUAGCAAGUAAAUCAUCAUCAUUAUUUCUAGAAUUGGUUAUUGAAACAUUACAAACAUGAGAAUCAACCUUAGCUAACAAAUUACCAUUUUCAUUUCUAAGGUUGUCUAUUGUCUCAUGGCAAGUGCUUAGCUCACUAGAUAAUUUUUCACAUUUCUCAAUUUCUAGAGCAUAAGCAUUUUUAACCUUAACAUGCUUCUUAUUUUCCUUAAUUAGGAAGUCCUCUUGGGAAUCCAAAAGGUCAUCCUUUUCAUGGAUAGCACUAAUUAAUUCAUUUAAUUUUUCUUUUUGUUCCAUGUUAAGGUUGGCAAAAAGGGUACGCAAAUUAUCUUCCUCAUCACUAGCAUUAUCAUCACUAGAGGACUCAUAUCUAGUGGAGGAUUUAGAUUUAACCUUCUUUUUGCCGUCCUUUGCCAUGAGGCACUUGUGGCCGACGUUGGGGAAGAGGAGUCCCUUGGUGACGGCGAUGUUGGCGGCGUCCUCGUCGUCGGAGGAGUCGGUGGAGCUCUCGUCGGAGUCCCACUCCCGACAAACAUGGGCAUCACCGCCCUUCUUCUUGUAGUACCUCUUCUUCUCCUUCUUCUCCCCUUCUUGUCGUCGCCCCUGUCACUAUCACUUGAUAAUGGACAUUUAGCUAUGAAGUGACCGGGCUUACCACACUUGUAGCAAACCUUCUUGGAGCGGGACUUGUAGUCUUUCCCCUCCUUUGUUUGAGGAUUUGGCGGAAGCUCUUGAUGACGAGCGUCAUUUCCUCAUUGUCGAGCUUGGAGGUGUCGAUUGGUUGUCUACUUGGUGUAGACUCCUCCUUCUUUUCUUCCGUCGCCUUGAAUGCGACGGGUUGAGCUUCGGAUGUGGAGGGAUCAUCAAGCUCGUUGAUCUUCCUCGAGCCUUCGAUCAUGCACUCAAAACUCACGAAAUUCCCGAUUACUUCCUCGGGGUCAUUAGUGUAUAUCUUGGGUUGCCACGAAUUAAUUGUACUUGAGUAGGGUUAAGAAAAAUAAGAGAUCUUAAAAUAACCUUAACCAUUUCGUGGUCAUCCCAUUUCUUGCUCCCGAGGUUGCGCACUUGAUUCACCAAGGUCUUGAGCCGGUUGUACAUGUUUUGUGGCUCCUCCCCUUUGCGAAGCCGGAACCGACCGAGCUCCCCCUCGAUCGUCUCCCGCUUGGUGAUCUUUGUAAGCUCAUCUCCUUCGUGUGCGGUUUUGAGCACAUCCCAAACCUCCUUGGCGCUCUUCAACCCUUGUACUUUGUUAUACUCCUCUCUACUUAGAGAAGCGAGGAGUAUUGUUGUUGCUUGAGAGUUGAAGUGCUCGAUUUGGGCCACCUCAUCCUCAUCAUAGUCUUCAUCCCCUACGGAUGGUACCUGUGCACCAAACUCAACAACAUCUCAUAUACUUUUGUGGAGUGAAAUUAGAUGAAAUCGCAUUAAAUCACUCCACCUAGCAUAAUCUUUACCAUCAAAAGUUGGUGGUUUGCCUAAUGGGACGGAAAGUAAAGGUGUAUGUUUGGAAAUGCGAGGGUAGCGUAGGGGAAUCUUACUAUACUUCUUACGCUCUUGGCGCUUAGAAGUGACGGACGCCACGUCGGAGCCGGAGGUGGAUGCCGAUGAAGAAUCGGUCUCGUAGUAGACCACCUUCCUCAUCCUCUUUUUCUUGUCCCCACUCCGUUGCGGCUUGUGGGAGGAAGACUUCUCCUUCUUCUCUUUGUGUGAAGAAGAUUUCUUCUCCUUCCCUUUGGAGGAGUCCUUCUUCUUCUCCUUCCCUUUGGAGGAGUCUUUCUUCUCCUUCCUCUUGGUGCGGGACUCUUCCGAUGAAGUGCUCCCGUGGCUUGUAGUGGGUUUUUCGCCGGUCUCCAUCUCCUUCUUGGCGUGAUCUCCCGACAUCACUUCGAGCGGUUAGGCUCUAAUGAAGCACCGGGCUUUGAUACCAAUUGAUAGUCGCCUAGAGGGGGGUGAAUAGGGCGAAACUGAGAUUUACAAAUAUAAACACAACUACAAGCCGGGUUAGCGUUAGAAAUAAAACCGAGUCCGCGAGAGAGGGUGCAAAACAAAUCUCAAGCAAAUAAGAAGUGAGACACACGGAUUUGUUUUACCGAGGUUCGGUUCUCGCAAACCUACUCCCCGUUGAGGAGGCCACAAAGGCCGGGUCUUUUUCAACCCUUUCCCUCUCUCAAACGAUCCCACGGACCGAGUGAGCUUCUCUUCUCAAAUCACUUGGGAAUCAAACUUCCCGCAAGGACCACCACACAAUUGGUGUCUCUUGCCUCAAUUACAAGUGAGUGUUUGAUCACAAGAAAGAAUGCGAAAGAAAAGAAUGCGAUCCAAGCGCAAGAGCUCAAGAGAACACAACAAAUCACUCUCGCUAGUCACUAAAGCUUUUGUGGAAUUUGGGAGAGGAUUUGAUCACUUGGGUGUGUCUUGUAUUGAAUGCCUAGCUCUUGUAAGUGGUUGGAAGCUGGAAAACUUGGAUGCAAUGAAUGGUGGGGUGGUUGGGGUAUUUAUAGCCCCAACCACCAAACUUGACCGUUGGUGGAGGUUGUCUGUCGUAUGGUGCACCGGACAGUCCGGUGUACACCGGACAUGUCCGGUGCGCCAGCCACGUCACCAAUGUCGUUGGAUUCUGACCGUUGGAGCUUCUGUCUUCUGGGCCCGCCUGGAUGUCCGGUGCACACCGGACAUGUACUGUUCAAUGUCUGGUGCGCCAGUAUGGGCGUGCCUGACUUCUGCGCGCUUCUGGCGCGCAUUGAAUGCCGUUUGCAGGUGACCGUUGGCGCGAAGUAGCCGUUGCUCCGCGGAUGCACCGGACAGUCCGGUGUACACCGGACAUGUCCGGUGAAUUAUAGCGGAGCAGCCGCUGCGUUUUCCCGAGGCUGGCGAGUUCCAGAGGCCGCUCUUCUUUGGAGCACCGGACACUGUCCGGUGUACACCGGACAGUCCAGUGUACACCGGACAGUCCGGUGAAUUAUAGCGGAGCGCCUCUGGAAAUUCCCGAAGGUGGCGAGUUUGAGUUGGAGUCCUCUGGUGCACCGGACACUGUCCGGUGCCCCAGACCAGAGGUGCCUUCGGUUGUCCCUUUGCUCCUUUGUUGAAUCCAAUAUUUGAUCUAUUUAUUGGCUAAGUGUGAGCCUUUUACACCUGUAUAACUUAUACACUAGAGCAAACUAGUUAGUCCAAUUGUUUGUGUUGGGCAAUUCAACCACCAAAAUUAAUUAGGGACUAGGUGUAAGCCUAAUUCCCUUUCAAUUCUUCAGUAGCAUGACGUAGUUAAGAUCUCUGGCACGGGCCCGAGUGAUUGGCCCUUGAUGUGGAGGUGCUGCUGGUGUAGUCGUACUCAUAGUGAUGUCCUCAUCAAAACCCGUACCCAUGACGGGUUUGAAAAUUUGCCCAAACCUGUACCCAUCGGGUUAGCGGGUACCCAUGGGUUACCCGCGAGUUUUAUCUCCAAUAUGCUUGUUCUUCUCAUAAUCAAUAAGUAUCGUAAUGAUUAAUGAGAUCAUGGUCCAAAAUUUAUGUGAUGAACAACAAGUUCAUGAUUUGGUAUAGAAAUUAUUAGUAGAGAGAAUGAAAUACAAAUAAUAAGUUGUACAAUCAAGUGACCUUGCACUAAGUUAUGCAUCCACCACAUAUAUAACGCUAGUAAAAACUAUAAUAGCAAGCAAGCAACACUCUCACCAACUACUUUAGUCUACUUAUACAUUCACCAUUUUCUAAAAAUUAGGAAGUAAAUAGGGAGAUAACAAGUUUGUUGUUCGUUUAUAAAAUAAAAUGAUAAUAUGCAUUAGGUUUGGUCGGGUUUAAAAAACCCACGGUUCACGGGUUUGGGUACUGUAGGAACAAACCCGUACCCAUGAACCGUUGGGUAUAGAUUUAUGCCCAUUAACAAACCCAUGUGUAUGAAAAUUGACCCAAACCCGUACCCUAAUGGGUAAAAACCCAUCGGGUUUUAGGUACCCAUUGCCAUUUCUACACCGGAGUGAGACCUCGACGCAUUUAUUUUGGCGCCAAAACGUGUAACCUCGACGCCAAUAAUGACGGUGCUGAGGUAAGGGUCCAUUUUUUGAAUUCAAACUAGAAAGUGCGUAGUUGUGAAAAUCUUUCGUAAAAGGGCCAAAAAGCAAAAAAGUUGGCCCCUUCAGGCGCCCUAUGGAGCACAAAGGGAAAAAUAGGAGUACAGGCAAAGCAAUAAAGCAACGAUCGGACAAAACAUAUAGAGGUUGAUCAUAAUUUACAUUAAAGUUGUAGUUGUUUUUUUGUUUCAGCAUAAUUUACUUUACAUAGAGGUGCAACAUAGUGUAAUAAUGAUCCAAGUCUACGUUAUGCGCCACACAUAGGGACAAACACCACAUCGGGAGGUUAUACAUGAUAUUGGGAAAUAUAGCCUAGCUGAUGCAAUCCACAUAGUUAUGUACAUAGACCUCUGUAAACUAUAGGCGUAGGUCCACUUCAAUCCACAAAAGCUAAGCAAACUAUCCAUCCAGCAAAGUGAAGCAAACAUUCCAUCGACAAAGCACAUCAUAUGUCAUGUGUUCAAACUCCAGGUUUGUGGAGACUGCAAACAUCAAAUGCAAGAAUCUACUUCCUUAAAACUUGAAGCCCUUUCGAGCUCUCCCCUCAUUUCAUGCGCUCACAGCCCUCCGCGGCGCGACGCGUGCGCUGGUGGUCGGACCUGAAUUUUUUCUCCGAUUCAAUUGAGCUGUGCGACAUACGCGGUCUGUCCCACUAGGCCACCACGGCACCACCCAUGUGGUCCCGGAUCGGCCUACAUGUUCUUGACCUCUCAAGUCUCACAUAUAUAAUGACUCAUGAUACAGAAACGAAUGCCACCUCUUUACUAUACAAUAGGAGUUCUGUACAAAAUAACUAAAUACUUACAUCAUACAAAGACAACGAUAUUCCAGCAACCUGAGUUCACUCAAAGACGACAUACUAGACCUCUCAUGAAUCUCAUCGCGACAUCCUUCAUGCUCCUCAUCUUGCGGUACUUGUUCUUGACCUGGGGGAUGUGAAAACAACAAGGGUGAGCUCACAUAAAUUCAUCACUCAACAAGUUGUGAGAAAUAAUGUGCAUGAGCUCACUUACAAUGGAGGCUAUGUGAAGUGUAAGGCUUAUCAAAGAAGAUGGUUAAAGCUGAGCAUUGCUUUUAAAGUUGGUCAAAGUUUUAUUAGCAGUUACUAAGUGUAAGUAGAUACUAACCCAAAUAAAUAAGAUAUCACAAUUAAUAAUAAAACACACAAUACAAUGCAAAUGACAAAUUGAGUUUAAUUCCAUAAAUUAAUCAUGUGAUGGCCCGAGCUACUCAUGAUCGUGAGCACGACUGAUAUACCAGUUUUACUGAAAGUAGCCUAGAGGGGGGGUGAAUAGGCUACACCUGAAAAUUUUCACUAAAAACUUCGAAAUAGGUUAAAUUAAAGUUGCACAGGUGCAAACCGGUUCAGUCGAUUUUAAUCACAACUGAACAAGUUUGAAUCCGCUCAACUUAAAUUUGAUAAUCUAUUGAACAAAUGCGAAGUAGGGAAGAAUAUAGCUAAAGAUUUGCCCUACACAAAAUCUACUCAAAUGAAUAUUAUGAACCAACCACUGAAUAUAAAACGCUUGACAAGAACACACAAGAACACGCGAUAUAACCCGAGGUUCGGCAACCACCACAAAGGUGUCCUACUCCUCGUUGAGGAACCCACAAAGGGUCGGGUCUUUUCCAACCCUAAUCCUCCACAAGCCGACCACAAAGGUCAAGGCAAUCUCUUCUCAAAUCAGCUCAAGGAGCGGGUGAUACAAACUUCUUGGGGUCGUCCACAAAUUUGGAGACUCCCAAGCAACCUCUAACCGUCAAGGAACACGAGGUUCCAAGAGUAACAAAUCCGCACACGGUUAAGUUUGCAACGAGCUCAAGAACAAGAGAAUGGGAGAAUCGAGAUGAAAUUGACAGCGAGUUCGAUCGAGUUCACCUCACACCAAGGGUCCUUCAAAUGAUUGAAGGAGAUGCGAUUGCGGGUGUGAAAGGUGAAAUGAAUGCUCUUGUUUGAAAGUUGGUCAGCCAAGAAUUCGUGGGAGAGGCAGGAGUAAAUGAGAGAGAGAGUGUGAGGGGGUAUAUAAAGGAUCCCCCAAAAGCUGGCAGCCGUUGGGAGAAAAGGAGCAAAAACCGGUUGAACCGGUUUUCAGACCGGUUGAACCGGUUUCUACCAGGGGAAUCCCGCUCCACUGACCUACUCAGCCGGACACUCGACCGGUUUCAAAACCGGCUGAGUAGGGACAAAAUUCGGCUCAACCGGUUUCUAAAAAAUAUCUGCUGCGACUUUUUCUGACAGCUCUGACUGUCAGACAGGUCAGAGCAGAGGUGGCAGGUGAACAGUACCGAAACCGGUUGAACCGGUUUUGGGGGCUGAAACCAAAUUUUGAGUAUUUUGAAGGGAACAAAAGGGGAAACUUUGUGGGAAGUAAAAUUUGUUUUUCUCAAGAGCAUUCAUGAUCUGGGAAAAUGAUCUCCAAGGAGUUUUCAAAAGAUUUUGAACUUGGCUCGUUUCACAACUUACUUAACCGUCGCAGAUCCCUCUUAAUUGUACGGCGAUUCCUAUGACUCAAGAAUUAUAAAUUUAGCACCGCUGUUGUUUCUUAGCACUUGGAGCACGCCAUUUGAUGUGGAAUUUUAAAUCCGCUGUGCUUUAUACUUUUAUGCUCGUAAGAUCUGUGCUUCUCCUGUCUGUAGAAAUACUGUGUACAAACUAGGAGCAAACUUGUUAGAAUCUUAGUUUGUUUUGUCAUUAAUCACCAAAACCCUUAAUUAGGGUUGAUUGCACUUACAAUCUCCCCCUUUUUGGUGAUUGAUGCCAAAACAAACUAGAAUGGAAAUAAAAAUUAAAAUUUACAAGUACUUGCAAGAUAAAAUCUUUUAUGUAUGUGUAGCUCCCCCUAAAUAUGUGCAUGAGUUUUGUGAUAUUAACAUUGACUUGAUAUGUCAAUUUGCAACAUAUUUAGAGAGAGAGAACAAUCAACACCAUACACACAAAUGAUGAGGUAUGAAACAUAAUUGGAUAGAAAAAGUAAAAACACAUUCAAGCUCAUUAUUGCAUAGCAUAUGAUAUAAAAAAGUUCUACAGCUAUUACAAUAACGAGAGCUCGUCUCAUCACAUCAUAAAAGUGUUUAUGGCAAUCGAGCCAUGCAUGCAUCAAAUAGUUAUUACAGACCAAGUGUUCAUUACAAAAAUAAAGGAGUACUGCAUAAUAAACUUUCUCCCCCUUUUUGGCAACAAGAACCAAAAAGAGAGAGAGAGAAGCGCCAAUCCAAUGAUCACCAGUGGGGAGGAGGAUGAUGAGGAGCAAAGAGGUGUUGCGCCAGGUUAGAGGCAAAGUGUUCCUCUCCAGACUGGGCCGGAGGAGGAGCACUGCCAGAAGGGUCCUGGGGCGGAGGAUAAGAGGACGAUUGGCCCGGAUCCCCGUGAUACGGAGGCAGGACAAACUGCUCCGGAUCAUCAAAAUAAGUUUCUUCUUCUUCGACGUCAUCAGCUGUUGAAAAAGGCACCCCAUAUGCCUGCUGGUACCACUCGUUGACAUCUGGAGGAGGAGGGUGGAGAGGUACAUCAGGAGAGCGGGGGGCGAAGGGAGUACCCAAAGCGGAAGCUUGACGACGAAGGUUGUCGUCGGUCUCCCGCUGACGUCGAGCCACCUCAUGAACAUCUGCAGCAAUGUUUCGGCACAUGGAGAAGAAAGCCGCAAACCCGUGGGCCAAGCGGGCACCCAUCCCACGGCCACGACCUCGACCACGACCACGACCACGUGGUGUGGGAGAUCCGCGGCCAGGGGAAGGGCGCGAGGCACCAGCAGCAGCAGCAGCACCACCACCACCAGCACCAGCAGACGGACCCGCAGAUGUAUGAGCACGAGAACUAGUGGGGGCUUUCCUGAGGCGCCCUGCUGGAUUAUUGGGAUCAAUCCAGAAAGGGGUGUAUGACUGAUGUUUGGUACCUUUGUCAAAUCUGAACUGAGUCACAACCUCAAACAUCUUCAUUAUGAAUGGAGCAUGAAGACACCCCUUCAAAGGAAAGCAGGCGGCAUGAAUGAUCUCCUGCCAAAUCAUGUCGAAGACAUUUAUCCUUUCUGAGCUGCUGGGUUUCAUAAAAGAGAGCAAGACCUUGCUCUCCCCAAGAAUGUUCAUUUGAUUUCCCCCUUUUGGAAUGAGGGUCAUCCUGCAGAGGGAGUUGAUAUAACGAUAAUACUUAUGAAUGUUGGUCGACUCCCAAUACUUUCCAGACUCAGAAAGAUGAAGAUCCUUGGCUUCAUCUCUAGUGGGCUGCCGGAAAUCAUGAAUCUUAUCUUGUCGCCAGAUAUAUCAUUGUCAGAAAAGCCAAGAAUGUGAGCAAAUCGACGAUAGCUCACCUUGUACCAACUACCUUCAAUGAAGAAAUUCAGAUAGGGGUUGUUGUAAUGACUCUCCUCGUCAACAAGCUUUAUCCAGAGAGUGGAGUAGAAUUGAGCAAUCACUUCAUCAUUCCAAUCAUAUUGGAAUGUCAUGAUAUUCUUCAUCUGUUUCCUUUCACAGGCCCUCAAUGCCUGUGACAUUUCUGGGUCCCCAAUGGCUUCACAACCUUCCCAGUUGAUAUAACGUUGAUGCAGGAUAGGUUGAUGCUUCUUGGGGAGAAUGACGGAAUUAUAGAAAUCCACGUGAUGAAGUGUCCAAAAACGAUUUCCAUCGAUCCUGGCAUCGCGAAUACGCAAUACAGGAUUUUGGAAACGAAGAUCCUGGAGAAGAGCAGAGCCUCCACUGGCAGUGAAGUCAGUGACUGGCUCAUUGCCAGCACGCCGAGCCUCUGCCCGGUGGAGGACCAAGCCACGAAUCACAGGAGCGUGGGCCGGGGGAAGAUCGACUUCAUCGUCCUUCCCGCCAUCAUCAUCACUUGCAGGCUCCCACGCCUGCGGAUUCGUCGCAGGUCGAGACCGACCGGAAGGAUUCCGGGAUGUCCGACCGCGAGCACUUUGAGACCCGGAGGCCUCAGCACCCGGCAUGACAUUGCCGCUUCCGCGCCCUCGCUUGGAUCGAGAGCGAGGUGGAGUAUCUCCGUGGAUUUCCUGGUCAUCCGAGGAGUCGGAUUCGACCACAGACGGGUUCCUUCGACGCACCAUUCUAAGAAAUAAGAAAUAGAACCUAUGAUGAGCAAGGAUCAAACAUGUUUGAGUAGAAACGCAUAAGAUAUUGACCAUGCACUUCAACCGUUCAUAUGAGCGGUUCAACUACAACGAACAAUAUCAAAUCGCUAAUCUCUAACAAUGUUUGUGACAAAUGAGGAUAGUCUAAGUGUUGCAAUCACUUAAACUAGAAUGUACCCAACGAAUGAUAUAAUAGAUAAUCAAGAACGCGUAGGACCAAAUAUAAGAAAAUAAAAUAGGGCAAUACCUCGAUCCGGAGAUUGGGUCAAGAACUCCCAACGAGAUGGAGGAAGAUGGUGGAAAAACGCCGGGAUGAGCGGAUCUCCAACAACUCUUCCAAACGUGAGAGGGCACGAGAGAUUUUGGAGUGGAGUGUGAAGGUGGAGAAUGAGAGGACGGCGGCGGCUGUAAAAAGUUGAGAGGGCAGCGGCGGCUGUAAAAAGAGACUGAGAAGGGAAAAGGAGAGAGGGAGAGAUAUAAAAAGGGGAAGAGUCGGCCGCCAGAAAACCGAAAACCGGUUCAACCGGUUCAAAAACCGGUUCAACCGGUUUCUGGUCAAACUACACAGUAAAAGCGCGCAGAAAACGGUGUUGACUGCGCGAAAAUUCUGGCAGUCUGACAGCACAGACUGCAAAACUGACAGCGCAGACUGCGCAGCUGUCAGCGCAGACUGCACGCUGACUGACGGCGCGACGGCCAAAACCGGUUCAACCAGUUUUUAUACCGGUUCAACCGGUUUCCACCAGGGAGAAACCGGUUGAGUGGCCUACUCAGCCGGUUUACUCAACCAGUUUCCAGAUAUUGCCCGGAAGGGCUAUAAUAGCACUUAGCAAAUAUGACAUGAGAUAUUUUAAAGAUAAAAAUGUUAUUUCUCAUUUCAUAUUGCUCAAACAAUCAAUUUUCAACCAUCAAAUUUGAUCAAAAUUUUAGUUAUUAAGUCACGUUUCGAGAAUCCAAGAUAUUCAGUUCACUCCUAAGAAAACAAAACCUAGUCUCAUCGAGGGGUUUUGUGAAGAUAUCGGCUAGUUGAUUUUCGGUGCUCACAUGAAAAAGUUCGAUAUCUCCUUUGGCUUCGUGGUCUCUCAAGAAAUGGUGUCUGAUGUCAAUAUGUUUAGUUCUAGAGUGUUGCACUGGGUUGUUUGCAAGUUUUAUGGCACUCUCAUUGUCACACAAAAGUGGAAUUUUGUUAAACUCACAACCAAAAUCUCUAAGGGUUUGCUUCAUCCAUAACAACUGUGCACAACAUGCCCCAGCUGCUAUGUAUUCAGCUUCUGCAGUGGAAAGUGCAACACAAUUUUGUUUCUUGGAACUCCAUGACACUAGGGAUCUCCCAAGGAAUUGGCAAGUCCCAGUAGUGCUUUUUCGAUCUACUUUGCAACCGGCAUAAUCUGAGUCAGAGUAGCCAAGCAAAUCGAAAAGGGAGCCUUUAGGAUACCAUAAUCCUAGGUUUUGGGUGUGGACUAAGUAUCUUAGAAUUCUCUUAACGGCUACAAGAUGGCAAUCUUUAGGAUUUGCUUGAAAACGUGCACACAUGCAAACACUCAACAUUAUAUCAGGCCUAGAUGCACAUAAGUAAAGCAGUGAUCCUAUCAUUGAUCUAUAUAAUUUUUGAUCUACAGGUUUACCUUCCUCAUUUAGGUCGAGAUGUCCAUUUGAUGACAUUGGAGUCUUGGCGUGUUUUGCUUUGUCCAUGCCAAACUUCUUGAGAAUAUCUUGAGUAUAUUUAGUUUGGCAUAGAAAAGUACCUUCCUUGAGUUGUUUGACUUGAAAUCCCAGGAAGUAUUUAAGCUCGCCCAUCAUAGACAUCUCAAACCUGUUCGUCAUUACUUUGCUAAACUCUUCACAAAAUUUUUCAUUAGUACUACCAAAUAUAAUGUCAUCAACAUAUAUUUGGCACACAAAUAAUUCAUUGUCAACUUUUCGAGUAAAUAAAGUAGAGUCAGCUUUUCCUAUUGUAAACCCAUUCUUAAUUAAAAAAUCUUUAAGACAGUCAUACCAAGCUCUAGGGGCUUGUUUAAGCCCGUAGAGUGCCUUGUGAAGUAGAUAAACAUGAUUUGGCUUCUUUGGGUCUUCAAAGCCCGGUGGUUGCUCCACAUAUACUCUCUCUUGUAGUGGUCCAUUUAGAAAAGCGCUCUUGACAUCCAUUUGAUAUAGCUUGAAAUCAUGGUUAGUAGCAUAGGCAAUUAAUAUUCUAAUUGAUUCUAACCUUGCUACCGGCGCAUAUGUUUCACCAAAAUCAAGUCCUUCCACUUGAGUAUAGCCUUGGGCAACCAACCGUGCCUUGUUUCUUGUAACCACGCCAUGUUCAUCUUGCUUGUUCCUAAAGACCCAUUUAGUCCCAAUCACAUUUUGUUUGGGUCUUUGGACUAAGGACCAGACUUCAUUCCUAGUGAAGUUGUUCAACUCCUCUUGCAUGGCAAUUAUCCAAUCCGGAUCACCCAAUGCUUCUUCAACCUUAAGUGGCUCAAGAGAGGAAACAAACGAGUAAAAUUCACAAAAAAUAGCUAAACGAGAUCGAGUUGUUACCCCUCUCCUGAUGCUACCCAGGAUGUUGUCCACUGGAUGAUCCCUUUGUAUUGUUUGAUGGACUCUAGGAUGAGGCACUGAUGGAUGUCUUUGUAUUUGCUCCUCCUCAUCAAUUACUUGAUCAAGAGGCACUUCACCAUCAAUACUUUCUUGUUCAUCUUCUACCACUGUUGGCAUCAUUUGAUGAUUUUCUUCGUGGCUUGGAUGACUUGAGGUUGAUGGGAUUGCUUGGGUGGAGACUUUGUCACUCACCACCCUUGCACCCACAUCAACUACCUCAUUGGUCAUCCAUAAGGUUCCUUCUUCAUCAUCCCUUUCUUGAGGUCUCACCUCACUUAUUGCAAGUUUCUUUAUGGCCUCACAAGGUAGUUCUUCAUUUCCUGCAGUGUCAUUAGAAACAUGCCCUUGUGAGCCAUUAGACUCAUCAAAUGUCACGUCUAUCGCUAUUUCAACAAGACCGGUGGUAUUGUUGAAAACACGAUAUCCAUGCGCAUUUGAUGCAUAACCAAGCAAGAAGCCCUCGUCCACUCUAGGAGCAAACUUUGAGCUCUUGACUUUCUUGUUAAGAAUAAAACAUUUACAACCAAAUACUCUAAAAUAAUCAACUUUAGGUUUAUUACCAGUGAGAAGCUCAUAAGCAGUCUUUUUGUAGAUCUUAUGAAGAUAGAGACGGUUGAUUGCAUGACAGGCGGUGUUGACCGCCUCUGCCCAGAAGUUGUCAGGUGUCUUGUAUUCAUCCAACAUGGUUCUUGCAGCUUCAAUUAGAGUUCGGUUCUUUCUUUCCACAACACCAUUUUGUUGUGGAGUGUAAGGCACCGAGAACUCAUGUUUGAUUCCCUCUUCUCCUAAGAAUUCUUCGACGCCUGUGUUCUUGAAUUCCGUCCCAUUAUCGCUUCUCACUUUCUUGAUUUUGAGCUCAAAUUCAUUUUGAGCUCUCCUCAUGAAUUUCUUCAAAAUUUCUUGAGUUUCACCUUUGUCACUCAAAAAGAAAACCCAGAUGAAUCGAGAAAAAUCAUCAACAAUGACUAAACCAUACUUACUACCACCAAUGCUAAUGUAGGCCACAGGUCCGAAGAGGUCCAUGUGAAGAAGCUCCAAUGGCCUCUUUGUUGUGACCACAUUCUUUGAUUGAUGUGGGACUCCAUGUUGCUUUCCUGCUUGGCAUGCGCCACAAACCCUAUCUUUCUCAAAUACAACAUUUGUUAGUCCAAUGAUGUGAUUGUCCUUUUGAAGUUUGGCCAAAUUCCUCAUACCGACAUGGGCUAGCCGGCGAUGCCAUAGCCAACCCUUGUCGGAUUUUGCCACUAAACAAGUCUCAGGCGUCACUUUACUUGUUGUGAAAUCAACAAGAUAAAGCUUGCCCUUCAAGCGACCGGUAAAGGCAACUGAGGAGUCCUCCCUUCUAAGGAUCUUCACAUCCACAUCCGAAAAUAGGCAAUUAUAACUCAUUCCACAAAGUUGUGAAACGGACAACAAAUUAUAGCUUAAAGAAUCUACUAAUAAAACAUUUGAAAGUGAUUGUUGGUCUGAGAUAGGAAUUUUACCAAUACCAAUCACCUUACUCUUGCCACUAUCUCCAAACACAAUUUCUUGUGCUUCUUGAGUUAGUUGCAAUGUAUGAAACAUGUCUUUCUCCCCGGUCAUGUGAUUUGUACAUCCACUGUCAAGCACCCAACUUGACCCACCAGAGGAGUAGACCUGCAAAACAAGUUUAGGCUAUGCUUUUAGGUACCCAAAUUGAAUUGGGUCCUACAGUGUUAGUUAUAGCCUUGGGUACCCACACACUUCUUUUCAUGACUUUUCGUUUAGUGUAGGCACCCACAUAUUUCACAACCAAUUUCCCUGAAUCCCAAGUCAACAUAUAAUCACAAAGAUAUGAGUGGGAAAUGGGAGCAUUAGAUUUUUGUCCACUUGAGGAUCCCACUUCCUUCAUCUUACUCUUUGUGGAACUCAAGUUAACCUUUACCUGAGAUGACUUGUCAUUUGAGGAGUGGAUCCUCCCCAAGGCAUCAUAUAGAGUGGUUCCCUCUAUGAACUUGGGGGAUCUCCACCCCUUAUGCACUGUGCUAGGGUUUUCCUUGGAUGAGUUGAACCCAAGCCCCCUUCUUCCAUUGUUGGGCUUAAGGGACUUGUACUUGGGUUCAACUUUCUUUAACUCAUCAUUGCUAGAGCAUCUUUUCAAAAUUUCUUUGACCUUCACCUGUGGGCUAUUCUUCCUUGCAUGGUUAGUUAGACAACAAGAAGCAUGAUACUUGGCACAAUGUUUGCAAGAAUUAUCAUUAGAGCUAGACUUAGAUUCAAAAACUAAAGAGAAGGCAUUGAUGUUCUUGCAAUUUUCAAGUUGCACUUGAAGUUCUUGAUUUUGAACAUUCAAGCUUAACAUGCUUGAUUCAAGUGCAUUCUUUUCAUUUGCAAGAUUAGCUAUAGAGGUUUUCAUGUUAAUUACUUCUUUAUCUUUAUUUUCUAUAGUUAUCUUGACUAAAGAGAUUUCCUUAGUUAAGACAUCUAGCAUUUCAUCCUUUUUGUGAAUCAACUCUUGAAGCUCUAGGUUUCUUUCCUUUUCAAGGAUAAGCAAGUCUUCUUGAGCAUCAAGAGUUGCUUUUUCUUUUAUCUAGCUUUUCCAUUAAUUUGGUGAUAACAGUGUAUCCAUUCAAGCCAAAUUCUUUAAUCAUUUUAUUUUUCAUGGCAAUUUGAUCAUCAUCAUCAUCAUUUGAAAAAUCAUUAUUAAAUAAGGUUACCUUAUCUCCCUUUGCCAUGAGGCAAGUUGGAGUGUAGGAGUCGUCUUGUAGGUUGGUGAAGAGUUGCGCGCUUGAUGUAGAUUGGAUGGCCACAUUUGCCACCACUUCCUCUUCCUCGGAGCUAGAACUCUCUUCAUCGGAGUUCCAUUCUUCACCAAUAUGAGCUUGACCAUACUUCUUCUUCUUGAAGUAUCCCUUGGUCUUGCCUACCUUUUUAAACUUGUCCUUCUUGUAUUCCUUCUUGGCUUCUUGUUCCUUCUUGUUAGGACAAUCCGCUAUGAAAUGACCGGUUUGGCCACAUUCAUAGCAUGCCCUCUUCUUUCCUUUCCUUUGGAACUUGUCAUUCUUCCUUACAAAUUUCUUGAAUGUUUUGAUGAACAUAGCUGUGUCUUCAUCACUUGAGCUAUAUUCAUCACUUGAGGUCUCGACCACUUUCUUUGCUUUGUGGUCUUUGUUCUUCUUGAGGUUGUCUUGUUCAUUUGUGAUCAAGGCAUGAGAGUCUCUUGUCUUGAUGGGGGCUUCUUCGGACUCGUGUUGUUGAAUUUUUUGCAAAUAAUUGAUGAGGCGUCAUAUCCUCAUAGUCAUCACGAUCCCUUAUCAUCCUUGCAAGACUCUUAUCCUUCUCUUUAUAAGCUCUCAUGAACAAUCUUGUGACCUUGGAGUCACUCCAAUCUUCACUCCCAAGAACUCUUAUUUUGUUGACCAACACCAUCAACCGAUCAAAGAGUGAUUGGAGCGACUCACCCUUUGUCCAAUCAUAUCUUGCAAGCUCACUUUCCAAAGCUUCAACUCUAUGUCUUUUAGCUUUGGGAUCUCCUUCAUGUGACAUUUUAAGAAUAUUCCAAAUGUCACAGGCAUCUUCUCUUCCUUGAACUUUCCGGUAUUCUUCCGGACAAAGACUUCCUUUGAUUAUGCUCACUGCUUGAGCAUUUCGAUGAACCUCUUGCAUCAUUUCCGGAGUCAUCUCUUCUCCUUGGGCGGGCUUAUACAUACCUACAUUAACAAUCUCCCAAAGACUAGGAUGCACACCGAUUAAAUGCGACUUCAUCUUGUCGGCCCACUCAUCAUAGUUCAACUCACUAAGAGUUGGUAACUUUCCAAGUGGGGCGGAAGAGAAGUUGGGAAUAUAAUUUCUAGAGUAAUCGAAUUGAACUUUGCUAAAGUCAUUACCUUUGCUUUUGGUAGAUGAUCCUUCGGUGUUGAGACUUACCUUGCUCAAUACCUUAGACACCAAAAGAUCCACUAGAUCGUCAUUAUAAUCAAAUGUUCCCUUACCUUUAUCUUCUUCGGCCUUUCUUCUUGAUUCUUCUUCUUCGGCCUUUUUCUUAGCAUCUUCCUCUUUCAUUUUGAGGAACAUUCUCUCGGCAAUCUUCAUGGCGAGGUCGAGGACCUUGGGGUCCACUUCCUCACCGGAAGAUGUGACGGGGAUUUCCUCGAGGAGAGGAUCCACAUGGUCCCGUUGUGUAGACAUGAUCGUUUCCUCACGCGGUUAAGCGUAAAACGAGGCACGUAGCUCUGAUACCAAUUGAAAGUAGCCUAGAGGGGGGGGUGAAUAGGCUACACCUGAAAAUUUUCACUAAAAACUUCGAAAUAGGUUAAAUUAAAGUUGCACAGGUGCAAACCGGUUCAGUCGAUUUUAAUCACAACUGAACAAGUUUGAACCCGCUCAACUUAAAUUUGAUAAUCUAUUGAACAAAUGCGAAGUAGGGAAGAAUAUAGCUAAAGAUUUGCCCUACACAAAAUCUACUCAAAUGAAUAUUAUGAACCAACCACUGAAUAUAACACACAAGAACACGCGAUAUAACCCGAGGUUCGGCAACCACCACAAAGGUGUCCUACUCCUCGUUGAGGAACCCACAAAGGGCCGGGUCUUUUCCAACCCUAAUCCUCCACAAGCCGACCACAAAGGUCAAGGCAAUCUCUUCUCAAAUCAGCUCAAGGAGCGGGUGAUACAAACUUCUUGGGGUCGUCCACAAAUUUGGAGACUCCCAAGCAACCUCUAACCGUCAAGGAACACGAGGUUCCAAGAGUAACAAAUCCGCACACGGUUAAGUUUGCAACGAGCUCAAGAACAAGAGAAUGGGAGAAUCGAGAUGAAAUUGACAGAGAGUUCGAUCGAGUUCACCUCACACCAAGGGUCCUUCAAAUGAUUGAAGGAGAUGCGAUUGCGGGUGUGAAAGGUGAAAUGAAUGCUCUUGUUUGAAAGUUGGUCAGCCAAGAAUUCGUGGGAGAGGCAGGAGUAAAUGAGAGAGAGAGUGUGAGGGGGUAUAUAAAGGAUCCCCCAAAAGCUGGCAGCCGUUGGGAGAAAAGGAGCAAAAACCGGUUGAACCGGUUUCUACCAGGGGAAUCCCGGUCCACUGACCUACUCAGCCGGACACUCGACCGGUUUCAAAACCGGAUGAGUAGGGACAAAAUUCGGCUCAACCGGUUUCUAAAAAAUAUCUGCUGCGACUUUUUCUGACAGCUCUGACUGUCAGACAGGUCAGAGCAGAGGUGGCAGGUGAACAGUACCGAAACCGGUUGAACCGGUUUCAGGACCGGUUGAACCGGUUUUGGGGGCUGAAACCAAAUUUUGAGUAUUUUGAAGGGAACAAAAGGGGAAACUUUGUGGGAAGUAAAAUUUGUUUUUCUCAAGAGCAUUCAUGAUCUGGGAAAAUGAUCUCCAAGGAGUUUUCAAAAGAUUUUGAACUUGGCUCGUUUCACAACUUACUUAACCGUCGCGGAUCCAUCUUAAUUGUACGGCGAUUCCUAUGACUCAAGAAUUAUAAAUUUAGCAUCGCCGUUGUUUCUUAGCACUUGGAGCACGCCAUUUGAUGUGGAAUUUUAAAUCCGCUGUGCUUUAUACUUUUAUGCUCGUAAGAUCUGUGCUUCUCCUUUCUGUAGAAAUACUGUGUACAUACUAGGAGCAAACUUGUUAGAAUCUUAGUUUGUUUUGUCAUUAAUCACCAAAACCCUCAAUUAGGGUUGAUUGCACUUACAUUUACACUCUGCAGAGGUUGCACAUAUUUACCCACAAGACGUGUUCCCUUUGUCGCCUCGGGUUGAUCAAACCCUUAAACAUUGCCAAGGUGAGUAGAUGAUGGUACACUGCGAGGCAUUUACAAAGUUCCACUAGAGGAGAGAACCCGCUACGGUUUCCGGGCCGAAAGCUGCAUAGGAAUCCUUCGUCCAGAAAGUUAACAAGACACUCAGACCCAAGGACCUCCCUACACCUGCAUCCUCCACCCCGCUUGCCCCUUUCGGGAAAAGAUUAACUCACACUAGCUUUCCUAAUUAAUCAGCCAAGGGCGUCCCAUUCUACACUUGUGGUAGCACUGUUUUCUCGGGUGGUCGCUCCAUGUUCCAAUUAACAUAAUAACCUUAUCAUGAACAAAAAAUAUUCCAUUGACAAUAAAUAGCAUGGUCAUGAAUAAAAUGUAUCUUAAUACCCAAAACCACAUAGAACAAUAACACAUACUACCCAAACGUUCAGUGAUAAGUAAGGUAUAAGGUAACUCAAACUAGGUUGACCUAUUAGGUCCCAUCAAGAUUAAUCUAAGCAUGCCACAGUGAUUAAUAGUAACAUUAUUGGGUAAAGAAGAGAGAUCAAGGACACAACUUGCCUUCAACGAGCUGCUGCUCAGUAUUUUCCACCUGUUAUGUUUCGGGCUCCUCGGUCACUUGCUCGUCUACUCGCAACAAUAAAAACAAGCAAUGUGCAUAGGAGAAAUUAACAUCACACCAAAUAUGAGAACAAACUGUGUAAUAAUGAUCUAUGAGUUGCUACGAGAUCGUAGGUUUGAGAACUGUUCAAAUCGGAGCUAUGGCUAAGGCGAUAGGACUUUUGGAAGAUUCAAUUGUUUUAGGCCAAUUAUUUCAAUAAACAAAAGUUCAACAAACUUGGUACUUAUUUUUUUGACAACCUACUACUUGAUAAAAUAGUGUUACCAAAGUGUAGACCAUAUUAAUAUGAAACUAACGCAACUGGAACGAGUCAAAAAGGAGUUAAAAUGAAUUAGUUAUGCAUUUCCUAAGGUUUUAGAAUUAAUUUGGCAUUUAAAAAUCAAUUUUGCAUUAAUUUUCUUAGUAUCCGGAGAUUCCUGGAUUGCGGACACAAUUUCUUUGAAAUCCAAGGUCUACUUUGCAAAUUGUAGGACCUUGCCGCAAUGUUCUUCGUACUACGGUGGAUCACGGGUUGAUUCCACGAAAUUCUAGGGUCUCUUAAACAAAACUACAUUCGGCGAAGGGGUACGAUGCGCUCUGGGUCAUCCGAUCUGACAUCUGUGGUCUGCAUCAGAUCUAAAUUUUAAACGAUUCGAUAUGUAAUCAUGGCCACCGGAUCGACGAUCAAUGGCCCCGAUUUUAAAAUAGUCCUGAUUCGAUCGCUACCCUUCCAGGAAGAAUGGACGACACUCAUGUCGUUCUACGAAUCUGUAUGCAACACGUGAUCUUGACCGCCCAAUCCGGAUCAACGGCCAUGGACCCAUCCCUUUCCAUGGCGGUCACAGAACGGCGGCGCAGCGCCCCGCACGGCGGUGCCUCACCAGCGUUCUGCCCCCCCUUGAGGAUCGGUGCUCGACUCCGAUAGCCGUUCGGUGCAAAACAGAGUGCAGACAACGACAAACAUGAUAGGGGAUUACUCCCAAGGAUUAUGGUGAUUUCCGUGUUACUCGCGGCGCUAAGCGGAUCCAUGGCGGAAUCUAGCUCUGGCGAGCAAUUCCGGGGCACUUGGACGCUAUCCUCUAUUAGGGUUGAUGCUACAUGAUGAGCGUAUGGAACCAACGCCUGGAGUGUGGUAUUUACCGUGGAUUCCGUCGUGCCGGGCUUCGUCCAUGGUGGAUCUCGGGCCACGGCGGCCGCAAAUCUCUGGUGAGGAAUUCUCGCUCGUCUCGAGCGCCAAUCCGCACUGGGGCGGCGUUGAUUUCACCCCUGAGAACACUGCAACGGUCUGUGGCCUAUCCUCGCGCUUCACUCUGCUACACCAACGGAGAGCGGAUGCGGCAGCUCUCCCUCUCUCACUUCUCGGCUUCGUGGAUGGUAAUUGGGCACGGCUGAGAAAGCGAAAAACAGGUCUCCAGCGCACGACUAUAUAGUCAAUAGUCUAGGUAAGGAGUUAGUUGGGGUGCCAGCUGGAAUCGCGCGGGCGAGCCGGCGGCGAUCCGUUGCAUGCGCUCGGGUCGAUAGCGAACCGAGAGAGACGGACCUGACAGUGCGGGCCCACACGGCAUCGAGCGUGCGUGAACGAGGGCGAAGCCGCGCAGAGAAUGGGAGGUUGGGCAGUGGGCCCAAGGUGUCGACGCACAUUCUCGCGACGCCCUCCUGGGUGGGCUGGCUGGACUACGUAGGUGAUGGGAAGUUGGGCCGGGUGGGAGAGGUGGGGAUGGACCGAGGAGAUGGUUUUCGGCCCAGCGAAGUCAUUCUCCUUUAUCUUUAUCUUUUUAUGUUUGCUUUUCCUUUUAAAUUUAGAAUCUAAAUUUGAUUCAAGUUUAAACCUCUAAUUCGAAAAUGAAUCAAACCAAGACUCCAAUAUGUCCUGCGGAUAUAUUUCAUUUAUAAUUAAUGUAUUUAUUUAUUCAUUAAUAUUUUAGACUACGUAGUUUAUAAAAGGAAUAACUCACUUGUUUUAACAACACAAAAAAAUCUUAUUGUUAUUAAAUAUAUAAAUCAUAUGUUUUAAGGACAUAACUCCUAUUACAUAAUUUUGUACUAAAAGAUAGUUUUAUCUCAACCUAUUUAGACAUUAUCUCUAUUUAUAUUAUCCAAAAGAAUAGUUUAACUUAUAUAAGAUCUGUUCAUUCUAAUCUUUUACUAUGAGCUAUAUUUAUUUUAGGAUAUGUGACUUACAAGGUGAGAAAAUCUUAUUCAAAAAUAUUUUGUUUCAAGAUCUCUAUAUUAUCUUAGUAAGUACCUAAAAUAAAAUUUUGGUGCUACACCAAGGCACCUGCGCGCGUAGACACGUGGUGAUCCUAUUCUCUUCGUCCGUUCGCAAUACUAGGACAGGCAAGUACUGCUGCACUGCUUGUGAAGUCGUGUCAAGCAUGGGCGCAGCCAUGCUCGAGUGAUGGCGGGGCCAUGACAUGGGCCCCGCCUCUACUCCAUCGUGGUUGCCUCAUCCCUCUUCCUUUUCGUGGCAACAACCUCACAAACACGAUGGAAACACAUCAGAUACUCUCUCCCUCCUUGCUCCUGCCGCCCCUGUACCUCCCCUUCCACCCCCCUCCUCGAGCGAGUCGUUGCAGGUGUCACGCCGCAGCCAGAGGUGCUUGCUGAUGGCGAGGCUGAGGCCAAGGCCUGUGCAGCCGGCGGCGACGACCACCAAAGGGCCGACGAGUGGUCCCUCGCCUCCUUCUCCGGCUAGAUGGUCCCGCCACCCAUGUACCUCCCCUUCCAUGCCCAUCCUCGAGCGCGUCGUUGCAGGCAUCACGUCGCCACCAGAGGCACCUGCCAACGGUGAGGACGAGGCCUAUGCAGUCGGAGACGAUGACCACCAAUAGUUCCAGCCUACCGAGCCUAACUAGAGGGCCGAGGAGCGGUCCUUCACCGCCUUCCCCGUCUAGAUGCUCCCGUCGUCCGUGCAUCUUCCCUUCCAUCCCCGUCCUCGAGUGCACCAUUGCAUACAUCAUGCCGCUGCCAGAGUCCUGUCAGCGGCGAGGCCGAGGCCAAUGACUGUGCAGCCGACUGCGACGACCACCAGCAGCUGCAGCCUGUCGAGCCUAACCAGAGGGCCCAGGAGUGGUCGCUCCUCGCCUUCUUCAUCUAGAUGUAGCUCAGCGACACGCACGACAUGCUUGGGCGCAAAGACCUGCAGGUCCAUCGCCUACUACAACAAGGGCCUCGAGAUCUUGAUGGCUACGCUCAAGGAGCGUGAUCCCCCAUCUGUCAUGCCUGGUAAGGAUGGGAAGGCGUCUACCAGUGAUGUUGGCGGGAAGGCGUGAGAGUAGUUGAUGAUUCAAUCGAUCGUCUGGAUUGUGGGCCGUGGGCCGGUUGGAGUUGUAUCGAGUCUGAUGGGUUGUAAGGCGCACUGGAGUCUGUAAUGGGCUGGCCAUGGCUAACCAUAUAUACUGAAUCAAUGCCAGAUGGCAGGAAAAUAUCGAAUAACAGAAAGUAAAACCACUUCGUAACAAACUUAUCUCGAGUUGCAUUGCGAUUGUCGUGCCUCCGACGAUCUCACGUCCCGACGGUGGCUCGCCGGCGGCCACGGGGCGUCACAGGUGGUAUCAGAGCCUUGGAUUCUCGGAGUUUCCACGACGGUGCCGACCACCAAGCCAUCAGUGCAGACGCGACUGCUGCUGCAGACGAUGGAAGCCACAGAGCAGAAGAGUGAUGAGCGUUGGGAUCGGAUGAUGCGGAUCCUGGACCGCUUGGGCGACAAGGUGGAGGCCAUGGAGAUCGGGCAGCAGCGACUUCAUCAACAGGCGGAGGCGAUGGAGGCUGGGCAGUUCCGUCUUCAACAACAGACGGAAAUUGCAGCGGCGGCUGCUCGGAAGGCGUAGGAGGAGGAGUCCAUUCUUGCGUGGCAAGUGGACGAGACCGGGAAGACGGUGUCUCAGCUUCGCUUGGAACUGCUGGCGAAGGAGAUGGAAGGUAUGGAAACUGAAUCUGAGAGGGAGGGACGUAAUCAUAGGCAGGAGGGAGGUGAUGAUCGGACGCAUGGAGAGAGGGGGUACCAUGACUGGCAAGGUGGAAGUAGGGAGCAUAGAGCUGCUAAUCCACAAGGGGGAAACCGGGAGUAUCGAGAUCAGCAAGGUGGAAACAGAGAGUAUCGUGCUUCCGAUUUAUCUAAGAUGUCAUUUCCCAAGUUUUAGGGAACUGAGCCAGGCGUUUGGUUUGAUAAGUGCAUGGAGUAUUUCAACGUCUACCAGGUGCCUGAGUUUAUGUGGCCUUCAUCUGCUUAUUUACACAUGGAUGGAAACGUAGCUAGGUGGGCGCAAGUGUACAAGAGGAGGCAGGGGCUAGGAAACUGGGCACAAUUCACUCUAGCAGUGCAAUAGAAGUUUGGGGCAGAGGAGAGUGCACAGACGAUGAGGGGCUUACUGCACUUAUCAUAGAAAUCUAGUUUGGAGGAGUACAUUCAUGCAUUUGAAGAAGCUAGAUAUGCUACUAUAUUGCACAAUCCUGAAAUGGGAGAAACAUUCUUUGUUUCUCAGUUUGUGAAGGGUUUGAAGGGGGAGUUGCAGGGACAUGUUUUAGCUCAACUGCCUCGGACAGUAGAUCGAGCUAUUCUCCUGGCUCAGAUUCAGCAAGAGGUUGUGGAAAUGAAUAGAGCAAAAUUUUAGAAAAAAUUUCAGGGUAGUAAAGUGAUGGUGAAUGCAGGAAAAGGGGACACCAGAGCAGGAGUGGGCUCUAGUGAGUUGGCUAAGGAGAGGUAGUUGAGGGAUUUUCGAAGGUUGAAUGGAUUGUGUUUUGGGUGUGGAGAAAAGUACGAGCCAGGACACCAGGCCAAGUGUCCAAAAAGAGGUGGAACUCAAUUACAUAGUCUGACAAUGGAGGAUAUGGGGUUGACAUUGUUAGAUGAGGUGCUGCAGCAGUUAGACAAGGAGGAUAGGGAGAUGGAGGAAGCAAGUAAUCUGUCCUUAAAUGCCAUCAGUGGAACUGAUAGAGAGGGUUGUAUGAGGGUUCGAGCACUGAUUCAAAAUCAGGUGCUGGGGAUGCUGGUAGACUCAGGCAGUUCCACCAGUUUUGUCAGUUAGAGAAUUAUGGACAAACUGACUUUGCAUACAGAGCCUGCUUCACAUGUCAGGGUUAAGGUGGCUAAUGGGGAGUUCAUGUUGAGCUCGAGGAGGGUGAAAGGGAAAUGUGCCUUUGGGCCAUUUCUAAGUAUUUUGGUGAUUGAGUGCCAGCACAAGUACUUAAAUGUGAAUCUCUGCCCAUGGAUGAACAAAGUGCAAAUCAAGAGCUAAGGUAUGUUUCUAAGUCUUAGUACAUUGGUUUUAUGUACUAAUAUACUUGUCUAAGUAUCAGAAACAGGAAGAAGAAGAAAAGAAGAGAGUUGGCUGUGUACAGCCAAGAGGCUGUUUCGGUCUGGAGCACCGGACUGUCCGGUGGUGCACCGGACAGUGUCCGGUGCGCCAGGCUGACUCGGCGUGAACUCGGCGCUCUCGGGAAUUCGCCGACGGCGUACGGCUAAAAUUCACCGGACUGUCCGGUGUGCACCGGACUGUCCGGUGAGCCAACGGUCGGCCGGGCCAACGGUCGGCCGCGCGAUCUGCGCGUGACACGUGGCCGAGCCAACGGUCGGAAGGGGGCACCGGACUGUCCGGUGUGCACCGGACAUGUCCGGUGCGCCAACGGCUCCCAGAUCUGCAACGGUCGGCUUCGCCAUUUAAGGAAAGGAAUCAGGCACCGGACACUAUCCGGUGUGCACCGGACACUGUCCGGUGUGCACCGGACUGUCCGGUGCGCCCGACGACAGAAGGCAAGGAUGGCCUUCCAGAAUUGCUCUCAACGGCUCCUAGCUGCCUUGGGGCUAUAAAAGGGACCCCUAGGCGCAUGGAGGAGUACACCAAGCAUUCCUACAACAUUUCUAAGCACCAAGACAUCGAUCUCACGCAUUCGUUUCAUUGUGAUAGCAUCUAGAGCUCUUGUUGAGUUGCGAACUCUUUGAGUUGUGUUGCGAGCUCUUAUUGCGACUUGUGUGCGUGUUGUUGCUCUGAUCUUUUGAAGUCUUGUGUGCGUUGCUCAUUCCCCCUUUUGCUCUGUGUUCUUUGUGAACUUCAAUUGUAAGGGCGAGAGGCUCCAAGUUGUGGAGAUUCCUCGCAAACGGGAUUGAGAAAAAGCAAGCAAAACACCGUGGUAUUCAAGUGGGUCUUUGGACCGCUUGAGAGGGGUUGAUUGCAACCCUCGUCCGUUGGGACGCCACAACGUGGAGUAGGCAAGCGUUGGUCUUGGCCGAACUACGGGAUAAACCACUGUGUCAUCUCUGUGAUUGAUCUCUUGUGGUAUUGUGUUUUGUUGAGACUCCUUUCUAGCCACUUGGCAUUUAUUGUGCUAACACUUAACAAGUUUUUGUGGCUAUAAGCUUAAGUUUUACAGGAUCACCUAUUCACCCCCCUUUAGGUGCUCUCAAUUGGUAUCGGAGCCGUUCUCUUCAAGAAAGGGACUAACCGCCCGAAGAGAUGGAUCCUAAGGGGAAGGGAAUCGUGAUCAACGACAAGGAAAAGGAGUCCUUCGUCAACGAGCCAAAAGAUGACAAAUCCAACGACUCUGGCUCGGGCCACAGACGUAAAGAUGGGAAGAAGAAGAAGACAAGACGUAUCAAGGAGAUCGUCUACUACGACAGCGACGAGUCUACUUCUUCCCACAAGGACGACGACUACGACAAACAAAAGACGGUUAACUCAAACUUUUCUUUUGAUUAUUCGCGCAUUCCGCACAGCUCAAAUGCUCAUUUGCUCCCCAUUCCACUUGGCAAGCCUCCUCACUUUGAUGGAGAGGACUACGGAUUUUGGAGUCACAAAAUGCGUACACACCUAUUUUCUCUCCAUCCAAGCAUUUGGGAGAUUGUGGAAAGUGGAAUGAAAUUUGAUAGCUCGGAUAGUCCUUCGUUUAUUAAUGAACAGAUCCAUAAAAAUGCACAAGCUACUACUGUGUUGCUAGCCUCUUUGUGCAGGGACGAGUAUCACAAGGUGAGCGGCUUGGACAAUGCCAAGCAGAUUUGGGACACCCUCAAGAUCUCUCAUGAGGGGAAUGAUGUCACCUUACUCACCAAGAUGGAGUUGGUGGAGGGCGAGCUCGGACGAUUCGCGAUGAUAAGGGGCGAGGAGCCGACGCAAACAUACAACCGGCUCAAGAUCCUUAUCAACAAAAUAAGGAGCUACGGAAGCACGCGAUGGACGGAUCACGACGUCGUCCGCCUAAUGCUAAGGUCAUUUACCGUUCUUGAUCCUCAUCUCGUGAACAAUAUUCGUGAGAAUCCCAGGUACACGAAGAUGACGCCCGAGGAGGUACUCGGAAAAUUCGUAAGCGGGCGGAUGAUGAUCAAGGAGGCAAGAUACGUAGACGAUGCCUUGAAUGGACCGAUCAACGAGCCUCAACCCCUUGCUCUCAAGGCAACAAGAAGCAAGGAGGCGCUACCUAGCAGGGUGGCACAAAUUGAGGCGGCCGGACUUAAUGAUGAAGAGAUGGCCCUCAUCAUCAAAAGAUUCAAGACGGCGCUUAAAGGUCGCAAGGGACAGCCAAGCAAGACCAAAGCCAAGGGGAAGCGUUCGUGCUUCAAAUGCGGUAAGCUUGGUCAUUUUAUUGCUAACUGUCCCGACAAUGAUAGUGAUCAGGACCAAGGGAACAAGAGGGAGAAGAAGAAGAAUUAUAAGAAGGCAAAGGGCGAGGCUCAUCUUGGCAAGGAGUGGGAUUCGGACUGCUCCUCGUCUGACUCCGACAAUGAGGGACUCGCCACCACUGCCUUCAACAAGUCAUCCCUCUUCCCCAACGAGCGUCACACUUGCCUCAUGGCAAGAGAGAAGAAGGUAAUCACUCGUAAUGAUGUCACUUAUGAUUCUUCUAGUGAUGAUGAGUCUAGUGAUGAUGAAAUAGAUUACUCUAGUUUGUUCAAGGGAUUGGAUAGAAAUAAAAUUGAUAAAAUCAAUGAAUUGAUUGAUGCCUUGAAUGAAAAGGAUAGGCUUUUAGAAAAGCAAGAGGAUUUGUUGUAUGAUGAACAUGAUAAGUUUGUAGAGGCACAAAAAUCCUAUGCUUUAGAAGUUAAAAGAAAUGAAGUGCUUUCUAGUGAAUUAUCUUCUUGUCAUGAAAACAUUGCUACUUUAAAGAGUGUUAAUGAUGACUUAAAUGCUAAACUAGAAGUAGCUAGUAAAUCAACAUCUUGUGUAGAAAUUGUUGAAACGUGCACUAGGUGUAAAGAUCUUAAUGUUGAUGCUUGUAGUAAACAUCUAGUUUCAAUUUCUAAAUUGAAUGAUGAAGUGGCUAGUCUUAAUGCUCAACUUAAGGCUAGCAAAAGCGAAUUUGAUAAGCUAAAAUUUGCAAGGGAUGCCUACACGAUUGGUAGACACCCCUCAAUUAAGGAUGGACUUGGCUUCAAAAGAGAAGCCAAGAACUUAACAAGCCAUAAGGCUCCCAUUCCCGCUAAGGAGAAAGGGAAGGCCCCUAUGGCUACUAGUGCUAAAAAGAACCAUGCCUUUUUGUAUCAUGAUAGGAAAAAUUCUAGAAAUGCUUUUAGAAGUUAUGAUGCUUUUGAUUCACAUGCUUAUGAUUCUUAUGCUAUGACUGCUUCUAGUUCUCAUGUUGUGCAUGAUAGAAAAGUUGGUAGAAGAAAUGUUAUUCACAAUAUGCCUAGGAGAAAUGUUGUUAAUGCUCAUAGGAAAGUUCAUGGACCUUCUACAAUUUAUCAUGCCCUAAAUGCUUCCUUUGCUAUUUGUAGAAAGGAUAGGAAGAUAGUUGCUAGGAAGUUAGGGGCAAAAUGCAAGGGAGACAAAACUUGCAUUUGGGUCCCUAAGGAUAUUUGCACUAACAUUAUAGGACCCAACAAGAGUUGGGUACCUAAGUCCCAAGCCUAAAUUUGCCUUGCAGGUUUAUGCAUCCGGGGGUUCAAGCUGGAUUAUUGAUAGCGGAUGCACAAACCAUAUGACGGGGGAGAAGAAGAUGUUCACCUCCUACGUCAAGAAUAAAGAUUCCCAAGUUUCAAUUAUAUUCGGUGUUGGGAAUCAAGGCAAGGUAAAAGGGUUAGGUAAAUUUGCAAUUUCUAAUGAGUACUCCAUAUCUAAUGUGUUUUUAGUAGAGUCUCUUGGAUAUAAUUUGCUAUUUGUUAGUCAAUUGUGCAACAUGGGGUAUAACUGUCUAUUUACAAAUGUAGAUGUGUCUGUCUUUAGAAGAAAUGAUGGUUCACUAGCAUUUAAGGGUGUAUUAGACGGCAAACUUUAUUUAGUUGAUUUUGCAAAAGAAGAGGCCGGUCUAGAUGCAUGCUUAAUAGCUAAGACUAGCAUGGGCUGGCUGUGGCAUCGCCGCUUAGCACAUGUGGGGAUGAAGAACCUUCACAAGCUUCUAAAGGGAGAACACGUGAUAGGUUUGACUAACGUACAAUUCGAAAAAGAUAGACCUUGUGCAGCUUGUCAAGCAGGUAAACAAGUGGGAGGAGCACAUCACAACAAGAAUGUGAUGACCACAUCAAGACCCCUGGAGCUGCUACACGCCUAUCUGAGCAUAGGAGGAAGUAAGUAUGGUCUAGUUAUUGUUGAUGACUUUUCCCGCUUCACUUGGGUGUUCUUUUUGCAGGAUAAGUCUGAAACCCAAGGGACCCUCAAGCGCUUCCUCAGGAGAGCUCAAAAUGAGUUUGAGCUCAAGGUGAAGAAGAUAAGGAGCGACAACGGGUCAGAGUUCAAGAACCUUCAAGUGGAGGAGUUUCUUGAGGAGGAAGGGAUCAAGCACGAGUUCUCCGCUCCCUACACACCACAGCAAAAUGGUGUGGUAGAGAGGAAGAACAGGACGCUAAUCGACAUGGCGAGGACUAUGCUUGGAGAAUUCAAGACCCCCGAGCGUUUUUGGUCGGAAGCCGUGAACAUGGCUUGCCACGCCAUCAACAGGGUCUACCUUCACCGCCUCCUCAAGAAGAUGUCAUAUGAGCUACUAACCGGUAACAAACCCAAUGUAUCGUACUUUCGUGUAUUUGGGAGCAAGUGAUACAUUCUAGUGAAGAAGGGUAGAAAUUCUAAAUUUGCUCCCAAAGCAGUAGAAGGGUUUUUGUUAGGUUAUGACUCAAAUACAAAGGCGUAUAGAGUCUUCAACAAAUCAUCGGGUUUGGUUGAAGUCUCUAGCGACGUUGUAUUUGAUGAGACUAAUGGCUCUCCAAGAGAGCAAGUUGUUGAUCUUGAUGAUGUAGAUGAAGAAGACGUUCCAACGGCCGCUAUGCGCACCAUGGCGAUUGGUGAUGUGCGACCACAGGAACAAUUGGAGCAAGAUCAACCUUCUUCCUCAACUAUGGUGCAACCCCCAACUCAAGACGAUGAACAGGUUCAUCAACAGGAGGCGUGUGAUCAAGGGGGAGCACAAGAUGAUCCUGUGAUGAAGGAAGAUGCGCAACCGGCACCUCCAACCCAAGUCCGAGCGGUGAUUCAAAGGGAUCAUCCCGUCGACCAAAUUUUGGGUGAUAUUAGCAAGGGAGUAACUACUCGAUCUCGAUUAGUUAAUUUUUGUGAGCAUUACUCCUUUGUCUCUUCUACUGAGCCUUUCAGGGUAGAAGAGGCCUUGCUAGAUCCGGACUGGGUGUUGGCUAUGCAGGAGGAGCUCAACAACUUCAAGAGAAAUGAAGUUUGGACACUGGUGCCUCGUCCGAAGCAAAAUGUUGUGGGAACCAAGUGGGUGUUCCGCAACAAACAGGACGAGCACGGGGUGGUGACGAGGAACAAGGCUCGACUUGUGGCAAAAGGUUAUGCCCAAGUCGCAGGUUUGGAUUUCGAGGAGACUUUUGCUCCUGUGGCUAGGCUAGAAUCAAUUCGUAUCUUGCUAGCAUAUGCCGCUCACCAUUCUUUCAGGUUGUACCAAAUGGAUGUGAAGAGCGCUUUCCUCAACGGGCCAAUCAAGGAGGAGGUGUACGUGGAGCAACCCCCUGGCUUCGUGGAUGAACGGUACCCCGACCAUGUGUGUAAGCUCUCUAAGGCGCUCUAUGGACUUAAGCAAGCCCCAAGAGCAUGGUAUGAAUGCCUUAGAGACUUUCUAAUUGUUAAUGCUUUCAAGGUUGGGAAAGUCGAUCCAACUCUUUUUACUAAGACAUGUGAUGGUGAUUUGUUUGUGUGCCAAAUUUAUGUCGAUGACAUAAUAUUUGGUUCUACUAACCAAAAGUCUUGUGAAGAGUUUAGCAGGGUGAUGACGCAGAAAUUCGAGAUGUCGAUGAUGGGCGAGUUGAACUACUUCCUGGGGUUCCAAGUGAAGCAACUCAAGGACGGCACCUUCAUCUCCCAAACGAAGUACACGCAAGAUCUGCUAAAGCGGUUUGGGAUGAAGGACGCCAAGCCCGCAAAGACUCCGAUGGGAACCGACGGACACACCGACCUCAACAAAGGAGGUAAGUCCAUUGAUCAAAAAGCAUACCGGUCAAUGAUAGGGUCUUUACUUUAUUUAUGUGCUAGUAGACCGGACAUUAUGCUUAGCGUAUGCAUGUGUGCUAGAUUUCAAUCCGAUCCUAAGGAGUGUCACUUAGUGGCGGUGAAGCGAAUUCUUAGAUAUUUGGUUGCUACGCCUUGCUUCGGGCUCUGGUAUCCAAAGGGGUCUACCUUUGACUUGGUUGGAUACUCAGACUCCGACUAUGCUGGAUGUAAGGUCGAUAGGAAGAGUACAUCGGGGACGUGCCAAUUCUUAGGAAGGUCCCUGGUGUCGUGGAACUCUAAGAAACAAACCUCCGUUGCCCUAUCCACCGCUGAGGCCGAGUAUGUUGCCGCAGGACAGUGUUGCACGCAACUACUUUGGAUGAGGCAAACCCUCCGGGACUUUGGCUACAAUCUGAGCAAAGUCCCACUCCUAUGUGAUAAUGAGAGUGCUAUCCGCAUGGCGGAGAAUCCUGUUGAGCACAGCCGCACAAAGCACAUAGACAUCCGGCAUCACUUUUUGAGAGACCACCAGCAAAAGGGGGAUAUCGAAGUGUUUCAUGUUAGCACCGAGAACCAGCUAGCCGAUAUCUUUACCAAGCCUCUAGAUGAGAAGACCUUUUGCAGGCUGCGUAGUGAGCUAAAUGUCUUAGAUUCGCGGAACUUGGAUUGAAUUGUAGCAUACAUGUAUUUAUGCUUUUGUUCAUGUUCCUUUUUGCAUUUUGUUGCUUAUUAUGGUACUCAAGUUGUACAAACACUCCCUGGACCUCAUAAGUCCUUUUUGCAAGUGAUGCACACAUUUAGGGGGAGAUGUGCUACAACUUGACCCUUGGAGACUAACCAUAUGCUUGAGUUUGAUGAUUUAGUCUCGAAGGAGGAUUGAAAGGGAAAAAGGUGGACUUGGACCAUGAAAGACUUCCACUGCACUCCGAUGAGAGGGUAACUUAAUUCCAAGUUCAUCUUUAAACUCUUAUUGCCUAUUUGCUCUUAAUUGAAGAAUUUGGUGAGGCAAUGGGGUUAAAGGGCCAAGAUUGAUCCCGUUUUGGUGCUUGAUGCCAAAGGGGGAGAAAAUAAAGGCCAAAGCAAUAGAUGGAUCAGCUACCACUUGAGAGAUUUUGAAAAUAGUAGAAUAGAGCUCUUUGUUUUGUCAAAACUCUUGCAUUGUCUCUUUUGUCAAAAGUUGGCCUCUUGUGGGGAGAAAUGUUGAUUAUGGGAAAAAGGGGGAGUUUUUGGAAUCUUUAAUCAAUUUUCUUUGGAAAACCUCUCUUUAUGUCUCUAUCAGUGGAUUUGACUUAGAGAUAAGAUUUUGAGUUUGAUUUGCAAAAACAAACCAAGUGGUGGCAAAGGAUGAUCCAUAUAUGCCAAAUUGAAUUUGAGUUUUUAUUUGAAGUGAUAUUGCACUUGUUCUAGUUGCUUUAUGUUGUGUUGGCAUAAAUCACCAAAAAGGGGGAGAUUGAAAGGGAAAUGUGCCUUUGGGCCAUUUCUAAGUAUUUUGGUGAUUGAGUGCCAGCACAAGUACUUAAAUGUGAAUCUCUGCCCAUGGAUGAACAAAGUGCAAAUCAAGAGCUAAGGUAUGUUUCUAAGUCUUAGUACAUUGGUUUUAUGUACUAAUAUACUUGUCUAAGUAUCAGAAACAGGAAGAAGAAGAAAAGAAGAGAGUUGGCUGUGUACAGCCAAGAGGCUGUUUCGGUCUGGAGCACCGGACUGUCCGGUGGUGCACCGGACAGUGUCCGGUGGUGCACCGGACAGUGUCCGGUGCGCCAGGCUGACUCGGCGUGAACUCGGCGCUCUCGGGAAUUCGCCGACGGCGUACGACUAAAAUUCACCGGACUGUCCGGUGUGCACCGGACUGUCCGGUGAGCCAACGGUCGGCCGGGCCAACGGUCGGCCGCGCGAUCUGCGCGUGACACGUGGCCGAGCCAACGGUCGGAAGGGGGCACCGGACUGUCCGGUGUGCACCGGACAUGUCCGGUGCGCCAACGGCUCCCAGAUCUGCAACGGUCGGCUUCGCCAUUUAAGGAAAGGAAUCGGGCACCGGACACUGUCCGGUGUGCACCGGACUGUCCGGUGCGCCCGACGACAGAAGGCAAGGAUGGCCUUCCAGAAUUGCUCUCAACGGCUCCUAGCUGCCUUGGGGCUAUAGAAGGGACCCCUAGGCGCAUGGAGGAGUACACCAAGCAUUCCUACAACAUUUCUAAGCACCAAGACAUCGAUCUCACGCAUUCGUUUCAUUGUGAUAGCAUCUAGAGCUCUUGUUGAGUUGCGAACUCUUUGAGUUGUGUUGCGAGCUCUUGUUGCGACUUGUGUGCGUGUUGUUGCUCUGAUCUUUUGAAGUCUUGUGUGCGUUGCUCAUUCCCCCUUUUGCUCUGUGUUCUUUGUGAACUUCAAUUGUAAGGGCGAGAGGCUCCAAGUUGUGGAGAUUCCUCGCAAACGGGAUUGAGAAAAAGCAAGCAAAACACCGUGGUAUUCAAGUGGGUCUUUGGACCGCUUGAGAGGGGUUGAUUGCAACCCUCGUCCGUUGGGACGCCACAAUGUGGAGUAGGCAAGCGUUUGUCUUGGCCGAACCACGGGAUAAACCACUGUGUCAUCUCUGUGAUUGAUCUCUUGUGGUAUUGUGUUUUGUUGAGACUCCUUUCUAGCCACUUGGCAUUUAUUGUGCUAACACUUAACAAGUUUUUGUGGCUAUAAGCUUAAGUUUUACAGGAUCACCUAUUCACCCCCCCCCCCCCCCUCUAGGUGCUCUCAGAGGGUGGCAACAUUGGAGUGGUGGGCUGAUGGACAUACCUAUAUCAGUGACAUGAGAGUAUUGGAUUUAGAAGCUUAUGACGCCAUCUUGGGAUAUGAUUGGUUGAAGGGUCAUAGUCCCAUGCAAUGUGAUUGGGAUAACAAGGUUUUGGUGUUCAAGGAUAGAGGUGUAGAGGUGCAAUUGAAGGGAGAUAGCAUGGAGAACAAGGAGGUGUUGUAGGUGUCUGCUGCACAGCUGUAGAGAUGGAUGAAAGGGAAUGAAGUAUGGGUUCUGGUGCUGUUAGAGUCAAUGCAGGAAGAAGAGGUUGAAAGGCAUCAAGAACCAUUGUAGCUCAUACUCAAAGAGUUUGAGGAUGUUUUUGUUGUGCCAACCGGGCUACCUCCUGCUAGAGUGUAUGAUCACCAUAUACCUCUGUUACUAGGUUCCAUACAUGUGAAUUCUAGACCCUACAGGUACUCACCAUUCCACAAAACAGACAUAGAAAGACAGGUGUCAGAAUUACUGAAUGCAGGUCUGAUAGUACCUAGUGCCAGUCCUUUUGCAUCCCCAGUAUUACUAGUCCAGAAGAAAUAUGGUAGCUAGAGGUUUUGCAUUGACUACAGAAGGUUGAACUCUAUGACUAUCAAGAAUCGAUUUCCCAUGCCCCUAGUAGAUGAGAUUCUGGAUGAGUUGGCUGGCACCCAGUUUUUCACCAGUUUGGAUAUGACUGCAGGGUACCAUCAGAUUAGAAUGACAGAGGAGGAUGAGUUUAAACUGCGUUUAAGACUCAUCAUGGACAUUACCAAUUUCGAGUCAUGCCUUUUGAUCUCACCGAUGCUCCCUCAACAUUUCAGUGUGCCAUGAAUACUGUUUUGGAUCCUUUUCUUAGAAAAUUUGUUAUGGUUUUCUUGGAUGACAUAUUGAUUUACAGUCCAACUUUAGAGGAACAUUACAAACAUCUCAGAUUGGUUUUGUCCAAACUCAGGGAACAUAAGUUUUUCUUGAAGCUUAAGAAGUGUGCUUUUGUGAAAAGAGAGUUGCAGUAUCUAGGGCAUGUGAUAUCUAGAGAAGGAGUGGCAACAGACCCUGCAAAAACAGCAGCUAUGCUGGCUUGGCCUAUACCACAGAAUAUAACUGAGUUGAGAGGGUUUCUGGGACUUACAGGAUACUAUAGAAAGUUUGUGAGUGGGUAUGGAGUAUUGGCAAGACCCCUUACUCAGUUACCGCAGAAGCAACAUGGGUUCAAAUGGACUGAAGAAGCUCAAACAACAUUUGAAGCCCUAAAGAAGGCUAUGUUCUCAACUCCUGUUUUAGCUCUACCCAUAUUUGACCUUCCUUUUGUGGUGGAGACAGAUGCUUGCGAGACUGGAAUGGGUGCAGUGCUCAUGCAACAAGGGAAGCCAAUCGCUUAUGUCAGCAAAGCCUUAGGUGAGAUGAACAUGCACUUGUCCAUCUAUGACACGGAAUUUUUGGCUUUGAUUCUAGCUGUAGAGAAGUGGAGACCCUACCUUUAGAGAAGCCCAUUUGUUAUCAAAACAGAUCACAAGUCACUCACAUUUCUGGGUGAGCAACAAUUACAAUCAAAACUGCAAAGGAAGGCUAUGUCCAGGUUAAUGGGCCUGCAGUUUCAGAUUGUUUAUAAAAAGGGAACAGAAAACUUAGUGGUCGAUGCCCUUUCUAGAGUGGGGUCUAUGAUGGAGCUUGUUGUUAUUUCUGAAGUCCAACCAGUGUGGAUCCAGGAAAUCUUGAAUUCCUAUGUAACAGAUGCUGAGGCUCAAUGAGCAGGGAUUCAGCAUACAACAAGGCAUUAUUAGAAAAGAUGACAAGAUCUGGAUAGGAUCCAAUUAUGCUCUUUGAACAAAGUUAAUUGCAGCCCUCCAUGACAGUGCUAUGGGGCACUCUGGCAUCCAUGCUACUUAUCAAAGGGUUAAGAAGCUUUUCUGGUGGAGGGGAUUGGAAGUAGAUGUCACUCAGUUUGUGCAACAAUGUUUAGUGUGUCAACAGGCCAAGUCUGAAAGAAAUCACCCAACAGGGUUACUCUAGCCUCUUCCUAUACCACAUGGCAUUUGGGCAGAUGUUACCAUGGAUUUUAUUGAAGGGCUGCCAAAGUCCGGGGGUUUUGACACCAUUAUGGUAGUAGUGGACAAAUUCACUAAGUAUGGUCAUUUUCUUCCACUUAAACACCCAUUCUCAGCUCAGGGGGUGGCACAGUUCUUUUUGGACCAAGUGAUUAAAUUACAUGGACCUCCUAAGUCUAUUGUUUCAGACAGGGACAAGAUCUUCAUUAGUUCCUUCUGGAAACACUUAUUUCAGCUCAUGGAUGUGAAGUUGAUGUUGUCAACUGCUUACCAUCCGCAAACCGAUGGCCAAAGCGAGAGAGUGAACCAAUGUGUUGAGACCUAUCUCAGAUGUGCAGUCGAUGCCCAGCCUUCUCACUGGAAAUCCUGGUUGGCUUUGGCCGAAUUUUGGUAUAAUACUAGUUAUCACACUAGCCUGGGUUGUACCCCUUUCAAAGCAUUAUAUGGCUAUGAUGCACCCAUGCUGGCUUUACCCCAAUCUGGUGUUCUUGAGGCCGAACAGGUGGCAGGCUGGUUGUCUGAAAGGAUGGUUUUUUCUACUCUUCUCAGAGACCAUUUGGCCAGAGCACAAAACAGGAUGAAACAAAUGGCUGAUCGGGGCAGAAUUUCAAUGGAGUUCCAGGUGGGAGAAAUGGUUCUUUUGAAGCUACAACCGUAUGCUCAGAAAAGGGCAGUGAAUCGCCCUUACCCGAAGUUGGCAUUUAAAUUUUUUGGUCCUUUCAAGGUGCUUGCUAAAAUUGGGUCAGCUGCCUACAAAUUGGAGUUACCUGAUAGUGCUCAAGUCCAUCCAGUAUUUCAUGUCUCUCAAUUGAAGCCCUAUCAUCCAUCUUACACCCCAGUCUUCACUACUUUGCCUCCCUUGGUGGAUCUGACAAAGACUGACAUUGUGCCUGAGGAGAUCAUUGAUCGUCGUCUGGUACGCAAAGGUAAUCAAGCGGUCCCUCAAGUUCUAAUCCGGUGGUCUGGUGUUCCAGUGGAAGCAGCGACCUGGGAGGAUUAUUACGUGGUGAAACAUCGCUUCCCUGAAGCACUCGCCUGGGGUCAAGCGGAUAUUGAGGCCCGGGGAACUGUCAUGCCUGGUAAGGAUGGGAAGGCGUCUACCAGUGAUGUUGGUGGGAAGGCGUGAGUAGUUGAUGAUUCAAUCGAUCGUCUGGAUUGUGGGCCGUGGGCCGGUUGGAGUUGUAUCGAGUCUGAUGGGUUGUAAGGCGUACUAGAGUCUGUAAUGAUCUGGCCAUGGCUAACCAUAUAUGCUGAACCAAUGCCAGAUGGCAGGAAUAUCGAAUAACAGAAAGUAAAACCACUUCGUAACAAACUUAUCUCGAGUUGCAUUGCGAUUGUCGUGCCUCCGACGAUCUCACGUCCCGGCGGUGGCUCGCUGGCGGCCACGAGGCGUCACACCAUCGCAGAGACCUGUAGGUGAUCAUCAAUACCCCUUUGCUACUUCUCGAUCUGGAUCUUGGCGUUAAACCCCCUUUGUCUUUUAUCAGUUCUCAGUUUAGGAUGACAUAUGCUGGCCUAAAAUCAGGGAUGUCUGUUAUUCUAUAGGAGCUAAAUCCAUCCUAAGAGAUGUUCAAGCAAUUGGGGCAUCCCUUCUAUCCUGUGUUGUGCAGACAAAUUGGUUAUGGGAUAUGUAGAUCCGUGAGGUGCUGUUGAAGAAAUCCUAACUCUCUACCUACAGCACAAACAAACUUGUUUUCUUUACUUGUCCAGUGAAGUUAUCAAGGUUGAUUUAUAUUUUCAAAGAGUUUGAGUAAUAAACUUGAACUGUAUUUCCCCCCUGUCUAACAGUUCUUUAUUUUUGUAGAUUUUUGGAUCUGAUCCAUCUUGUGCGAGUUAUCUUACUAGCUUGAUACAAAUAGUUUUCGGCCAUACAGUGCAACUUCUUAGAAUGAUUCAAGUAAUUAUUUGUUCUUUUAGUUCCUUGGUGACAACUACACAUUGGCAACCCAAACGGUGACCAAAUUUUUCUGGAAUACGCAAGAGAGCUGUGCAUCUUUGUAUUAAUAGAAGAAUAAGAAAGGAGGAGAGAACCCCAUUACAUCACACACACCCCAACACUAGAGACUAACUAAGGAUCGCCGACUCUGGAGGUCCAAAGUUUUUUUUUCCAAAGCACUAUGCAACGUCCUCAACCUAGGCAAGUGGAGAUUAAUUACGGCAUCUUCAACUCUCAGCGAAAUAAUUUGUCCUCCCUUGACAUGCCUUUUACUGAAGCAGAAAUUAAAAAAGUAUUGACCUUCUGCUGGCUGACAAGGCUCCUGGCCCGAUGGUUUUACGGGGACCUUCUUUAAAUCUUGUUGGGACAUAAUCAAGCACGAUGUGAUGGAGGCAGUUAAGGCAUUUCACGACCUUCGGUGCAUGAACCUGCAACUCAUCAACUCGGCAAAUAUUAUUCUACUUCCUAAAAAGGAGGGAGCGGAGGCAGUUGGUGAUUUUAGACCGAUUAGCCUGAUUCACUCCUUCGUCAAAAUCAUCACCAAGACUCUUGCUCUCCGAUUAGCGCCACAUAUGCAUGAAAUCGUCUCACCAUGCCAAAGCGCGUUCAUCAAGAAACGGACUAUUCAGGAUAAUUUUAUGGUCGUGCGUAGUGCAGUGAGGCGCUACCAAUGCAUGAACAUACCCUCACUCUUCAUCAAAUUGGACAUUGCGAAAGCCUUUGAUUCAGUCCGAUGGGAAUACCUUCUCUCGCUGCUUCAACAUCUAGGCUUCCCUUCUCGGUGGAGAGAUUGGAUUGCAGCCAUCCUCUCAACAUCCACCUCAAGGGUCUUUGUUAAUGGGGCCCCGAAUCCCCCCUUGUCUCAUGGUCGAGGACUUAGACAGGGAGACCCACUCUCACCAUUGUUAUUUGUGCUUGCCAUUGACCCAUUGCAGAAAAUUUUAGAAUUGGCAACAGAGACGGGACUUCUCAGCAAAAUCAGGGGUCGCUCGCCUUGCCUUCGUCUCUCAUUGUAUGUUGAUGAUGCGGCCUUGUUUAUUGCACCAAAAAAAGAGGAGGUCGAGACAAUACUAAAGCUGCUCAGGCUAUUUGGUGAGGCGUCAGGGCUAUUGACAAACUUCCAUAAGUCCACAGUUGUGCCUAUCCGUUGUCAAGGUAUUGACCUCAACGCGGUCCUAAGGAAUAUGCCGGCCAGAAGGGCUAUCUUCCCCUUAAAAUACCUGGGCCUCCCACUCUCAUCAUCCGGAUUGAAGAAGAGCGACUUUGAGUUUUUAAUUGACAAAAUUUCGAACAAGCUCAGUGGCUGGAAUGGGAAAAACCUUUCUAUGGCUGGCAGACUGACUUUAGUUAAGUCAGUCAUUACCUUCCAAGCAAUCUACCUUCUCUCUGCUUUACGGUCUCCUAAGGAAAUAUUGAAUCUAAUUGACUCGAGAAGGAAAAAUUUUCUUUGGGCUGGGUGUGCACAAAUUAUGGGAGGUAAAUGCAAGGUAAAUUGGAUCUGUUCUGCAAGGCCAAAAGAGUGCGGAGGCUUGGGUAUCCUUCAUUUAACCAAAUUUGCAAGGGCCCUCCGUAUGCGUUGGCUGUGGCAAGAAUGGGCUUCAUCAACUAGGUUCUGGACGGCCUUGGAACUUCCUUGCACGACAAAAGAUCGACAGCUCUUCGCAGCAAUGACAUCGAUUUUGGUGGGAGACGGGACAAAGGUGUCCUUAUGUAAUGAUGCAUGGGUGCCAGGGUUAAGACCGAAGGACAUUGCGCCUCUCAUUUUCAAUGUGUCCCGAAGAAAGAACAGAUCUUUGAGUGAAGCGCUGUGGAAUCAUACUUGGAUUAGGGACCUCAACCUGUUUUCUGCUGAGGUGACAGAACAACACAUUGUGGAGUACUGUAGGCUUUGGUCAAUUUUGCAAAGAGUAUCCUUGCAACCGGGUAUUUGCGACUCUAUUAGUUGGAAACUCUCAGAAGACCGACAGUAUUCGGCGAAAUCAGCAUACCUUGCCCAAUUCCUCGGCUCAGAGCUUACAAAUAUGAACUGGAUCAUUUGGAAGGUAUGGGCGCCACCGAAAUGUAAAUUCUUCAGUUGGUUAGCCAUCCAAAAUAGAAUUUGGACAGCGGAUCGUCUUGCGAAGAGGGAUUGGCCCCACAAUGCUACCUGUGCAUUGUGUGGGCAAACUUUGGAGUCAGGAUUGCAUCUUUUCGUUGAGUGUCGUUUAACCAAGCGGAUUUGGGGAGAGGUGGCUGUAUGGGCAGCGGUGGAGGGCCUUAGUCCAAGUAAUUGGGACCACAGUGAGUCUGUCCUACAAUGGUGGACGUCCCUAGCUACAACUCAAGAUUGCAACAGGAAGGGCUUGAGAAGCCUCUUAAUUCUAGUGAAUUGGACCGUCUGGCGUGAGAGAAAUGCUAGCAUUUUCGAUCACAAAUCCUCCACAUGUGCUCAGAUUCUCGCAUCUAUUAUAUCUGAGGCAUCAGCCUGGAUACGUGCAGGAGCCAACCAGCUAGCUAAUCUCCUAGCAUCUCUUUAGUUUUGUGUGCUUGAGCUUGGUUUUUCUCCUAGUCUCCUUUUAGAUUAGUCUUGUGUGUUUGUGUUUUUCGGCUUGGUCAUGCUUUUGUGGAGUGUCUUUGUAUUUUAAUCCUCGCCACUUUGGGCUCCUCUCUUUUUAAUAUAACGGGCAGAUCUCCUGCCGGUUCGUUUCAAAAAAAGGAUCGCCGACUAACACGGUGACCAAAUUGCGCUAUAUUUUUAGGAUUUUACAACCAGACCAGGUAUACUCGAUGAUUGCUAUUUGUUAGAAUCAGGAUGUAUUCGUUACUGUCAUGAUCUAUUUAUACCUACAAAAAUGUUUCAAAGAUUGGUUGACUGUGCAAUUGCUGGUAUAAUUAUACAACACAGGUAAUGGGCUGAAGCUUGGCUGACUGUGACACUGUGUAAUGGCUGAUAUAUAUAAACAUUUGAACAAAACUCUGAGAUGCUUGAGUUGGUUCAAAUUCGAAAAAUUCUCUGUACAUACAACUGAGCCCUUAUUUAUAUAUUUCAAAAUCAUUUCAGAGUUGAUCCGAAUCUGACCAUCUAGCAGCAAACAAAUAGGACAAUUAUGCUAGAUGAGGUCCUCGAUUAUGUGAAGUUUCUGAGGCUUCAAGUCAAGGUUCAGCUCAUUAUGUUAAUGUCUUUGAAUCAUUAACCACCAGUUGAGCUACUUGUUUGAUCACUAAUGGGACUUUGAUUCUGUAACGUUAGGUUCUAAGCAUGGGCAGUGCUGGUGUUGUGGCACAACUGCUGAUAUCCCACUUUCAGUUAAGUUACACCUAUGAUUUGUGACUACUAAGUAUUGCCCUCUGAUAACUUCACUUUUACUGCCAUGAAACUGUAAACCAAUGUGUUGUUUGUUUGGUAAGCUGGAACAAAUAUAUACCCAAUAUACAAUUCACUACUAUGUUUAAAUGAAGAAUAGUUUGAUCAUAAUAAAUUUGGCGCUUUGUACUAGCCACCUACACAAUAUUGGAAAGCUUUUCACAUGUACUAGCCACCUACACAAUAUUGGAAAGUUUUUCACAUGUUUAUUUACCUACUAGCCUUUCAUGUGUGUUAGAGCCGAGAGCCCCCCAUGGUACCUCUCAGUUGUUGGACGACCUCUAUAUGUAUGCCUGUUUGACUACAGAAACAUGAUUUCUUACCUGCUUCUAAGCCUGGAAGUCAGCUAUUUUUUUGACAUCAGAUAUUUAUCUCUUAUUUCAUAGGAGCAUCAAGCAGGAGCUAAAGCGUUAUUACCGAUUAUGUUGGUUAACUCGGCAAAGGUCAGAUACCACCAAAGGUAUAAUAUAUGAUGAAAUGCCCUUAUUAAAGAUUAUACAUGUUGCUAUUGGACUUAAAAUAGCUUGGUAACUAUGUAACUUCUUUCUUCAUUGCAGCACAUCUCGCUUGUCAAUUUAAUUAUUACUCUGAACAUAGAGGGGACCAAAUACACGAUAAUAUAGUUCCUUUACAUUUCUGUGCUAUCAGCUCAGUGACUCGAUGUUUUAAUCAGAACUAAACGUGAUUAAACUUUGUUGUAGAUUGCGAUAGUAAGGGGUGGACAACUGUUCAGCCGCUCCACUUGAUUAAACUCAGUGAUUUAUUCAGCGCGACAAAAUCAAACUUUCAGAUCAGGGUUUUGAUGUUGUGUUUUUGCCAUUUUUGUAAGAUGGCUUGGUUAAGUUUCUUUGUACCUUAUCGGCACCAUAUUAUGUCGGCUUUAGGUAAAUCGUAGUUCGUUGCAAUGAUUUUUGUUGUAUCUUUAUUUAUUCAGUUUUAGAGUAUAUUCCCUAUGUCUGGCCAUCCAAUAUUUUCUUUGAUCCAACUAGUUGGACUGUAGUUGCACAAUGCCCCAUAAAAAUUUCGCUUUGGUGUUGUGGCUAUGUCGACCCUAUUGCCAUGGUAAUUUCAUUCCCAUUUCUUUUGCUUGCCGAUACACAACUCUCCUAUGUAUUCUACGAAAACACACACACACAAAAGAGUGACAUUUGUAUGAAAGACGCCUUCUCCAGGAUAUCGGAGCUAUUAAUACAAUCAUUGUGAUUGCAAAAGAGGUUAAUGAGGUACCUUAUCCUGCAGGAUAAAAUACUUUUUUUAGUUUCACAUGGACUAUUUUUAAGAUGGUGUGGCUGUGGUGUGACUAUCUUUGGAGUUUUUGGAUUAAUCACUGAAGGAGGUGCAUCGUUCAUAACAGUUUUUGUUUCAGAUAUUUGCAUACUUUUAUUUGCCAACUGAUAUAAGAUUUUAGAGACUACAAGUUCCCCAUCUUUUUCGGUUUCCUCUUCUCCAAGGUGAUACUCACGCAUUACCCAGUUAUAUCUAUCAUGCUUUUUGCCUCUUUGUGAAGUUUUGUACAACACCAUUGUCUUCUUCCAGCCUUUUAUAACAUCAUUUUCAUAUAUGGCUUUGGAUCUCCCUGUCUUGUGUCGGCUCACAUGCUCAUCAGGAAAGCUUAGUAUCCUCAAUGCUUCUAAGUGGAUACUGAAAGCGGAACUUUUAGAUGAUUUUUUUGUCCAGAAAAAAGUUACAAAAUGACACCAUUUUCGUGGACCUGAUAUAUUAAAAAAUGACAACGAUAAUAGAAUAACCUUUUAUUGUUGGUUUUGUAGAGGCAGAAAAUCUUUAAGGAGCUGCAACGUUUUUGUGGACAUGUUCUAGUAUGAUAUUGAUUCAGGAUUCUGCAAUGGGACUGCUAGGGGUCAUCAAGUUCAGGGAUAAGCCAAAAAUAGAAUAGGCUGGGCCUUACCUUCUUCAUCAUGGUUCCCUUAGAAGUGCCAUCAUGUAAUGGCUUCAAUAAGUGGGGUUCAUCAGUAAUGGACUCAGGGAAAGCCUCCAAGGCCUAUUGAAGGUGGUGCAGGUCAAAGCCAAGCUAGAUUUUUUUUGGGGUAAGUGCACUUGUCAUUGUCAAUUUACUUUGCUUGAUAAUGAUGCAACAUGUCAGGGACCAUAGUUAUUUACUGGGUCUAAUUAUGUAUUUUCGGAUAACUCUGAUCUUAUUACAACUUGCUUCUAGCGAACGGUCAUGCAAUUGACCAAACAUGUAAACCAUAAGCAAAUGUGAUGUAGGAGAUUGUUAUAUAAAGAGACUUUUGCAGCCACUUUGAUGUUUUGUUUUAUGCUUCUUUUGUGAAAAAAUUAUUUCUUUUCUCGAACACGCAGGAGGUCUGCGUAUCAUUCCAUUAAUAUUUAAUAUCUGAGAUAAUGGCCCUCGUCUCUCCCGCCCCCGCCCUCUCGGCUCCCGACGCCCCUCCCCCUCCCCAGCACCAGCACACGUCGGUUCCCAUUCCGGGGCCGGCGGCCAACUCCCUUGCUGCUGUCGCCGCAGCACCCUCUAGCCCUGGUGCGUCGGCUUCUAUCCCCUUCUUGUCUCCUCCCGUGUCCCAUGUAGCCAGGGGACGCUCCAAGUCUCUAAGGUGUGGUGACCUCAGUCCGGCCUCUUCGGAUGGCGUGACGUCGCUCGGCUCCCGGCCUUCCUUCAAGGACGUACUGGUGAGACCAGUGAAUCCUUUGCUGCCCAGCCAUGCGGUAGUCCAAGAGUCAGCCCUGGCAGCUGGAACGUCCUCAGCGCUGGGGAAGGUGAACCAUCGGCGACCUUGCUCUCACCCCCUGUCUACAAAGCGGUGGAGUCCCAGGCAGGCUCCCCACUCUACACCGGCUUUCCGCCCAGCUCCAAGUUUUGACGAUCAAGGAUGGACAACAGUGGAAUCCAAACAAGGUAGAAGACGCCGGUUGAGGGCUUCACGACGCCCGAGUCGAGUCCCUGCUGAGCUUGUUGGAAGGUGCUUCAACUGCUUGGGCUGCGAUCACAGGGCUGCGGGGUGUGACAGUGAGCCUCGGUGCUUCCUCUGCUCGGAGCUUGGCCACAAGUCUUCCUCCUGCCCCAAGACCCCGGUGUGGAAGCGGCUCGGGCGCCCCAGAGUCCCGGUCUGGGAGCGGCUUUCACUGGCAGUUGAGGGGAGAGUCCAACGAGUGGCAGGCCGCCGUUCGGUUUGGAAGCGUAUCGCUACGCCCGAAGCUGGUCCGAUCGCCCCCUCUAUCCUGGUGGGAAGCAUGCUUGGCGUCUCGGCUGCACAGGGCAAUGGCGGCCCUGCCAGCUCCAGGCGCAAACGGUGGAGGAAGAAGAAGCAUUUGGAGCGUGAAGAUGAGCCGCCUUUGGAGAUUGUGGCUCCACCUCCACCUCCUCCCGUGCAGACAGUUGAUGCGACUGCUUGUGUGAUCGAUUGGUCUGUUCAGAUGUCCAUUGCGGAAGAUAACCUCAAUACGGCUGCGGUUAUCACAGUGGUCUGUUCUAGGGACAUCAGCGCUAAUGAGAUCGUGUCGGUCUUGGCUCCGCGGCUGGAAAUGGAGGAGGGAGGAUUGGUUCUCCGACAGUUAUCCCAGUCCAGCUUCUUGGCUGUUUUACCCAGCCGUGCGCAACUCGACACGCUGGUGGAUAGCUUCCCUAUCAUCAGAGAAGAAAAUUCCAUGCUCUCCUCAAGGCGCUGGACGAGGUUCGGGGGUGCUGGUGGUAAUUCCUUGAAGCACCUUGUGGAACUUGAGCUCAGAGGUCUGCCGGUGCAUGCGUGGGAGACUUCGGUGGUGCAACAAUUGAUCAACCCCCAUGCGUGCAUUUCCCAGGUUCUGCCCGACACGCUGGAAGUCCAGAGUUUGGAGGCCUUUCGAUGCCUUGCCUGGUGCAGCGACCCUGAACGUAUCCCAGCUGCGAAAGACCUCUGGAUCACUGAACCAGACCAGGCUUCGGCUGCUGAAGGGAAGAAGGCCCUGGUGUACCCGGUGCAAAUUCGUUGGGUUCCUGCUGAUUUGAGCCUCUUGACUGGUGAUCCACCGCUGCUGAUUGGAGGUGACGACCAGGACAAAUCUGAUACCCCCCCUUCACGGAGAAGAUGUAGUGACAACCCUCCACGUACUCAACAUGAUGCAAUCAAUGACGUUCCUGGCAACAAGACCCACACUCAACGGCGGCCGAUUCAUGACCGAUUGGGACCCUUGAGGCGCUCAGAUUCCCCCUAGGGAAUUGAGCCAUCCUCGGGUUUAGAUUGAUUUUGAGGCCCGCAGCAGCCAGCCUUGUGUUCUGUCUGAUGCAGUGGCGGACAGCUGCGUAGGGAAUCCUCCGACUCCUGUGCCGGACGGGGUUCAAUGUUUGGCGGGGGAUGUGCUGCUGCGGAGUGAGGAGGGCUGCGAAGAUGCUGAAGUAAUUCCCAUGACCCCGAUGGCCGUUUCCAGCCCUUGUCCUUCCUCUGGAGGGAGACGCAGACUGAUGUUCAAGACCGCUACAAAGCAAGCAAAGUUCAGGAACCCGCCCAUUGCGUUCUUCAGGCGGCGGCGGCGCGCUCCGAGGACCCCUGAGGGCGCCACACUUCCCCCUUGUUCCUCUGAUGAUCGGGGGGCAGGGAGCAGCCUGGGCGCCUUGCCUCCUGCCCCUACUGCUGGGGUGGCCGCGUCGCUCCUUCCACAUGGGUUGCCCCCGCUUGUGGAGUCCCAUGGGUCGCCAGGACAGCAGGAUUUUCUCCGUCGAGUUUCUAAGGCUGUUGGCGCCGUCCUUCCUCUUCCGAAGGCAGUGCGGGGAGGCCGACGACGGAGGCAGCCCACUUCCCUUCCGGACGCGAUACGCCGAAGUCGGCGCGUUGCGGGGUUGGGAGUGGAGCAAGUUCAGCAUAUUCCCAAAGCAAGAAGGACAAUCAUGAAGUCCAUCCUCACAGAGCCGGACAGUGAACAUUUCAGCCAACAAAAUCUGGAUGCUUAUGCGAAGCUCUUCCAAGCACCCUUGUCUCGUGCCCAGGUGGAGGCUCUCGCUGCUCUCUUUGGAUGGGUGAUGCCGGAUGAUGAAGGUGAGGUUGUUCCCCCUGGGACAGCCACUCUGGUCUGCUGAUUACAGCUCACGGUCGCCUACUAUUCCAACUGUUGUCCUAUGGAUCCUUCCCUAAUCCUAUUCUGGAAUGUUCGCGGUCUCAACUCUGACGCUAGACAGGAUGUUGUUAGGAGUUUGGUUGAUUCAUUAAGAGUAGAUGUUGUCUGUUUGCAAGAAACAAAGUUGGUUAAUUGCGAUCGUCGCACAGUUUUGUCAAUGUUAGGCGCUGAUUUUGACAAUAACUUCAUUUGUCUCCCCUCGGUUGGGGCAAGUGGUGGGGUGCUGAUUACUUGGAGAGAAAAAUUAGGAAGAAUCGUUGCCUCUCGCGUGGACUCCUUCAGUGUUUCAGUAAAAUUCAACCCUGCUGAUGGCGUGGCUUGGUGGCUCACCUGCGUGUAUGGUCCGCAGGGUCAUGACAGAAAAAUUGCAUUUAUUCAUGAGUUGAGAGCGAUCAGAGCUGCUUGCACCGGGCCUUGGCUCCUAGGGGGUGAUUUCAAUCUCAUUUUCAGAGACAAAGACAAAAACAACAUAAAUAUCAAUCGGCCCAUGAUGGGGAGGUUCAGAAGGUGCAUCAAUGAUUUAAGCAUCAAAGAUAUUGACCUCUUAGGCCAGAAAUAUACGUGGUCUGGCGCUAAGAAUGUGCAAGUCAAGCUGGACCGGGUUUUCUGUUCUUCGGAUUGGGAGGAAAAAUUCCCCAAUUAUCUGCUGCAAAGUUCGGCUUCAGAGGAUUCAGACCACUAUCCUCUCCUGUUGGGAUUGAAGGACAACCACACUGGGAAACGGAGAUUUCACUUUGAAUCAUUUUGGCCCAGAUUUGAUGGUUUUCUGGAAGCGGUAUCUAAUACCUGGGGUUCUGUUCAGCAGUCUUCUUGUCCCCUCAAGACCCUCUCCCUAAAAUUCAAGGCGACAACAAAAGGGCUGCAAAGUUGGAGUGACAGAAAGGUUGGAAAUUUCAAACUGCAACUUGAGCUUGCCAGAGAAAUUUUUCUGCAGCUUGAAGUGGCAAAAGAGAGCAGAAUUCUUAAUGUUCUGGAGACUUGGCUGUUUGGACGCUUGAAGAAAUGCUCUCUGCCUCUUGCAUCCUUAAUCCGCUCGAUGGCUAGGACUGGAUCAAGAAUCGCUUGGCUCAAAGAUGGUGAUGCUAAUACAAGGCUCUUCCACUAUUGGUCUCGUUAUCGGAAAAGAAAAAAUUUCAUAGCCAAAAUUCAAGACGGGGAGCAACUGGUGACCAGUCAUAGUGAUAAGGCAGAGGUGCUCCGGUCCUUUUAUUCAGAUCUGAUUGGUACAGGGCAGCAAAGAUCCAGAACUGUCAACCUUGACACCUUAGAAAUGCAGCACACUGACCUUCAGGGGCUCGAGCAGCCAAUCUCAGAGGAGGAGGUGUGGAAUACCAUCAAGCAGCUUCCUCCGGACAAGGCCCCAGGGCCUGAUGGGUUCACAGGCCGUUUCUAUAAGGUCUGCUGGUCAAUCAUCAAAAAAGACAUUAUGGCUGCUAUCAUGGCUAUCUGGAACAAGGACUUUCGGAAUUUCAGAUACCUCAACACAGCCUUCAUUACUCUUUUGCCUAAGAGAGAGGAUGUCAUACUCGCCAAGAACUUUCGACCUAUUAGCUUGAUCCACAGCUUCGCAAAAUUAAUCACGAAGAUCAUGGCAAGCAGACUUAGUGGUUAUAUGGACAAGCUGGUUUCUAGGAACCAAAGUGCGUUCAUCAAGGGCCGAUUCAUCCAAGAUAAUUUCAUGUUAGUUCAGCAAACUGCAAGACUGCUGCACGCUCAAAAACAGCCCAGAAUCCUUCUCAAGUUGGACAUUUCCAAGGCCUUCGAUUCGGUGUCUUGGUCCUUCUUACUUGAAGUAUUGGAAAUGGUUGGAUUCGGCCCCAUUUGGAGAGAUGUGAUCAGUGGGCUGCUUAUGACCUCCUCUACCCAAAUUCUACUUAAUGGAGUUCCUGGGGAAUUCAUUCAACACUUGAGGGGCCUGCGGCAGGGGGACUCGUUAUCCCCUCUCCUCUUCAUCAUCGUUAUGGAUGUUCUCAAUGGCCUAAUUGUUAAAGCUGCCGAUGAGGGUUUGCUUCAACCCCUCUCAACUCGCUCCAUCCAGCACCGAAUAUCGCUCUAUGCUGAUGAUGUGGUAAUUUUCUUGAGACCGGCUGCUAGUGAUCUGCACUUGGUAACAAGGAUUUUGGAGUUGUUUGGGGACGCCUCGGGGCUUAAAACCAAUGUUCAAAAAAGCAGUGUGGCUCCCAUUCACUGCUCUUCGGUAGACAUGGAAAUGGUAACCCAGAUUUUUCCUUGCAAAGUUGAAUCACUUCCUCUUAAAUAUCUCGGGCUGCAUCUUUCCCUCAGGAAGCUAAGCAAGGAGCAGCUGCAACCACUAAUCGAUAGGCUUGCAGACCUCUUACCUAAUUGGAAGGCCGACCUGAUGACUUGAGCUGGCAGAGCCAUCCAGGUGCAACAUGUGCUCACGGCAACAGUUAUAUAUCACGCCAUGGCAUUGGAUUUACCUAAGUGGGCUAUCAAAGCCAUUGACAAGAUUAGACGUGGCUUUCUUUGGAAAGGGCGUAAGGAUGUGCUCGGUGGCCACUGCUUAGUCGCUUGGGGCAAAGUGACACGCCCAAAGGAGCUUGGUGGGCUUGGCAUCUCAGAUUUACAAAAGCUGAAUUGGGCCCUUCGGGUUAGAUGGCUGUGGUUGGAAAAAACAGAUCCCUCGAAAUCUUGGGCUGAUUUACCUCUCCAGAGUUCCAGCAUUCUGAAAUCUAUCCUCUCUAUAGCUUUGAUUACAGAAAUUGGUGAUGGUCGUAACACCUUAUUUUGGAGGGACAAAUGGUUGAUGGGGUUGAGGAUUGAGGGUCUAACUCCUCAUAUUUUUGCCAUCGUCCCGACCAGGAUUACCAAUAGGAGAACGGUGGCUGAGGGUAUCGUGGAGAUGGCUUGGAUUCGGGACCUGAGAGGCACCAUCACUUGGGAUGUCCUCUCUGAUUUUUUAACUCUUAGUGAAGUCAUUGCAGAUUACUCCAUUAAUGUUGGAGUGCCAGACAAGCAUAUCUGGAAAUUCUCCCCGACAGGCCAAUACUCUUCAAAGUCGGCUUAUGAUAUGUUAUUUCUUGGUUCCACUUCUUUGGGAGCAUAUGAGCGCAUUUGGGAAUCUUGGGCACCUUCAAAGUGCAGUUUCUUUUUUUGGCUUGUCAUGCACAACAGAUGCUGGACCGCAGACCGUCUUGCUAGAAGGGGGCUACCCCACCCCAGUGUGUGCCCCCUUUGCGACCAAGAAGAGGAAACAAUACAACAUCUUCUCAUCUCUUGCGUCUUUGCACGACAGUUCUGGUAUUCCUUUUUAAGCAGGUCUGGGUUGCCUAACCUUUCACCAGAAAAUGCUAGUUGCAGCCUUGAUGACUGGUGGAGCAGAGCUGUGGAGAAGAUUCCCUGUGAUCUCCAAUCCGGCUUCAAUUCUCUAGUUAUUCUUGGCGCUUGGAGCCUUUGGCGUCAUCGCAACGACUGCGUGUUUAAUGGGAGAUCGCCAAGCCUGGCGUGUGCUCUCACCCUCGCUGGCGAUGAGCUCAGGAUGUGGUGUAGUGCCGCGGCAAAAGGGUUGAACCUGCUUUCAACUCUUAUGUUUAUGCUUGACCCAGGGGGAUAGUCUAGUGGCUUGUUCAGAGUGGUUGUGUGUGGUUGCUGUGUUGCGUCUUGUGUCUUGUUGUGUCAUGUGUGUGUGUGUCGUGUCAGGUGUGUGUCGGGUGUGGUGUGUUGUACCUUCUUCUAUCUAUUAAUGGAAUGAUACGCAGAUCUCCUGCGUGUUCGAGAAAAAAAAGAUAGAUAGAAGAAGGUACAUCACAUGCACACGCCACACACAUGACAUAACAAGACACAACAUACCAACAAACGCAACACAACCACCACACUCAACCACUCUGGACAAGACACAAUACUAUCCCCCUGGGUCAAGCAUAAACGCAAGAGUUGAAAGCAGGUUCAACCCUUUCGCCCCGGCACUACACCACAUCCUGAGCUCAUUGCCAGCGAGGGUGAGAGUACGUGCAAGGCUCGGCGACCUCCCAUUGAACACACAGUCGUUGCGAUGACACCAAAGGCUCCAAGCGCCAAGAAUAACUAGAGAAUUGAAGCCUGAUUGGAGAUCACGGGGAAUCUUCUCCACAGCCCUGCUCCACCAGUCAUCCAGGCUGCAAAAACCGUUGUCCGGUGAAAGAUUAGGCAACCCAGACCUGCUCAACAAGAAGUACCAGAACUGUCUUGCAAAGACGCAAGAGAUGAGAAGAUGUUGUAUUGUUUCCUCUUCUUGGUCACAAAAGGGACACGCACUGGGAUGGGGAAGUCCUCUUUUAGCAAGACGGUCCGCGGUCCAGCAUUUGUUGUGCAUGACAAGCCAAAGGAAGAAUCUGCACUUUGAAGGUGCCCAAGACUCCCAAACAUGCUCAAAUGCUCCAAAAGAAGUGGAACCUAGAAAUAGCAUAUCAUAUGCCGACUUUGCAGAGUAUUGACCUGUCGGGGAGAAUUUCCAGAUAUGCUUGUCUGGCACACCAUCACUAAGGGAGAAAUCUGUGAUGACUUCACUAAGAGUUAAAAAAUCAGAGAGGACAGCCCAAGUGAUGGUGCCUCUCAGGUCCCGAAUCCAAGCCAUCUCCACGAUACCUUCUGCCACCGUUCUCCUAUUGGCAAUCCUGGCUGGGACGAGGGCGAAAAUAUGAGGAGUUAGGUCCUCAACACUCAGCCCCAUCAACCAUCUGUCCCUCCAAAACAAGGUGUUACGACCAUCACCAACUUAUGUAGUCAAAGUUGUAGAGAGAAUAGAUUUUAGAGUGCUGGAACUCUGGAGAGGUAAAUCAGCCCAAGACUUCGAGGGAUCUGUUUUUUCCAACCACAACCAUCUAACUCGACGGGCCCAAUUCAGCCUUUGCAAAUCUGAGAUGCCAAGCCCACCAAGCUCCUUUGGGCAUGUCACUUUGCCCCAAGCAACUAAGCAGUGGCCACCGAGCACAUCCUUUCGACCUUUCCAAAUAAAGCCACGUCUAAUCUUGUCAAUGGCUUUGAUAGCCCACAUAGGUAAAUCCAAAGCCAUGGCGUGAUAUAUAACUGUUGUCGUGAGUACAUGCUGCACUUGGAUAGCUCUGCCAGCUCGAGUCAUCAAGUCAGCCCUCCAAUUAGGUAAAAGGUCCGCAAGCCUAUCGAUACGUGGUUGCAGCUGCUCCUUGCUUAACUUCCUGAGAGAAAGAGGUAGCCCGAGAUAUUUAAGAGGGAGCGUUUCAACUUUGCAAGGAAAAAUCUGGGUUACCAUUUCCAUGUCAACCGGAGAGCAGUGAAUGGGGCCCAUACUGCUUUUCUGAACAUUGGUUUUUAGCCCCGAGGUGUCCCCAAACAACUCCAAUAUCCUGGUUACCAAGUACAGAUCACUAGCAGCCGGUCACAAGAAUAUCACCACAUCAUCAGCAUAGAGCAAUAUUCGGUGCUGAAUGGAGCGUGUUGAAAGGGGUUGGAGCAUGCCCUCAUCAGCAGCUUUAACAAUUAGGCCAUUGAGAACAUCCAUAACGAUGAUGAAAAGAAGAGGGGAUAGCGAGUCCCCCUGCCGCAGGCCCCUCUUGUGUUGAAUGUAUUCCCCAGGUACUCCAUUAAGCAUAAUUUGGGUAGAAGAGGUCAUAAGUAGCCCACUAAUCACAUCUCUCCAUAUGGGGCCGAAUCCAACUUUUUCCAACACUUCAAGAAGGAAGGACCAAGACACCGAAUCGAAGGCCUUGGAAAUGUCCAGCUUGAGAAGAAUUCUGGGCUGUUUUUGAGCGUGCAGCAAUCUUGCAGUCUGCUAAACUAACAUGAAGUUGUCUUGGAUGAAUCUGCCCUUGAUAAACACACUUUGGUUCUUAGAAAUCAACUUGUCCAUAUAACCACUAAGUCUGUUUGCCAUGACCUUCGUGAUUAACUUUGCGAAGCUAUGGAUCAAGCUAAUAGGCUGAAAGUCCUUGGCAAGGAUGGCAUCCUCUUUCUUAGGUAACAGAGUGAUGAAGGUUGUGUUGAGGUAUCUGAAAUUCCGAAAAUCCUUGUUCUAAACAGUCAAGAUAGCAGCCAUAAUAUCUUUUUUAAUGAUUGACCAGCAAGCCUUUUAGAAACGGCAUGUGAACCCAUCAGGCCCCGGGGCUUUGUCCGGAGGAAGCUGUUUGAUGGUAUUCCACUUAUCAAAAUUAUUCCACUUGGAUAGCUCUGCCAGCUCGAGUCAUCAAGUCGGCCCUCCAAUUAGGUAAGAGGUCCGCAAGCCUAUCGAUAAGUGGCUGCAGUUGUUUCAAAAUUAUUGUGGUGCUAUUUGAGUGCCUUUUUUCUCAUUACAAUUUCACAUGCUUAUGUGAAUCGCAUAGCGCCCGAUAGGGCGCUGUCUUAUUCUAGUGUGAGUAUAAAAACACCAUAAAUAUUUCUUGUGUCAUGUUCCAUCCACUAACAAGAAAUCGGCAUAUGAAUUCAUUCUAUUUCACAACCAUUUAACUCAAAGAGUGAUUUGUAUCAUUUAAUUGCGCAAGUCAUAUUCAGAUAUGUAACCAUUAGAUUGGCAUUAACCAUUAGAUUGGGAGAAUACCUGUAUUACUAUUUUGAAACCACACACGAGCAUUGUUAACCUACAGAUUAAUGAUGUCAAUUUGUAUGCAAGAGGAUAGGCAAAGUGACAAACUGAGUACACAUGAUAAAUCCACCUAAUUCAAGACAUGUCUGCUGCUAAUAAUAAUAUUGAUGCUAUUCUAUACCAUGUAUAUCAUGUGUAAUCAAUCUAAGAAAAACCUGAGUUUGUAUACCUGAGACAGAAACAUGAAUGGCUCCACAAGGCAAAACCGCUUCCAAAACAUGCAUUGUUAUCUUCCCAGAACUGCUGAUCACACAUAUGCAAAAAAACCUUGCAUAGUAUGAAUGUAACAAAAGGCUAAAUUAUAACAAAGAAAAGCUUAAUUUUUUUUGAAACGAACCAGACAGGAGAGCUGCCAAUUAUAUUAAUAAAGGAGAAGGGUCCGGAUGGGACAGAGCAACAAAACAUGCAGUUGGAUUGGGACACCAACAUGCCAAACUCACCGGUUGGAUUGGACAUCAACACGACACUACACACACCGCCCACAGAAUGCACAAACAUCCCCGACAACGGGAGCCCCUCACACACAACCCAUCCAGAGUUAUCGUUGCGGAGCUCGACCCAAGGGACAAGCAGCUCCGACUCCGCAAAACGGGUCGUACAUGGCCAAAGAAAACACGACGACGCCUACAACCAAACACACUAGCACAGAAGGAGAAAGAUCACAGUGUGUCGUUGCCAAGCCUCAACACACCCCACGUGAGAGAGCUCCGAUUCUUCACCAAAGAGCUUUUCCCCCGUCCUACCCCCAGUAGAUGCACGACCCUUCGAAACAAUCCAGUCCACGAAGAAGGGGGCUCGUCAGCUGUCAUUGUUGCCGAGCCACAAUGCCUGAUGCAGCAGCUUUGACUUCACCUUGCAAAGCCCAUCUUCACCCGCAUACCAGACGUCGAGAAUCAAAAGCAACCAUCGAAGGCGAAGCUGAGGCCGAGAUAAACUUCAAUGCGACGCCUUUAGGAAGGGAGUGACGUCGGGGACGACAUCGUCGCGAGUCCGAGAUGGACCAGGCUUUCGCCCAAGGAAGAAAAUGUUGGGGAAUACGACGCCCCCAACAGGGAAGCGGCGCCCACGGGCGUCGCCGUCGCCUAGGCUCUCGCCCAAGAAGCACCCAGCACCAACGCUAGGCCAAGAGCUACCGUCGUCGCCGUCCUCCAUACCAUAUGCGUCACACAGGCACGUGUCAGAGUCGCACCCAGCAGCCGAUGGCACUAGCACACACGGCCACCGAAUCUAGAUGUCGCCGAGCACCCUGCCACCUUGCGUCGUCCUGGCCACUGACCGGCGCCACCCCUCAUAAACGUGCGACCUCAAGCACCGCCACGCCGACGCCGGAGCGUCGAGCCACCACCAUCGCAGCAUCACACAGCCGCACGCCGAGGCCACAAAUGACCAACGUCGUUGGCCCGGCACCUGUCGAUGUUGCCGCCAUCAUCCGCCAGCAGCCACAGGACGUGUGCCCCACCAUCUCGGGUGUCGCCCCUGCCCUGAGGCCACCGGAUCUGGAUGGCAGGCCCCAAAACCGGUGUCCCUGCAGACGUCGCGGCCUCCGUGUCGACCACAACCGUGAGCACCACCCUGGGUCAUCGCCAAACGCCAAGGCCACCGCCCGAACACCGCUAGUCGGUCGGUCGAAGGAGGUUGUCGCCCCCACCACAGCAGCAGUCAAGGCCGUGAGGGGAGAGGUUGCAAAGAAGAGAGCGCCACCCCACAACACCUGCACAAGCCCCAACCAACUGCCGCCACCGUAACCGUCAUCGGCCGCCACCGCACAAAUUGCCAGCUGCUGAGGCAGAUCCGGUCGACAGGGUCCAGAUCCGGCCCCCGAGCACCGGAUCCGACCGUCUGGGCCACGGGUCAGCAACCCCAGGUUGAGCUGUCGUCGUCGUCAUGAAAGGAGGAGGGGAACAUGUGGAGAGAAAGAAAGGGGCCCCGCCGCCGCCCCCUACACCUGCACGGACACCAGUCGGCGCCGCCAGAGCCGCAACAGCCACCCACGUCAACUCCACGGAGCCGCAUGAGGGAUGGCUUGCCGGCUAAUGGAUAUAUGUAGGAAACCUUAAUCCUUUAAGCUCUUUAUUCAUCUCACCAAGUAAACUAUAAAAGAAGGGGAAAACACUUGCAUAGACAAAAUCGUUUCAUAUUGUGCAAUGUUAUUAAAAGUAGUUUAUUUGAUUCAAUGUAUUUUCUUUUAAAAAAACUUUUGAUAAGCAAUAUUCUAGAACAAGACGUCAUAGUUUGUGUGAUAUUGUGUACCUCGGUGUGCCUUCCUUCAUACUUCAUACGCACUUCCCAGCAAGUCCACACCUGAAUGGAACCCACUCUACUUGAUGGAAAUCUAAUUUGCCAUUAACGAUUAUAAUAUCAAAUUUACGGUAGCUUCCUGUAAUUCAUACACAAAUGACCGUUGUUUGUCAAAAAAACUGUCAAAUAUUGGUUUCAGACAUAGUUAGGAUUUGCUCUUCAGCUAAGACAAAUUGGAAUGGUAGGAAGACAUGCAAUUCGCAAAAGUAGAGUAUUGAUCUGGGAAUUACUGAUAAAAUUUUGAAACAUACCCAAGGCUAUAUUGGGAACAAAAAACUUACCCAAGGCUUGUUUCUGUGGGCGUGGUAAGGUGGCUGUCGUACAACUACUAUAUGCUAAUCUAUUAUUUGUCCAAAGGCACCAUGGAUCUUGUCAAAAGAAAACAUGGAUAUGAUGUUUAGAGGCCAAGAAUAUGUAGUACUUUGUAAGCAAUAGAAAGGAAAUAAUAUGUAAAUCUGAUGGGAAAUUCUUGACAAGCUCCCUCUAAAAGAGAACUGGAAUGGGUUAUGGGCCAAAGCAACAAAGCUCAUGGAAGUAGAAAAUGGACAAUUCAAAGAACAAGUGUCAUUAAUAGCGUGCAUUUGAGAUAGAGCCAUAUCACAAAGUGGUAAAAUGGCAAAGUUGAAUAAUAUGAAAUUUAAAUGAAGAGAUGGAAGGGGCAAGGGAAACGUACACUCUUUUGAAGGGGAUUGGAGCCACACAAAGAUAACAACCUUCACAUGAUUAAUUAUAGAGAGGAACACUGGAGUCGGUAGUAGCAGAAAAACGUUCUCAAACCAAAAACAAUCCGGUCACAGAAACAACAGUGACCACACACACAUGGCUAACGAGCACGAUGCAGUGGUGUAUACUAUUUAUGUAUUUAUUUUUUUGAAAAGGCAGGAGGUCUGCCAAGAUAUAUUGAUAAGAAGAAUAACAAGAGGUUUAAGUCAAUACAGUGACCGAAGCACUAGGCAAAGAUCCAACCUGAAGAGAAGUAAACAAAAAUAAAAAACAGACCCCACUAAAUAGUUGUUAAGGGGUAACUAGGUGCUUGGCCCCUGCCAAAUUCCAGGCUGCUGCCUCACUCUUGAUUUUGGCAAUGAUUUGUUGGCAGCUCGAGAAUCUGCGAUCAAAGAUUCUCGCAUUUCGUUCUCGCCAAAUCUCCCAGUUUACAAGGAUCAAAAGUGAUCUGAUGCCUUUUCUAUUGCAUCCCGGCAAAAAAGCCAGCUUUUCCCACCAAUGCCCCAGCGAGGGGGGUCGCCCCCAGUUAGACGGCUUCAGGCCCUCAACAGCUACCCAAACAGCAACUUCCUCCCAAAUUCUUUUGAUGAAACGACAUUCCACAAAAAGAUGAAGCCCCGAUUCCUGGGCAGCACGACACAAGACGCAAAUUGGUUCAUGGGGCCAAUUCCUGGCGGCUAAUCGAUCUGCUGUCCAAAUGCGAUUUUGAAUUGCUAACCAGCUGAAAAACUUGCAUUUUGGAGGCGCCUAAUUCUUCCAGAUGAUGAGGUCAUAAUUUGUGUGAACAGAGCCCAAAAAUUGUGCCUGAUAUGCCGAUUUGACUGUGUAGCGGUGAUCCGCAGUGAAAUUCCAGGUGAUGGCAUCAUCACGCUCUGGGUGAAACUGGAUCUUUUGGACUUCAGACCAAAGAAUGCAGAACUCAUGAAUGUGGUGGGGAGUAAUCGGUCUGUCGAACAGCGCAAGAUCCAUGAUCCAGGCAUUGUUUGUGACCGCCUCCGCUAAAGAUUUCCUCUUAUUUCUUGAUAUAGAAAAGAGACGAGGCGCCAAGUCCUUUGGCCUUUGCCCCCUCACCCAAGCGUUGCCCCAGAAGGAGAUUUUAGAACCAUCACCAAUCUCAAUGGUCGUCGAUGCCGCAAAAAGCAGUCUAUCAACAUCAGAGCAAGGAAUCUCUAAGUUGUCCCAAAUAUUCUGUGAUGAGGUGCAAUUAUGCCAGAGCCAUCGCGCGCGCAAGGCACGUGCAAAAGCGCCCAAAUCAAGAACUCCCAAGCCCCCAAGGGAUUUUGGCCUCGCCACCACUUUCCGCCCGUCAGUCGUUCAGAACCAGCCCAAAGGAAUUGUCUUCUUUUGGAGUCUAGAAGGCUAAUCGUUGCCUUGGGAGCAUUAAGGGCGGUUAAUAGAUAAAUUGGUUGUGAGGUAAGCACUGUUUUCACCAGAGUUAAGCGCCCUGCCACUGAGAAAUUUCUCCCAUUCCAGCUACUCAGUUUGUUCAAUACUUUGUCCACCAAAAACUGGAAGUGCCCCUUCCUGAGUCUAGUUGUGGAGAGAGGGAGGCCCAGGUACCGGAUCGGGAAGGUUGCUCUUCUGGCUGGGAAGCAACUAAGGAUGUCAUCAAGGGGUAGCCCCUGGCAACGGAUUGGGACGAUCAUGGACUUCUGAAAAUUGGUCAUCAGACCAGAGGCCUCGCCAAAUGAGGUGAGCAACUUGACAAUUGUCUCACUAUCCUCUUUUUUCGGCUUAACAAACAAAGCUGCAUCAUCAGCAUAUAGCGAGAUCCUAAUGCUGGGCGAGCUGUUUCCCAACUUGUUCAAUGCUCCACUGUCCGCGGCGAUCUUUAGAAUUUUUUGCAAAGGGUCUAUCGCCAAGACGAACAGAAGAGGGGAGAGAGGAUCGCCUUGCCUGAGACCUCUCUCAUGAUGAAUAGGAGGGUUAGGGACCCCGUUAACGAGCACUCUUGAUGUUGAGGUGGAGAGGAUAGAAGCGAUCCAGUCAGUCCACCUCACAGGGAAUCCCAAAUUGCGGAGUAAGGCAAUCAAGUAAUCCCAGCGGACGGAGUCAAAAGCUUUUUCAAUGUCUAGCUUGAGGAAUAGCGUGGGCGAAUUGAUACGCUGGAAGCGUCUAACAGUGCUUCUAACUGCAAGGAAGUUUUCAUGAAUGCUCCUUUUUUGAAUGAAGGCACUUUGGCAAGGUGAAACUAACUCAUUCAUUCUCGGCGCCAGACGAAGAGCCAGGGUUUUGGUGAUAAUCUUAAUGAAAGAAUGGAUGAGGCUUAUAGGUCUGAAGUCCCCAGCUACCUCCGCGCCUUCCUUUUUGGGGAUUAGAAUGAUGUUUGCUGAAUUGAUUAAUUGGAGGUUGAGGCAUCGAUUAUUAUAGAAAGCAUUCACUGCAGCCAUGAGAUCAUGGCUUAUAAUGGUCCAACAAGAUUUAAGGAAAACACCAGUGAAGCCGUCCGGCCCUGGAGCCUUAUCUCCUGGUAAAAGAUCAAUACUUCUCUUAAUUUCCUCCUCGGAGAACGGCGCGUCGAGGCUUGAUAGAUCAAACUGCUAGUCAGAGAUAAUGUCCCAGUUAAGGUCGACAGAUCUAGGGGUUGGCCGCUUUAAAGCAUUAUGGAAGAAAUUUUGUAGCUCUUGCGCUUUUUCAUUGUGAGAGAAGACCCACCCAUUACCGCUCCGCAACCGUUGAAUGAAAUUUUUUCGCCUCCUGGAGCCAGCUUUCCGGUGGAAAAAUUUAGUGUUGGCAUCUCCGAAUUUAAGCCAAAGCAUGCGUGAGUUUUGCCUGUUUCGUGCCCUUUCAAUUACCGCAUAGCCAAGGAUGCGCAUCUUCAAUCUAUUUCGGAGGUUCACUUCCAUGUCGGACAGUCCCCUAUUUUCUUGUGCCAUGUCCAGUCUUAGAAUAACUUCUAGGGCCAUAUACAUAAAGAGUCUAGCAUCAGGUAUUAACUUGGAGCUCCAUUCCUUAAGCGCCUUGGCCGUGAACUGCAGUUUGUAGUACAGCCUAUGAAAAGGCUCACGAUGUUGGGUCGGUGCCAGCCAGGCUUGCUCAACUGUAUGCUGGAAACCUGGUAAUUUGGUCCAGAAAUUCUCAAAUCUAAAGGAACGUGGACGCCUCGGCAUAGUACUAUUGGAUAGGAGCAGCGGGCAGUGGUCAGAGACCGAGGAUGAUAGUGCAUGCAGACCAAAUAUUCCGAACAUCUCCUCCCAUUCAGAGUUGCAGAAGAAUCUGUCUAGUCUUACGAGAGUGGGAUGUCGUCUCUCAUUGCUCCAAGUGAACUUCCUGUUUUGCAAAGGAAUUUCUUUCAAGUCGCAAAUGUCAAGAGCUUGCCUGAACAGAAGCAUUAGGCGAGGGUUGACUCUAGAAUUGUUUUUGUCGCUUGCUUUGUAUGUGCAGUUGAAAUCCCCAAGGACCAACCAGGGGGAAGGUGAAGGAGGCCUCUGUGCACUCAUCUCUCUUAGAAAAUCAGGCUUGCGGCCUCUACAAGAUGGUCCAUAGACGACUGUCAGGUAGAAGGAAGCACAACGAUCCUUAAGAGAGACAUUUGCGGAUAUGUGGAAUUCUCCGAUAGUAAAAUUGGACAAUUCGAGUAGGUCGCUAUCCCAAAGCAAAAGAAUACCACCUCGGGUUCCACUAUUUCCUUCCGCAGGUUUAAAACUGAAUUUAUUAAGCUUUGGUCCUCCAAGCGCCAUCACAAUGGACCUGUCGACCGUUGAUAAUUUAGUCUCUUGCAAACAGGCAAGAUGGCAAGUGGUGGUGGAGAUCAUCGCGCGCACUGCAUCUCGGUGCGCUUGCAAAUUUAAACCCCUUACAUUCCAGCACAGGAUGCUAAAGUCAGACAUGGAGGAGAAAAGGACCCCGAUUAAUUGCCGACAGCUGGAUGAAAUUCCAGCACUGCACAAUAAUGACAGUGAAACUUAAAGGGGCCAGCAGGGCCAACACAAGCAUGGCUGUUAUAGGUCUGAAGCAAAACAGCAACCCAAUACAGUCCAGGGUGCUCACAAAAGUAGUAGAAACUGAACUGAGACUCAUUGACAUAACAAAAGCAGACCCUCAUCAUCUAACAUGGAGCUAAAACAGCCAUCAAUCAAGCCGCAGCAACUGCUCUGGCCUCUGCAUGCAUAGCGUCCACCUCCUCUUGGAUCUCAGCUAUAGCAUCUCCAGCAAUUCCCAUCAAGGCCUUGUCGAGGCGAACUGUGUCUGGCGUAUCAAGAUUGAACAGAGCAUCUAGGGCCGUCCCCAUCUCCACAGUCAGUGGCUUCUUGAACCAAUCCUGAAAUUCCUGCAAAGCAGUAUUAAAAUCAGCAGCGUCAUCUUUUGCCAAGAGACCAAGCUUGCGGUAGAGGACGCGCUGGGCCCGUUGCAUGACAUUCGUUCGAGGGCCGUUGGCAAGUCUGGCGCUACGACGUACCGUCGAAAGGUUGAAGCCGUGUCGCUGCUUGAUUCUUCUAGCAGGUGCUGCAGGAAUAGUAGACAGAGUGGUCGCUGGUGUUGUUACCCCCUCCGAAGGAUGUAGCACUGGUCGCUCGAGUAUGGCAGGCGAGGGCUUGGUGAAUAUGGUGUUGAGUAGAUGGCUUUGCGCGGUGGUUGACACCGCUGCAACAUCUGUUGAAGGUUCAUGCACCGCAGCUAUCAUCCGAGAGGAAGCGUCGACAUUGGAGUCCUUCACAGCUUCGGUGUUGUAGCCCGCAGCAACCGUGCUGCAGGGAGAGCCUAACAGCACAUGGUCCUCCUCAGACUGCACCAAAGGCAGUAGCUGCAUAGCAGGGCAUGUUGGAAGGGAAUCGAGAAUAGUUGUGAAUGCUCGCUGCACUGGAAUGAGACUUACGUUGUCUGCGAAGUUCAUCCUGCUGCCAUCCCAGACAGCAAGGUUGCUGUCGCCAGCAGCAGCCCCAGGGACCGGAUCGACUUGGCCCUUAGGCACCAAGCGCGGUCGCCUUCGGUACACGCAGCCAACGCGGUAACGACCUUUAGGGAGAGCUGCAGCCUUCACAGCAGGGCGCGAAGAACCGUCGUUGCCACCACCGCGUGAGCUGCGGAUGCCGGGACUGCAGGCGCUUGGUGGAAAUCUGGGGCGAGCAGGAUGCCGUGGGGGGGUCGCUGAACGGCCACGCCGGACAGCAACACGGGUGGAACGGCGCACACGGUUGCGUCCACGUAUCGCCAGGUCACGACCAAUCGCCGGGUCACGGCCAACAUGUGGCGUAACCAACGACGUGCCUCCGGCAUGACGAGGCUGCUGAUCGCCGUGAAGGUGGCGACAAAGUUGCUGAUCGCCGUCGAGGUGGUGACGCCGCCUGGGUGAGUCAUGGUGCUGGCCAUGGCGCGACCCCGAGCGCUCCCGCUCGCGGUCCCUGGGAGCCCGCGAGAUGCUACGAAAGAGCCGGGAGCUCCAACUGUCGUCGCGUCCUGGGCGGCGACCACGACGGUCACUAUCACCAUCCUCAUCCCUGCGACGGUUGCUGCGAGGUGGUGGAGGGUCGUGACGGUCACGUGGUUCGCACUCGCCGUCAACAACACCAAGCCGCCAAUCAUACACACGUGUAUGCCCAUGGCCAUCCCUGGUAGGGGGGGUCUUCCACCAUAUCAAGGUGGACGAUGACCCUGAAGGUUAAGCCGCUACACCCCACCGGUGUCGCGUCGUGGGCAGUGUUGCUCCUGUCAACAAUGGUCAGCCACGUUACCUUAGGUAUGUCAGAUGGGUUUCGCGCCCACGCCCACAGAUUGAGCGUCGUAGCAUCCUCCAUUCGCAGCGACUGGGCUUCAACGUAGUCCAGCACACAGGACUUAGCCACCGCACGCUUAGCGAUGCCAUCGUUCCAUGCGUGCAGAGGGAUGCCUUCCAGGCACAGGCGCACGUGGGAGCCGAAGACGCUGUGGUCACCGUGGACGGGGAGCUGCCACAGCCUGACGCGGAUGUCGAUGUUGUUGUAGGUGAAGUCGCGUUGCGCCACAGCCGUGUCCCGGUGAUGCUGGUGUUCAAAGGUGACGAGGAAGUCCUCUGGAUAGUGUCUCACCACCUUGAUGUCUUCUUCGCGCAUCCUGAACCUAGAGCAGAAAGCCCUUCUUACUGUGUUGGUGCUUGUUGCCGGUCGAACGCCGCCGAGCCAGGCCCAUGCCGCGUGGGUGCUCAGCCGCGCCAGCUCGUUGUCCAUGUCCCGAGAGGACGCGGCAACAGCGAAAGUCUCCUGCGGGCGCUCCAUGGGGUUGCCAGGCUUCACCAUGUUGACUUGGCGCAGAGGAGGGAAGUUGACGUUGUCGAAGCAGGGAGGUGGUGGGAAGGCAGAGGGGGUAGAAGCAGCAGCACUAAUCUUCUUGAGACAUUGCCAGGCUCUGUAUCCAGGGCCGCCGCAGUUGAAGCAUUUCAACGGAUCCCUGCAAUCAAUGGCGUAGUGCCCUCUGGCCAGACAUCGGAAGCAUUUACCUCUCAGGCUUACCUUAAGAUUUUUGUUGUCCAGAUGGCGGAACCUUGAAUGCUCGGUUGUUGGCUUCAAUGAAGUCGCAGGCGAAUUGAAUCUCUUGCGGAGUCGCCGAUGGACCGUUGUCCAGCCAGGCAAAUCUUCAGCGCCGGAUUCAGCGGAUUUGCUGCGUUGAGGAGUGAUGGGACGCAGGCCUGGGUAUUGAAGUCGGUGGGAAGCAGUCCCAUCCCGGCCGUGCGGAGUGAUUUUCGUUGGAGCAGCAGACGCGUCAAAGCAGGAACGAUGAGAUUGGUCGGCGGACAGAGCUGAUUCGGCGAACCUAACUCUCCUGGUGCAGGCGGCCUUAGCUGUCGACGAACCGGCGGCAGGCUUGAGGCAGGACCGCAUCGAAGAAGAAGUCCCGGAGUCAGAUCUAGGAAUGCGGGCGUCCGCGUCGAAUGCUGGAAUCCCCACCGAGGCAGGGUGGCUCUGGAGGAUGGAGGCCUGAUCAAUGGGGUGAUGGAGGGGUUGGGGUUGGUUUUCCGGCGAGUAGGCGGGGGGAGCGGCAGCGGCGGCAGGUGCGGUGCUAGCCGCCGUAUUUAUUAAGAAUGUAACUGGAGACAUUAAACGUGUACACAGUACACAUGCCAACAUUUUACCAGUGGAGAAUGAAUCCAACAGCGCCGGACCAAACCUUUUUUUUCUUUUUUUUCUUUUCACAACGAAAUUGGUUGGAAUUGGACCCAAUGCUCUAGCCAACAUACAGUACGCCCAAGUACAGAACCAAAGAUGGAUGAGGGUGAUGAAUCUGCAGAAAUAGAAGUUGCAGAUGAAGCUGAACCAUGCUCUGGGAUAAAGAGGGCAAGCACUCGGACAAAGUCAAAUAAUGGAAAAAGAACCCAAGCAUCCAUGAGCAACUGUGGUUUCAGCUCCACCAAAACCACAAACACAAAAGCAUUGCAAGCAUGUGAAAAGGCACAGAUGCAAACAUUAUUAGGUUACUCAUCAUGCUAGAUCCAAGAAAAACAAAUAAUCAAUUUCCACAAGAAAAUUAAUUUCAAGAGAUCAACAAAGAGAGUAUAAACAAGAUGAUUUACUAUCGAUGGGAUUGAUAUUGACCCAUUAAGUCUCCACCUGCGAGUGCUAGAGUGGAUCACUAUAGACCUCACCAGUACUGGUGAGAAGGAACCUGGCUUUGAUCCUCUUUGCCAAUCCAUGCAUGUUCAGAGUCCCAACACAUUUUUCAUGUGCUAUCACAAAGGUUAAGGCUAACAUAAAUCAUGUCAAGCUACAACAACAAGCAGUAUAAAAAGGCAAAUUGCCCCUAACAAAUGUGGCAAAAGGUAGAAGUGCCUACUCAUUUCCAGCAAAGAUAAUGGAUUUGUUUUUAAUGUAGAGUACAUCUAAUUCACAUCUAAAACAAGAGACAAUACUCCUCAAUAAUUAGCAUGGAUCCCGAAGCACCUUAAUUCAGUAAACUAAAUGAUCAAUAACACAUUAUGGUCCUCUCCAACACCCCCAACCCCCCCCUCCAAAAAAAAGUUGUCGUUCUUUUUUUGCGAGUCUAGAGGUAAUAGUAUUGGAAGCACAAUCUCAAAUGAGUACCAGGUGGCGAGUAAAAGUAAGAUAGUGUUUGAAUGCAUUAGAGCUAAUAGUUAGUUAGCUAAAAAUUUGUUAGUAGAAUUAGCUAGCUAAUAAAUAGCUAGCUAACUAGUAGCUAAUUUACUAAAAAUAGCUAAUAGUUAAAAUAUUAGCUAGGGUGUUUGGAUGUCUCCAACUAAUUUUAGCCACUAACUAUUAGCUCUAGUGCAUUCAAACACCUAAGAAUGAAAUCCAUAUAGGCAAAAGGUAAACAGAAGUAUGCAUUCAGGUGGAUUUGUUGGUUAUUACAGAACACUGAGCAAACAAAAAAACAUCUGUUUAUGUUAGGUAAUGUUGAGCUAAAUGGACAGACCAAAAUAGUUACGUCACAGAACAAAGAGAAUAAAUACUAAAAGAGGUAGGUGUCGCUCACAACUUCUACAUUAUUUUGGUAUUCAGAACUUGAACUCUAGUUUCUGCAGAAUGUGGCCUUCAGACCGUCAGGUCCAAUGCCUUUGUGCCAGGAGUCAUAGGCGAGGAGAUCCACAAGCUGACAGCUGUGGGGUUCAUCAAAGAGGUAUUCCAUCCUGAAUGGUUAGCCAACCCUGUGCUUGUGAAAAAGAAAAGUGGGAAAUGGAGGAUGUGUGUAGACUACACUGGUCUAAACAAAGCAUGUCCGAAGGUUCCCUACCCUCUGCCUCGCAUCGAUCAAAUCGUGGAUUCCACUGCUGGGUGCGAAACCCUAUCAUUCCUCAAUGCCUACUCAGGGUAUCACCAAAUCAGGAUGAAAGAGUCCGACCAGCUCGCAACCUCUUUCAUCACACCCUUUGGCAUGUACUGCUAUAUUACUAUGCCAUUUGGUUUGAGGAAUGCAGGCGCAACAUACCAAAGGUGCAUGAACCACGUGUUCGAAGAGCACAUCGGCCGAACGGUCGAGGCUUACGUCGAUGACAUCGUAGUCAAGACGAGGAAAGCCUCCGACCUCCUCUCUGGCCUUGAAACGACAUUCAAGUGUCUGAGAGCGAAAGGCGUAAAACUCAAUCCCGAGAAGUGUGUCUUCGGAGUCCCCCGAGGCAUGCUCCUGGGGUUCAUCGUCUCCGAGCGGGGCAUCGAGGCCAACCCGGAGAAAAUCGCGGCCGUCACCAACAUGGGGCCUAUCAAAGACUCGAAAGGAGUACAGAGGGUCAUGGGAUGCCUUGCGGCUCUGAGCCGCUUCAUCUCGCGCCUCGGCGAAAGAGGCCUACCCCUGUACCGCCUCUUAAGGAAGACCGAGCGCUUCACUUAGACCCCCGAGGCCGAGGAAGCCCUCGGGAACUUAAAGGCGCUCCUUACAAGCGCGCCCAUCUUGGUGCCCCCCGCUGCGGGAGAAGCCCUCUUGAUCUACGUAGCCGCAACCACUCAGUUGGUCAGCGCCGCGAUCGUGGUCGAGAGACGAGAAGAAGGGCAUGCACUGCUCGUCCAGAGGCCGGUCUACUUCAUCAGUGAAGUACUAUCCAAGACCAAGAUCCGCUACCCGCAAAUUCAGAAGUUACUGUAUGCAGUAAUUCUGACGCGGCGAAAGUUGCGACACUACUUCGAGUCUCAUCCGGUGACUGUGGUGUCAUCCUUCCCCCUGGGGGAGAUCAUCCAGUGCCGAGAGGCCUCGGGUAGGAUUGCAAAGUGGGCGGUGGAGAUCAUGGGCGAAACAAUCUUGUUCGCUCCUCGGAAGGCCAUCAAGUCCCAAGUCUUGGCGGACUUUGUAGCUGAAUGGGUCGACACCCAGCUUCCAACAGCUCCGAUCCAGCCGGAACUCUGGACCAUGUAUUUCGACGAGUCGCUGAUGAAAAUAGGAGCAUGUGUGGGCCUGCUCUUCAUCUCACCCCUCGGGAAGCACCUCCGCUACGUGCUACGCCUCUAUUUCCCGGUGUCAAACAACAUGGCCGAGUACGAGGCUCUGGUUAAUGGGUUGUGCAUCGCCAUCGAGCUAGGGGUUCGGCGCCUCGACGCUCGUGGUGGCUCGCAGCUUGUCAUCAACCAAGUCAUGAAGAACUCCCACUGUCGCGACCCGAAGAUGGAGGCCUACUGCGACGAGGUUCGGCGCCUGGAAGACAAGUUCUACGGGCUUGAGCUCAACCACGUCGCUCGACGGUACAACGAGACUGCGGACGAGCUGGCUAAAAUAGCCUCGGGGCGGACAACGGUUCCCCCGGACGUCUUCUCCCGAGACCUACAUCAACCCUCCGUCAAGACCGACGACACGCCCGAGCCCGAGGAGGCCUCGGCCGCCGAAGGUGGGGCACUGCGUGUCAAGGAAGAGCGGAAUGGGGUCACGCCUAAUCGAAACGGGCAGGCCCCGUACCUGCAAUAUCUCCACCGAGGAGAGCUACCCCUCGACAGAGCCGAAGCUCGGCGACUGGCGCGGCGCGCCAAGUCGUUCGUCUUACUGGGUGACGAGAAGAAGCUCUACCACCGCAGCCCCUCAGGCAUCCUCCAACGAUGCAUAUCCAUCGCCGAAGGUCAGGAGCUAUUGCAAGAAAUACACUUGGGGGCUUGCGGUCACCACGCAGCACCUCGAGCCCUCGUUGGAAACGCCUCCUGACAAGGUUUCUACUGGCCAAUCGCGGUGGGCGACACCACUAGGAUUGUACGUCCUACCAGGGGUGUCAAUUCUACGCAAGACAGACACACCUGCCCGCUCAGGCCCUGCAAACAAUACCCAUCACCUGGUCAUUUGCUGUGUGGGGUCUGGACCUCGUCGGUCCCUUGCAGAAGGCACCCGGGAGCUUCACGCACCUGCUGGUCGCUAUCGACAAAUUCUCCAAGUGGAUCGAGGUCCGACCCCUAAACAGCAUCAGGUCCGAGCAGGCGGUAGCGUUCUUCACCAACAUCAUCCAUCGCUUUAGGGUCCCGAACUCCAUCAUCACCGACAACGGCACCCAGUUCACUGGCAGGAAGUUCCUGGACUUCUGCGAGGACCACCACAUCCGUGUGGACUGGGCCGCCAUAGCUCACCCCAUGACAAAUGGGCAGGUAGAGCGUGCCAACGGUAUGCUCCUGCAAGGACUAAAGCCGAGGAUCUACAACGACCUCAACAAGUUCGGCAAGCGAUGGAUGAAGGAACUACCCUCGGUGGUCUGGAGUCUGAGGACGACACCAAGCCGAGCCACAGACUUCUCGUCGUUCUUUCUAGUCUAUAGGGCCAAGGCUAUCUUGCCCACAGACUUAGAAUACGGUUCCCCAAGGACGAAGGUGUACGACGACCGAAGCAACUAGACCAGCCGAGAAGACUCACUGGACCAGCUGGAAGAGGCUCGGGACAUGGCCUUACUACACUCGGCACGGUAUCAGUAGUCUCUGCGAUGCUACCACACCCGAGGGGUUCGGUCCCGAGACCUCCAGGUGGGGGACUUGGUACUUCGGCUGCGACAAGACGCUCGAGGGCGCCACAACCUCACUCCUCCCUGGGAAGGGUCGUUCAUCAUCGCCAAGAUUUUGAAGCCCGGAACAUACAAGCUGGCCAACAGUCAAGGCGAAGUCUACAUCAACGCUUGGAACAUCCGACAGCUACGUCGCUUUUACCCUUAAGAUGUUUUCAAGUCGUUCAUAUACCUCAUUCUCUUUACAUACACAAAUAAAGUCUAACCGUCAAGGAAGGGUCAGCCUUGCCUCAGUAAAGCCCGACCCUCCCUCGGGGGCUAGAAGGGGGGAACCCCCUCUGCGUCAAAAAUUUUCCUCGAAAAAAGUCUUUCUGCCAAAACGUCUUUUGCGCUUUUCGAUUGCUUCGAUAGCGGGGUCCUGAAAACGACGGAGUACACGUAAGCGGCGAGGCCGACCGAGCCGAGGGACUCCUACGCCUCCGGGAUACGGAUACCUCACUCAUCACCUUCCGCGAUAAGUAACUCUCGCUUGGAUAAGCGAUUCUGCUGUCGAACAAGUCUUAACGCUCAAAAACCUUCCUGCCAGAAUGAUUUUUCGUGCCUUCUCGACUAUAUCGAUAACAGAAUCCUGUGAACGAGUAAGAGUACACGUAAGCGGCAAGGCCGACCGAGCCGAGGGACUCCUACGCCUCCGGGAUACGGAUACCUCACUCAUCACCUUCCGUGAAAAGUAACUCUCGCUCGAAUAAACGAUUCUGUUACCGACGAACAAGUCCUGAUACUCGAAACAAGAGGAAAGGAAAUGUAGCUUUACGACACGACAAUGAUAUGUUUGGGCCUCGGCGGCCACGAAAAACAUACGCACACUACAGACAAACUCUCCCUGCAGGUUCAGACAUCAACAGAGGGAACAACAACACCCUCGGCGUUGUUUCCACCUUCGGCGGAAUCUGGCCCGGCCUCGGACGGCGACGUGGGCGGAAGGAUCUCCACCUCGAGGAGGAAGCCAGCACCAAGCUCGGGCCAUCAUAGCCAAGGUCUCCAUAAGGGUCCCGGCCCGGGCAAACACCUUGACCGGCCGCUCCGAAGCCUCAGCCAGCUGUCCCUCGAGGACAUCAGCCCGGCUCAUGGCCUCGGCAGCCCGACUCCGGGGUUGGUCCCGCCAGUGGACGACCUGGCCAGGUUCCAGCCGCCGCUGCUACACCUCCUCGGCCAGGGAGCCCACGUGCUCCUGGGCCAACGAAGCUUCUUCUCGAGCCGACUCCGCCUCUGUCCACACUGACACCGCUGCCUCCGGCUCCGGCUCAUCGCAGAGCAGCUGAGGGUUUCUUUAACUGAGCAAGAGAAGCCUUGGGUGGCAAGGCCGACCGAGCCGAGGGACUCCUACGUCUCCGGGAUACGGAUACCUCACUCGUCACCUUCCACACAGGGCAACUCACACUUGGUUAAGCGGUUCAGCUAGCCGUCAGGCGAGUCCUGGUGCUCGAAAUGAGGAAGAAACACGGUAUUGCACUCAAAUACCUAGAUGUUCAGGCCUCGACAGCCACAAUGAACAAAUGCCGGCACUCAAGGUGCCAUUACAAACGGAACUCCGGUUCCACUCCCGCGGGUAUGAACAACCUCCACAUCGGAGGGCCUGCUGGACGACAAACUCCAGGUGGCUCGCCGCCGACCGCUCCAUCAGCAGCGACAACAACCUCCGCUCCGGGCGAAAGGGCGGACCGCCAUGCAGGCGGCGUGCAACUGCACCAUGGAGACGCACCCCUUCGACUUCGACGCAUCCAGCAUGGAGGCCCAGGCCCACACGUCAUGUAAUCGGCGCGCCGAUUACUACGUGUGAAAAACUGCACCGCCACUUGCGCUAAUACCGCGCCUUCUCGACUGCGGAACCGGUGCCGCGAUUCGAGGCAACCCUGCGCAUGGACCAACAGUGCCAACCAAGCACAUCAGUCAUGGGUCAGUCAGCCGCGGGAGAAGGCGUGACGGUCGAUAUGGCCAAAAGUGGGCCGGUAGUAAUGGCGGCAGCAGGCGGGCGGAAGCGGCGGUCAAAUCGUCUGCAGGCUCACGUCCCCUCCUGGAGCAGCAGGGGAGCCCUCUCCCACAGCGUGAAGACGACGCGCCCGUGUUCCGUCCCUCGAACGGCUCGCACAACGGCUGCCCUGCGAACCACCCGUCCUGUCACAUUAACUUUGCGGCAGGGCAGGCGACACCUUUGGCAGGAGAAGCGGGCGAUGUUUCACCUCCGCCAUGAUGACCGCGUCAAAAAAGGUGCGCCAUGUCGUUUAAAUUCGUAUCCUUUUCUCCUUCCCCUUUCUCUCUCUUGCUACAGGGACCGGGAAAGGGGAUAUUUCGAAAGGGAUCCUUCUCUGCGAAGGAAGCGGGCCCCGAGCCCUCCUACUGAUCAGGGGUUCAAAGGCUGGCCCCUCGGAAGGGUUCAACAGCCGCCCCAGAGCACUCGGGCUUCAGGCUCAUUACUGAUCAGAGGUUCGAUGGCUGGCCCCUCGGAAGGGUUCGACAGCCGCCUCAGACCACUCGGGCUCCGCGCCCACUACUGAUCAGGGGUUCGAAGGCUGGCCCCCCGAAGGGUUCGACAACCGCCCCAGAAUGCGCAGAGCGAGGGAUGACUCUGGGUACGUCCGAUACAUGGCCGAGGCUCGGGCUACGCUCCCGAGGUACCCUAGGACAUUUCCGAGGCCAGCAGGAGCGAUUCUGUAACGGAAUCGCAUCAGAGGGAGGCAUCGAGCCCUCGGACCCUAUCGAACGGGACCGGGUCCGGCAAAUCACCUGCAGGUACUUUUGGAGCGCGCCUCUAGGCCACUAGCCGACCCUUAUCGAACGGGGCACGGGCGUCCACUCGGAUCACCCGUUACCAACUCACUGGAGACACCAUGUUCGGCGCCCUCCGGGGGCAACAUGGCGCUUUCCCCCCUCCUCCUUGCGGAAAGGCGACGAAGGGGCGUAUGAUAAAAGCCGAGUCAGUCCUUGAUCAUCCUCUCGCUCUGUGCAGAGGCUCGGGGGCUGCUCUCGCAAACCCAGCUCCGGCCAAACCGUUGACAGCGUCAACAAACUAGCCCGAGAACUCGGAACCUAACCAUGCACCCGGGCUACGAUCAGAUCGCAUGAGGGAACAACCAGACCGGCUGAGGCAUCACGAAAGGCAUUAAGACCUCAGAGGAGUAAAACCACUCCUUCGAGGCCUCGGGGGCUACACCCGGUGGGUGCGCUCGCGCGCACCCACAGGAACAAAAUGUAACCGAGAAAGGUCGGUCCCCUCGCAAAAAGUGCGACAAAGCCUCCAAGCGAGUACCAACACUCCCUUUGAGGCUCGGGGGCUACUGUCGGGGACCAUAAUUAGGGGUACCCCCAACACUCCUAAACUCGGCUGGUAAUCACCAUCAGCACAAGCUGCAGAGCCUGAUGUGCGCAAUUCAGGUCAAGGCUCCAUCCACUCAAGGGACACAAUCUCGCCUCACCCGAGCCCAGCCUUGGGCAAGAACAUUAGACCCAGGUGGAUUCACGCCUCACCCGAGGGCCUCCUCAAGCAACGGGCGCACCCUCGACUCGCCCGAGGCCCAGCUCGGGCGGGCUUCGCACUGAAGCAACCUUGGCCAGAUCGCCUCGCCAACCGACCGUAUCGCAGGAGCAUUCAAUGCGAGGAUCGCCUGACACCUUAUCCUGACGCGCAGUCCUCAGUCGAUAGGGCCGAAGUGACCGCAGUCACUUCGCCCUUCCACUGACCGACCUGACAAGAAAGCAGCGCCGCCUGCCCCGCUCCGACUGCUGUGCCACCCACCAGGGUGAGGCUGACAGCAGCUAAGUCCAGCCUCAGGCGCCACAGGAAGCUCCGCCUCGCCCGACCCCAGGGCUCGUCCCCCGCCUCGGCCUCGAAAGAUGGACUCCGCCUCGCCCGACCCCAGGGCUCGACCUCGACCUCGACUGCGGGCGGAAUCGCGUCCUCACACGACCCCGGGCUCAGCCUCAGGAGGAGUCUCCGCCUCGCCCGACCUUGGACUCGGACCGACCAUGCCACAGGGGGAUCAUCAUUACCCUACCCCUAGCCAGCUCAGGCUACGGGGAACAAGACCGACGUCCCAUCUGGCUCGCACCGGUAAACAAGUAAUGAUGGCACCCCGCGUUCGCUCAUGACGACGGCGGUUCUCAGCCCCUUACGGAAGCAAGGAGACGUCAGCAAGGUCCCAACAGCCCCGAUAGCUGUGCUUCUACAGGGCUCAAGCGCUCCUCCGACGACCACGACAUCGCAUGCACAGGGCUCUAGCACCUCUCCGACAGCCACGUUGGCAUGUACAUAGGGCUCUGGCUCCUCUCUGCCGGACACGUUAGCAUAUUGCUACACUCCCCAUUGUACACCUGGACCCUCUCCUUACAUCUAUAAAAGGAAGGUCCAGGGCCCUCGUACGGGAAAGGUGGCCGCGCGGGAGGACGGGCUGACGAACAGGCUCUCUCUCCCUCGCGAACGCUUGUAACCCCCUACUGCAAGCGCAUCCACUCUGGCGCAGGACAACACGAAGCCGCGACUUUCCCCCCCUUUGUGUUCCGUCUCGCGCCAACCCAUCUGGGCUGGGGCACGCAGCGACAAUUUACUCGUCGGUCCAGGGACCCCCGGGGUCGAAACGCCGACACCUUGUUCGGUUAUUCCUAUUAUAAAUGGAUUGAGUGAGAUUGGAAAAAAUUUAGAAGAACUUUGACUUGCUUGGGAUUUAAACCCACCCAAUCUCAUUCAAUCCACAUGAAUUGAGAGCUAACCGAACAAGCCCUCAGCGGUUGCCCACGUGAAUUUUAGUCGAAAAAAUCCCAACGGAUACAAUCAAAUGACCGAUAGCCGGUGGACGGCAGUUCAGGCCCAUCCUCGUGCAGGCUCUAAAAUGUGAGGUGUCGUUUGAUAUAACCUUAAAUUAUGUCUGUUUAAGUUUAUGUGUAAUUAGAUAUUACACUAAAAACUGAUAUUAAUCAAUUUAAACUAGUGAUAUAUUCCUAGAUACUCGAGUGUAAAUUGUUACUAUUGUCAUUCUAUUUAUUUGGUUUUAAUCUAUAUUAGAGUCUACUAUUUUUACACUAUUUUAUCUAUAUAAAUUAUAGAUGUAGCAAUUCAAGCAACUGAUUUUAAUCAACCAAACGGCACCAGACAAGUACAGAUCUAUGGCCCCACUCAGGAACUUGGGAAUGGCUAGGUCCACUCCAUGACGCCAGAUCCCCUUCUCCAUUUUAUCCGUCCAACGAGGGGGAAAAAUCCCACCGAGAAAUCCCCCUCCAUUCCCUCCCUCGUGGCCUCGUCUCCUCCCGUGGCCCGUGGGGGACGGCACGCAACCACACGCAGCCACUCACCGGUGAGCGGCGAGGCGACUGGCGCGGCCGCGCACCGCAGUCACGCACGCAGGCGCUCAAUGGCUGCGUCACUCUGCUCCCCGCCUCCGCUCCCUUCCGCCUUCCGCCGAUCCCGCGCCGUCGUCCGCGCCUCCUCCUCCUCCUCGUCGUCAUCCGCCGUCUCGUCGUCGUCGUCCGCCCCCAAAGCGCGGUUCGUCGCCCGCCGCUCCGAGUCCGUCCCCGUCCAGCAGCUGGUCCGCCCGCUCGGUACCCGGAGCCUUCCCCCCUCCCGAGCUCUCCCCAAACUUCAUGGUCUCUACUUGCUCGCUAGUUGAGGGGUCGCUUGAGAUACAUGUCUGCUUGCCUCCUGCAGCGGAGUACAUGAGCUUGCCAGCCAGCCAGUACUCGGUGCUGGACGCCGAGCGCAUCGAACGCGUCGACGACUCCACCUUCCGGUGCUACGUGUACCGCUUCCGUUUCUUCGCGCUUGAGGUCUGCCCCGUCCUCCUGGUCCGCGUCGAUGAGGAACCCGACGGCUGUUGUAUUCGCCUCCUCUCCUGCAAAGUACCUUUCGCCAUACAAAAUUUCAUGUUUUAAUGAUGGCGGCAGUUGUUUAUUUCUGCGAGCAGCGAUUAAGUGUCUCGCUGAUACAGUUAUUUGGUUUUGCUUGCAGCUGGAGGGAUCACCGCUCGUGGAGGCGCAGAAUGAUAAAUUCUCAGGUAAGGUUCGUUCUUGAUAUUAGUGCUAUUACGGUUCUUGGACUAGAUACUUGCCUGAUUACUGAUUUUUACCCGUUAAUCGCUGGCUCACUCGAUGUGUUCUAAAUAAUAAUAUGACCUAAUCACGGCUCAAAGAAGCUGAAAAAGCUUAUCAUUGACAUGUCAGAUAAAGCGGCUGCUGCUAAACUGCUGAGUAUCAUUCCUAGUUUCCUACAGUGGUACUUGCUAAACUCUAUCCACACAUAUGCAACGGAAUGCUCAGUGUGUUUCUAUUAAUGGUCAUUCAUCACUACUGUGAUCACAACUUGGUUGAUGAACUACAUUUUUUUUAUAAGAGUAUCCUUCUUCUGCCAACUGCAGCAAAUCUGUAAGAUGUUUCUGUUUAAAAAGCAUCAUUUUACUACGAUUGGUGACCUUACCAAUGGACCCAUCAAACUAAAGUUUAAUGGUCAAUCAUCACUACUGUGAUCACAAUUUGGUUGAUGAACUAUAUUUUUUUUUGAUAAGAGUAUCCCUCUUCUGCCAACCGCAGCAAAUCUGUAAGAUGUUUCUGCUUAAAAAGCAUCAUUCUACUAUGAUUGGUGACCUUACCAAUGGACCCAUCAAACUAAAGUUUAACCAUCCUGCAUAAGCAUUUUUUUAACGAAACCAUUCCACAUAAACAUGAAGGGACCCUUUUCUGCUAUUUGUGUGAUUCUAUCAUAUGUUUAUUUGAGAAGGGACAAAAAUCAAACAUAAUAUGUUGGCAUAUCCUCACAGGUGUCAACUAACUUGUUGACAAUGUUAUUCUUAAUUCCUUUUUAUUUUGCAAUAUAUAUAGGUACUUUUCUUGCGCUCCUGAACUUUUUUGACUUAAUAAUUUGUUGAGAAGUUUGUAUGGUUAUGAUAAACCAAGAAAGACAAAUAUGUAGUGGCAUAACUGCAAAUUUUCAUGGUCGACCUAUAUUAGCCCAUCCAACAAAGUUUAAUACAUAUAAUUCAUAGCGAUUUCUUUCCAUAUAUAAAUAAACUAUUUAACCCUGGUUCCAGGAUAUCAUUGAUUUGAUUUGCUGUGGGAUGCAGCUUCCAUGGCGAAUAGGGUUUUCUGCAGCAGCAAGUCGCAAGAUUCGACCCUUCAACAACUUACAUCAGAUACUACAAUAGAGGUAGGCAGUAGGCACUCUCAAGCUCCCAGCUUACAUAGUUUAAUCAUCAUUUGUUUGAACACAAUAAUCAGCUUAUUUUGAUAAUCUUCAGGUUGCAAUUGAUAUACCUUUUCCAUUUCGAGCAAUACCAGUUGAAGCCAUUGAAUCAAGUGGCAGGCAAGUGCUUGAACAGUUACUCAGAGUCAUGCUUCCAAGAUUUCUGAAGCAGGUUGGUUUAAUUUUAUUUGAUGUGCCGAUACUUUUUUAUUUUACAAAUUCUUCAGUUCAGUCUUCACUCUUUCUUCCAAGCUUCAACAUUUUCUUUGAGAUGUGACCCAUCUUUCUCCUCCUGGAAACUUUGUUUCAAGGACACAUUUAAGCUUAAUAUGAUCAGAUUCAACUUGAAUCUCAGACCUAGGGUUUCCUCUUGGCUUUCCUCUCUGUAUUUUUUUUCUAUUGUCCUAGUCCUCCUCCUUCCUUUUUCUUUUCUUUCUUCCCUCUUUUGUACAUGUUUUGGUUUCAUUAAUGAAAUUUUACUGUGGGGGGUUUCUCCUAUAGUAUCUUUGUAAAAAAACAUUUUCUUUGAGAUUACAACUCUAGAAGAAUUUGUGAACAAGUAAAUGGUGAGUUGGUCUAUAAGAUAAUAUACUGAUAUAGAAAUUUGAGAUGAAAUUAUAUCUCUAGAAUUACCUUUCGCUUUAUUGUAAAUCAGACAGUGAUGGAAUAAGUCUUGAGCAUCUAGAGGACAGCCUGCUUUUGACUGUCCUCUGUAGUCCUUUAGCAUCUAGAGGACAGCUUGACUGUCCUCUGUAGUCUCUUUAGCAUCUAGAGGACAGCAGUCGCUUUUUGACUGUCCUCUGUAGUCGCUUUAGCAUCUAGAGGACAACAGUCGCUUUUGACUGUCCUCUGUAGUCUCUUUAGCAUCUAGAGGACAAUCCUGUUGUGUAGUGUGUGUGAGAAGGUGUGGUAGUGCAGCCCCUAGGGCUAUAAAUAUGUGUCCCCAACCCCUCUAAGGGUAUGGCAUUGUGUAGUGUUUGAGGAAAUAAACAGAAAAUUGCCCCAACUCAUAGUGUCAUCCUCUUGAUGAGAGUUAGAGUCCCUCUACUUACAAUUGGUAUCAGAGCCAAACUAUCCUGUAGCCUAAACAUCUCUUGCUCAUCUCCUUCCCGCGCCUCUCCCCACACUCAGUCGGCAGCAAGAGCUCCAACUGUUCCUUCCUCUCCUGCUCAGACGAGCAACCUUUCGUCUGAGACAGCCUCUUCCACACGCAGCGACCCCUCACUAGCCCACCAUGUCCCUACGCUCGGUCACUUCGAGUGCGCGGCGCCAGCAGGAAGCCGAGGUCGCCGCGGCACAAGAACGAGAGCGAGCAGCAGCAGCGGCUGCAGCGACAGCGGCGAGGGCAGCACGGUUGGCGGCGGCGGAACUGGCAGCGGCAGAACUGGCAGCGGCGAGAGCGGAAGUAGAAGCAGCGGAGGCGACGAAUGCUGCACGUGCGACGGCAACAGAGCUCGAGGUUCUGCGCGGCAGUAGAGCUGGCAGCUCUGCUUCUGUCGACGACAACACCGACGAAGAGCUCAGGCUGGCGAGGGAAGCAGCGCGAGAGCAGGCGGCACAGUGGGCAGCCGCGCAUCCCCAUGGGGGCGCGCGUGCGACAGCCCGGAUAGGCGCCGACGCGCUGACGGCGCUCCAGGUGGGGGCGCACGCGGCGGCAGCCCAGACGGGCGUAGACGCGCCGGCGGUGCUCCUGGCGGCGGCGACCGAGUCGACGGAGAUCGCGGCCUCUACAGGCGGCGCGGUUCUCCCUCCCCGGAUCGGUACCAUGGUCGCCGCAUGGCCCAGGCCAUUGUCAGGGACAUCGGUCCCGGCGGUGGGUGGCCUACCCUCACCAAGACCAACUACGUCGAGUGGGCCGCGGUGAUGAGGGUACGGCUCCAGGUUCGCCACAUGUGGGAAGCAGUUCGUUACGACGACGUCGACUACCACGAGGAUCGGCGGGCGCUGGAUGCCCUCAUUGCUGCAGUCCCGCCCGAGAUGUAGUUUUCGCUUUCCCAGAAGCGGACUGCCAAGGAGGCCUGGGACGCCAUCGCUGCGACCCGCAUCGGCAGCGAUCGUGCCCGCAAGACCACACUGCAGGCACUUCGCAAGGAGUGGGAGAACCUGGCCUUCAAGCCAGGUGAGGAUGUUGAUGACUUUGCUCUCCGCCUCAACACUCUGUUGCAGAAGAUGGUGCAGUUCGGCGACGACACCUACGAUGAGGAGAGAGCUAUUGAGAAGCUCUUCCGUUGCAUCCCCGAGAAGUACAGGCAGAUUGCUCGGUCGAUCGAGUCUCUGCUAGACCUCUCCACGAUGACGAUCGAAGAGGCGAUUGGUCGCCUCAAGGUGGUCGACGGCGACGAACCACAGGCUCUCUCUGGGCCUAUCACUACCGGCGGGAAGCUACAUCUCACUCGGGAGCAGUGGGAGGCCUGCCAGGGUGACAAGAAGAAGGGGGAGUCCUCCUCGACACGAGGCCGCAAACGCGGCAAGCCGCGCAAAGCGCGUGGAGGCGCCCAGGCCGGGGCGCGAGGACAUGCUGAGGGUGGUGCACGUGGAGGUGCCCAAGUCGGCACCAAGAAGCCGGCACGAGACGACGCUGCCACAACUGCGGCAAGCUUGGCCACUGGGCCAGGGAUUGUCGGCAGCCACGACGUGGCCAGGCCAACGUCGCACAGGCGGAGGCGGAGGAGGAGGCCCUGCUCCUGGCACAUGCAAGCAUCGAGCCAUCUCCAGCGGCACCGGCCGCAGCGGCACCGGCCGCAGCGGCACUCCUCCACCUUGACGAGUCGAAAGCACGCGCUUUCCUCGGCGACGGCUCCAACAAGGACAUGAUCGAAGGAUGGUGCCUCGACACCGGUGCCACUCAUCACAUGACCGGCCGACGGGAGUUCUUCACCGAGCUUGACUCUAGCGUCCGAGGCUCCGUCAAGUUUGGGGACGCCUCCGGCGUAGAGAUCAAGGGCGCCGGCUCAGUCGUCUUCACCGCCGCGUCUGGUGAGCAAAGGCUGCUCACCGGAGUCUACUACAUCCCCGCGUUGAGGAACUCUAUCAUCAGCUUGGGACAGCUGGAUGAGAACGGUUCGCGCGUGGAGGUCGAGCACAGAGUCAUGAGGAUCUGGGAUCCCUCUCGUCGUCUUCUUGCCAAGGUACACAGGAGUCCAAAUCGGUUAUACAUCCUCAAUGUGAAGGUGGCACAACCUUGCUGCCUUGCUGCUCGUCGAGACGACGGGGCAUGGCAGUGGCACGAGCGCUUCGGACACCUUAACUUCGAGGCCCUGAAGCGGCUCAGUGCCAAGGAGAUGGUACGAGGCCUGCCGUGCCUUGACCAUGUGGAGCAAUUCUGCGAUGUCUGCGUGUUGACAAAGCAGAGACGGCUCCCCUUUCCCCAGCAGUCGAGCUUCCGAGCCAAGAAGAGGCUCGAGCUCAUGCAUGGGGACUUGUGUGGCUCGGUGACACCAGCCACACCGGGAGGACGACGCUACUUCUUGCUGCUCGUCGACGAUCUCUCCCGCUACAUGUGGGUGAUGAUCCUUGACAGCAAGGGAGAGGCUGCGAACGCCAUCAGGCGUGUGCAGGUCGCUGCGGAGGCGGAGUGCGGCCGCAAGCUGCGCGUGCUGCGCACCGACAACGGCGGCGAAUUCACGGCGGCUGAGUUCGCGUCGUACUGCGCGGAUGAGGGCGUUCAGCGCCACUACUCCGCGCCGUACAGCCCGCAGCAGAACGGCGUCGUCGAGCGGCGCAACCAGACGAUUGUGGGGAUGGCUCGGGCUCUCCUCAAGCAGAGAGGAAUGCCAGCUGUCUUCUGGGGAGAGGCGAUGGUGACAGCGGUUUACAUCCUCAACCGCUCGCCCACCAAGGCUCUCAACGGGAUGACACCGUACGAGGCUUGGCAUGGGCGCAAGCCGGCGGUCUCUCACCUACGGGUCUUCGGCUGCCUCGCGUUCACCAAGGAGCUUGGCCACAUUAGCAAGCUCGACGAUAGGAGCACCCCGGGGGUGUUCAUUGGCUACGCGGAGGGCUCGAAGGCCUACCGCAUCCUUGACCCAAGAACACAGCGUGUGCGCACGGCGCGCGAUGUAGUGUUCGACGAAGGGCGAGGAUGGGCGUGGGACAAGGCGGUGGACGACGGCACGACUCCGACGUACGACUUCACCAUCGAGUACGUCCACUUUGAGGGAGCUGGGGGAGUAGGCAACUCUUCUCCGAGCAGGUCUACCCCAGCCCCCAAGUCUCCACCGACUCCAGCGCCAAACUCUCUAGCUCCUGCUACAACAAGCUCUUCACCACCACGCACUCCAGCCACGACUCCGGCUACAGCAAGCUCUUCGCCACCACGUACUCCAGCACCGACGGUACCCUCUCCGGGAACGUCCUCUUCGACACCAGCUCGUGUCGAGCACGACCCAG
rnacentral:lncRNA from 1 species